GCUUUCUUCACUUCUGGAUCAUGUGCACUCUAUAUCCUGGCAUGGGAACUGAUACUUUAAUUGAUGAUGAACUUAAAAUUCUCUAUGCCAUGGUUAGUAAAAUCAAGGUCUCUCCUGUGAAACUGCUAGUGAACUAUUGGCUUAACUCUAUUGAGUAUGGGAAGCCCAUCUAUUUCACAUCCUUUAUUACUCGAAUAGCCGAUACUUUUAGAUUACUUGAAUCACAUUAUUUUGAAGACAUUGGCUAUGUUAGAGGAGUGGUAGAUGAGAACUUCUUUAUCAAUGCUAACAUGCUCAUAAGAGAUCCAAAUGGUGAACUUAAAAUGAUUUAUCCGGGCUAUACAACCGAAAUUCCUCUCCCAUGUGCGAGGCGCCGGUUGUAUGGGGUCCGCACACUUACCAUUAGACUAGCCCGAGUGGCAAGUCCAGAUGUUGCAGGGACACGCAGGGUGACAAGAAGGAUGAUGCAAGCCGCCCAGAUGGAGCAAGGAGGAUCCUCGCACCAUGACGUUGAAGAGGGCGAUGAAGCGAUGUCAGUGGAUGCUUCAGACUCCAUGGGUCUACCUCCACAACGCACUCCACGCCCAAGGGACAGGGCUAGGCGUCACCAGCCCACAGGUAUGGACAGUCUCAUUAAUGACAUGGGCGAAUUGCAGAUUGGGCAAGAAGCAACAUUGCAACUGGCGUUACAAAACGGCCAACAUAUCCGACGUGUGCGAGAGGAAGACGCACAACGCUGGGCUGGAUGGUACCAAAAUUUCCCGCCACCACAGUGAGCGAAGAUCUAGCUUGGGGGAGAUCCUCUCCCCCACUAAGGUAAGUAUUCUAUCCUAUUUAUUUUCAUGCAUUUUAUCAUUCUUACUUAAAAAAAAAUAAAAAUUUAUUAGCAUUUCCCUUUAGCAUAUAUGCUUCAUGUAUGUUUAUAUCCCUCAUGGAAAUUAUGACUAGUUGCUUGUUAAUGUUUCUCUAGUGCCUAGUAUACAACUUAGUAUUUCUCUAAGUAUGGAUCACUUAGCUCACUUAAACUGCCAUGAACCUAAAAACUUUGUGGGUUGCAAGUGCUAGAACUAAGUCUAAGUUAUUGUGGGACAUGAGAUAGUAAGACAAGAGCUACUAUAAUAUUUUUCUAAGCAUGCAUGAUUAUCAGAGAUUUAUUCUUAAAAUGAUCAAAACCUUAAUUGUUCCUCAAUGGUGAUGAAUUCCUACCACAGCCAUAUCUACUUUACAUAAUUGCAACCUUUCCACAUAAGCUAUUUGCUUUGUGUUGAGUGUCGUCAAGUCUUGUUGACCCUUGUUAAGAGACUUUUCAUGCUCCUAAGAUCAAGAUCACGUACACACCACAUAUAUAUAUGCUGCUUCUACACUGGAAGUACGCAACCACAUGUAUUUCGCAUCCACUAAAUAGGUUGCUCCAUACUCUAAAUGUUAGAACAUCUCUCUAAGCAUUAUUUGGUAAAUGAGACAUCAAAAGGGCUAGGCAAAAUGAAAUAAAAAGAUGGACAUGUGCAAGUCCACAGAAAAAGAAAAUUGAGCACAUGAAAGCUCAUAUAUAAAAAAAAGAAGAAAAAAAUGCUAGCCAUGUCUCAAUACAUAGAGAGUCUAUCAAAUAAAGGAGCAACCUAGUCCACCAUAUAUCACACUUGCACAUCUUGAUCUGGGAGUAUGACACUUCUCUUCAAGGAUCCGAGCUUUGACUUCGCAAUACAUGCAAAGUAAGUAUGCUAUCUCCUUUCAUCCCUACCUUGAACUCCACAUAAGCCUUUUAGAAAUAGGAUGAAAUAGAGAAGGCAACUCUUACCAUAUGCCUUGGUGAGGAAUCAUACACCAUUUGAGUGACAUGAGAGAACCAUAAGAGGAACAUUUAAGCUUUCUUUUGAAAAAUAUCACAAAACCUCUGAUAUGAAACUUGCUAAGAAUGAGAAAGUUAGUGCUCAAGUCAAACUGUUCUGUCUCUCAACCACCUAAGACAAAGGAAAAGCCAUAAGCCCCAUAAGGGACUAAGGUAAUAGGGGUAAGUUUACAUAGCUAAAUUUUUCAUGCAAAGAGAAGAACUUUGUUGUACACAUGGUACUCUUGAAAUGUGCACAUAGUAACAAUACCUGAUCCACCGAGGCUAAGUUUGAUUGUUUGCUCGGGACGAGCAAAGGUUAAGCUUGGGGGAUCUUGUUGACGGUGGAUAUACCAUAGAAAUCCACAUACAAAACACCGUCAACAUGCCUCGGUUGCAAGGGGAAACGACAUGACAUGAACAUAUUUUAUCCAUAACUAGUUCCACUUGUACUCUUAGCUUGUUUAUGCAGGAACAACAAAUUCAAGACAUUAUUUGACAAAGCCAACAUCAGAAUCAUCAAGAGGAGAUCGAGGGGACAACAGGUGACACCCUGGGCCCACAGGGAGGGGGUCGCCCGACCCCUCUUUGGUGGGACCCAGGUGUGCCACCUAGUCCACCGACAUAAGGGACCCUUGUGGACACUGCUGGUGGGCCCAGAGGCCCAGAAGUGGGGUCGCCCGACCCCACAUCAAAGGCGGUUCCAGGGUCGGUGGCCUCCCACCGACCUUCCCCACAUGUCCCACAUGUUGAUUUGCCCCUGCCGUUGAUCAAAUGGCGGUUGUGAGGUCGGUUUGAUCCAAGGGUGGAGAGAAGAUGUCACGCGGGUCGAUGACGUGGCGAUGGAGUAACCCCUACUCCAUCUCCCUCUAUAAAAGGCAGCCUCCAUCCUUCAUUUCAAGUGUGCAAUUCCAAGGCCAAGUGCAUUACAAGUUCCAAGCAUACAAGUAGAGUAGUAGUUAGUCUAGAGUGGGAGUUAGAGUCGAGUCGAGCGAAGCUCGGGGUCUUCGGAGUCAUCUUCUGGAGAGUCUGGUAUAGCUCUUGUACCUUUCUACUUUUGUAAGACUUUCCUUUUAUCAAUAUAUUAUUCUUACUUUACUUUACUGAGUUCUUACUUAGUGCAAGUCUUUUAGUCUUGUUGUGCAUUUACUUUAGUAAUAUAGUUGUCUUAGUGAAGUUAGUGACCUGUAACCACUCCUGUGUGUGCAUCAUCGUCCUAUCUUGUAUAGGAGCUCUAGCUAGCUGCAACUAGUUAGCGUUGUAGGAUUAAGUGUGAGCGUGGUGCUCAUACUUAAGAUUACCUUUGAUUACCGCUGGCUUGAACGGAAAGUAGGAGCGCACUCCCUAGUAGGUGACAGAUCGUGGGCGGCAUUAGGUUCUCCUCACGUACAGGCUAGUUCUUAAAAGGUAAGGCGUCCAUAAGCCCAAUAGUCGCUUUCGGUAAGGGGUUAGGUGAAAAACCUUCUAAGCGUCUUACCAGCUCGGCUAUCCCUCACACACAGUUAGUAAGGCUCUAGCGUAGUUAAGGCAAUUAUCUAUUAAAGUAAGUCACAGAAGUCAAGUUAGAUACAUAGGAGUCCUUUACUCACUCGUUAUCCUCCCACCUAGCUAACUCUACCAUUUACCUUUAGCAUAGGACCUUGGAUUCACCACUACCCUUCCUAUUCGUUAUUUACCACCCUUAUUCACUAGUUGAUACUAGAUAACUCAAGGAAUCUCAUUCCCCUUUUUGUUAAACACACUUAGCCGCUUUCCCUUGGGAAAAUAUAAAUUACGAUACCUUGGAAUACUCCUUGGUGAAGUGCUACAGCGGUACAUUCUGUGCGCUUGCGGAAUUAUCCAAUAGUAAAUAGAGUUACCCUACCAGGGCACUUCUGGCGCCGUCGCCGAUAUCCGGUGGUUGCGUUAAGAAGUGUCAACAGGGUGCCCCUAGGAGAAGGUGGGGGCACCGGUCCACGUGGUGCACGAGGAGGAGGUGCACCUCUGAGGUCGUGAUGCGCUCUCAACAUCUGUCUGGGGUCGUAGUGGGGGAAGACGGUGUCGGACUCUGUCAACUCCCUCUGUAAGUGAGCUGGCAGGGGCAGUGGCCUAGCACGAAGAAUAAGCAGGGUGAUCCAAUGUGCGUAUGGCAACUGACGCCGGCCCCUAAAGCUCUCUGAGAUGGUGUCCUCUAUCUCUGAGACGAUCAGAUCCCACAAGUCAAACUGCGUCUGGGAGAUGAGGUGAGUGACGAGCCACUGCUGGAUACGAGUGAAGCCGUCUCUGUAACCUGUCCUGGGGAGAAGAGUCUUCCUCAACACAAAGUCAAGGAUCCUAGCUGGGCGUGUCAAAUCUCCCACUGUCCUGCUGGAGCCCUCCCCAAAAGGUGCACGGAAACAGGGAGCCACGAAGUCAACCGGUGGUAUCUCACCACCGUGAGGACGACGAGGGGGAUCGACGUUCCCGUAGCACAACUGGUGAAUCCUGGUGGGAGAGGCUCGCAGUCCAAGCACCUCUCUAUCCCUCUGAGCUGUCACUCUGUAGUCUGACCCCGCCAGUGCGUAGUGAAUGUAACUGUGAUCUGGAGAAACCCACACUAACGCAUAGAACUCUCUGACCCACUGCUCACAAUAAGUACCGGGGAGUGCUAGCAACUCUGGGAGUCCGUGGAGGUAGGUGAAAUACUGACGAAUAUCUGCCCCAACCACGUUCCCGAGUAUCUCCAGGUCAAUCACUCUAUGCUCCCUGAACUGUGACUGAGAGCGAACCAGUGCCUCGUGGAUGUCCUCCUGGACGACUGUGUAGAACCUGGCACCAGCUCUGGCAUCCCUAGCAGCUGGGAACCAAGUAGGAAACGGAACAAAACGCAGCUGCUAGAUCUCUCUGGCUGACACAAGAGUGAGAUCCCUGUGGAUCCUGACUGGCCUCUGUCGGGAAGCUGGAGUGCCUCUAGCUGGUGUAGCACGAGCAGUGGAGGUGGACUGACCCUGCGUACCAGUCCUAGGAGUGGCCUGGGUACGAGCGUGAGUCGACCUCCGGAGAGGCUGCUCCUGCUCCUGCUCCUAUGCUGGACCCUCUGCCUGGGUCUCUGUCUCAGUGUCUGGAUCCUCCUGAGCUGGAUCCCUGACCACAAGCCUAAUCCUCUGUCCUCCAACUGUCACGGUGCCUGGAGGGGAUCCAUGGAAUGCCUCUGUCUCAAGAAUUGCACGCCACUAACGCGGCGUAAGAUCAUCCCCUAUCCUCAAAGCACAUGCUCGACCACCUCUCUCUGCGGCCUCUGCUGCUGCUGCCACUGCCUCUGCGACCUCUACCUCUCUGUCGCUGGCCUUGCGCUUUUUGGUGGCCAGCUUCUUGCUUUUGCCUUUCUCUGCCGCUGACAAGCGACGGGGAGGAUCACCUCCACCAUCACCACCUGGGGAACCUCCUGAGCUAGCUGCCGGACCACUGACGUUCUUGGUACGAGCCAUUGCAAAUUAGGCGUCCGACAAGCAACCGACUGACAACGGAGAACAAAGCGCUGCAGAGGAUAGACAAGAUAGGAUAUAUAUAUAAGAAAUUAUAUCGACUAGAGAUGAGACAAACCUAAAGAUCGCAAGAAAAGACAAGAUACGGGCGCGAACGGAUUACGAUCCACGGACGAGUCGCGUUCCGGAUGAAAACUUUUGAUCGACAACCACCGGAAACCACUAACACUUUCCUUAUGGUGCUGCACAGGAGGAACAGAGAAGAUCGAGAUCAACAAUCCUUUUCUAAUCCUUUGAAGUAAAAACUCAAGCACCUUAAGGGCAUGGUUGAAGAAACUCACCCAAACCCUUGAGUCCCUGCGUGAUUCAGAGAUCCACGCGAAGAGACGGAAGAGGAGAAGGUUUGGGGGCGGAUCUGGCGUGAGGAAAAACUCCAAUGUCGACGGGAAUCAGAGGGAGCGGCGGCGGCGGCGAGAUGGCGAUGGGUCUAGGGCACGGGCUCGGGCGGAGAGCGGAGGAGAAGAAAGAACUGCCCGAGAAAAGUCCCAGGGCGCGGGCUUUAUGCGCCCACCGCGGGGUCACCGGACGCUCUUAAAGUGGCACCGGACGCGUCCGGUGACCACCGGACUCAUGCGCAAAGAGGUCUGCAAAAAUUGCAUCGCACCGGACGAUGGGCACCAGACGCUGGCUUUAGCGUCCGGUGCUUCGGGUUACGCCUGGUGAGCACCGGACGCUGCAGGGACACUGUUCCUGCGUCCGGUGAGUGCAGUUUGGCACACUCACCGCACCGGACGCACAGAGGCAGCGUCCGGUGCAUCGUCCGGUGCUCCUCUGAGCACUUUUUCAACGAAGCACUACGCCCGACUUUGACCCAACCAAGUUCCAUUUCCAAAAGCACACAAUUAAACACAAAAUGGAACUGGUAUGAGUGACUUCUCUCAAACCCUCAAAUUUUCACAAAUAUUUAGCCAUGGGCUUAGUAGUUUUUAUGAAAAUAAUUCGAGAAAAUCACCAAGGAGCAUCAUAUGGCCAUAAACCUAGGGGUUAGGAUCACAAUGAGCUUUGAAUGCUCCCCCUAUCUAUGGACGAACACAGAGGAUGCUCAACGAAUAACUGAAACGAAACGGUCAACUAACAAGCAUGCAUAUGAUAUGAGUUGUAAUGCAAUACUUGAAAGUAAACUGAUGCUUGUCAAGUUUGAUCCAUGGUUAAGCUUUUUCACACACACAAGGGGUUAUCUUAACCACGUUAGACAAGCCCUACAUGCACGUUGGAUUUUAGUUUUAGUAUGCAUGAAAUGCAAAGCAAAAGUUAUUUACAAGUUUCAACACACAACUUUUAUCUUUUAGUGAAGUUGGAUAUGAAGUUGGAUAAGUCAAGCACAUUAAGUUCAUUUCUCAACAUACAAAACCUAGCUUCAUCUAGAGGUUUUGUGAAGAUGUCCGCCAAUUGAUUUUCCGUUCCCACAUUCUCUAGGGAUAUGUCACCUUUAGCAACGUGAUCCCUAAGGAAGUGGUGGCGGAUGUCAAUAUGUUUUGUGCGGGUGUGUUGAAUCGGGUUGUUUGCAAGUUUUACGGCACUUUCGUUGUCACACAACAAAGGUACUUUGUCUAGUACUACUUCAUAGUCUAGCAAAGUUUGUUUCAUGUAGAGUAUUUGUGCACAACAAGCACCGGCGGUAAUGUAUUCCGCCUCGGCCGUUGACAAAGCAACACUAUUUUGUUUCUUUGACAUCCAAGAGACAAGUGAUCUACCUAGGAAGUGGCACCCUCCGGAUGUGCUUUUUCUAUCAAUCCGGCACCCGGCAUAAUCCGAAUCGGAAUAGCCUACAAGUUGGAAUCUUGCACCUUUGGGAUACCACAAGCCUAGGCAAGGUGUGUAUUUUAGAUACCUAAGAAUUCUCUUGACCGCAAUCAAGUGAGAUUCCAUAGGCAUUGCUUGAUAUCUUGCACACAUACACACACUAAACAUUAUAUCGGGCCUAGAUGCGGUGAGGUAGAGUAGACUUCCUAUCAUGGAGCGAUAGAGAGUCUUGUCAAUAGGGUUACCUCCCUCAUCCAAGUCGAGAUGCCCAUUUGAUGCCAUGGGAGUCUUGAUUGGCUUGCAAUCCAUCAUCUUGAACCUCUUGAGAAGAUCUUGUGUGUACUUCUCUUGAGAGAUAAAGACGCCUUCCUUCAUUUGCUUGACUUGAAAUCCUAGGAAGAAGGAUCGCUCGCCAAUCAUGGACAUCUCAAACUCCUUGGACAUCAAAUCAUCAAAUUCCUUGCAAAAAUCUUCAUUAGUAGAGCCAAAAAUAAUAUCAUCAACAUAAACUUGGCAAAUGAAGAUUUCCCCAUUUAUCUUCUUGGUGAAGAGUGUUGUGUCAACUUUCCCAAUCUUGAAGCCCUUCUCAAUGAGGAAGUCCCUAAGCCUCUCAUACCAAGCUCUAGGAGCUUGCUUGAGACCAUAGAGAGCCUUGGACAACCGAUAGACAUGCUUGGGGUACCUAGGGUCUUCAAAACCGGGGGGUUGCUCAACAUAGACAAGCUCAUUAAUAUAUCCAUUCAAAAAGGCACUUUUCACAUCCAUUUGAAAUAACUUGAUAUCAUGACUAGAUGCAUAUGCAAGUAGGAUACGGAUUGCUUCAAGUCUUGCCACCGGUGCAAAGGUUUCACCGAAGUCAAGACCUUCCACUUGUGAAAAGCCUUUUGCCACGAGCCUUGCCUUGUUGCGCACCACUUUGCCUUGAUCAUCCUUCUUGUUCCAGAAGACCCAUUUUGUUCCAAUCACUCUUGCAUCUUUGGGUCGCUCUUCAAGUGUCCACACUUGGUUGCGAGAGAAGUUGUUCAACUCCUCUUGCAUGGCCAUGAUCCAAUCCGCAUCACGAAGAGCUUCCUCUAUAGUCUUUGGUUCAUCUUCAAGAGACACAAAAGCAUGAUGUUCAAUAAAUAAAGCAUGUCUAGAACGAGUAGUUACACCACGUGAUGGACUCCCGAUGAUGAGAUCUUGAGAGUGAUCUUGGAGGAGAUGUGAUGUUCUUCUUGGUGCCACUUGAGGAGUUGGUUGGGGAGCAUCAACAUCUUGUGCUUGUACCACCGCUUGCUCAUGAGUGACUUGAGUGUCCUCAUGGGCAUCUCUCACAUCUUUGUCUUCAUCUUGUGGACCUUGUGAGGUGGAUGGUGGCUCAAUGACUUGCACAUCAUCAUCAUCUUCUUUUGGCUUGAUGUCCCCGACCGGCAUGUUCUUCAUGGCAUCCCUUAAUGGUUCACCACCUACAUCAUCAAGAUUAUCACUUGCUCCUUGGAAGCCAUUAGUUUCAUCAAAUUCAACAUCAAAUGUUUCUUCAACCAUGUUUGUGGCAUGGUUAAAGACCCUAUAUGCCUUGGACUUGGAUGAAUAGCCAACCAAGUAGCCAAUGUCACAUCUUCUUUGGAACUUUCCCAAGUGUUGGCGCUUUUUGUAGAUGUAGCAUUUGCAUCCGAACACUCUAAAGAAUGAGACAUCGGGCUUCUUCCCAUUGAGCAAUUCAUAUGGUGUCUUCUCUAGGAACUUGUGAGGAAAGAGCCGGUUUGAGGCAUAGCAUGCGGUGUUGAUUGCCUCGGCCCACAUCUUCUCCGAAGUGUUGUACUCAUCUAGCAUUGUUCUUGCCAAAGUGAUCAAAGUCUAGUUCUUUCUUUCUACAACCCCAUUUUGUUGUGGUGUGUAUGUUGAGGAGAACUCAUGCUUGAUUCCCACUUCAUCACAAUACUCUUCAAUGUUGGUGUUGUCAAAUUCUUUGCCAUUGUCACUUCUAAUUUUCUUGAUCUUCACAUCAAAUUGAUUUUGGGCAUUCUUUGCAAACUUCUUGAAUAUUGAUGCAACUUCGGCUUUGUCUUGCAAGAAGAAUGUCCAUGUGUACCGUGAGAAAUCAUCAACUAUGACCAAGCAAUAUUUGUUGCCUCCAAGACUAGCAUAUGUGGUUGGUCCAAAUAGAUCCAUGUGAAGUAGCUCAAGCACUCUUGAAGUAGAGAGAUAGGCUUUGGUUGGAUGAGUGUUUGCAACUUGUUUGCCCGCUUGACAUGCACUACAAAGUUUAUCCUUUUCAAAUGUCACAUCCUUCAAGCCUCUAAUCAAUUCUUUCUUCAUCAACUUCUUAAGUGUGCCCAUUCCUACAUGUGCUAACCUUCUAUGCCAUAACCACCCAAGUGAAGUCUUGGUGAAUAAGCAAGUCUUGACAUCAACUUCAUCGGAUCAGAAGUCAACCACAUAUAGGUUGUUGUGUCGGAAGCCUUUGAAUAUCACUUCAUUGUCAUCUUCCUUGGUCACAAUCACUUCCUUCUUCUUGAAUAAGCAUUCAAAUCCAAGAUCACAAAGUUGUCCAACCGAGAGCAAGUUGAAACUUAAUGAUUGUACAUAAAGCACAUUGGUGAUUGAGUUGUCAUUUGAUAUAGCAACCUUUCCUAGCCCCUUGACCUUUCCUUUUGAAUUGUCACCAAAUGUGAUCUUCUCUUGGUUGUCAACAUCUUCAUCAAGAGAGGUGAACAUCCGGGGAUCUCCGGUCAUAUGUUGAGUGCAACCACUAUCAAUUACCCAAUGUGAUCCACCGGUCUUGUAGUUCACCUACACACAAGAGAUCAAGCUUGAGAUUUAGGGACCCACAUUUGCUUAGGGCCCUUGACCUUCUCUACUAGUUGCUUUGGCACCCAAAUCUUCUUUGGCCUUUGCUUGUUGGGUGGCCCCAUGAAGCUAACCUUGACCUUGCCACUCUUGUCUUUCCUUACAAUGUAGUGAGCAUUGAAGGCAAAUGGUCUUGCAUGCUUGGGCAAGGGUGGUGGUAGUGGUGCCUUACACUCAUGAGCAAAGUGUCCUUCUAGACCACACUCAAAGCAUCUCUUGGGCUUUGGCUUGCUUGGUUGAUCAUGAGUGACUAGUGACUUGAUGAGCUUUGUUUGAUGAGCCUUGUAGCCAAUUCCACUCUUGUCCAUCUUCAUGACGGUGUUCAUGAAAAGCUCACUUUGAAGGUCCUUCCCCUUUGUGAACUUUGCUAACCCCAUGGUUAGGUGUUCCUUCUCUUUCUUGAGCUUGUUGUUCUCUUGAGUUAGCUUCUUGAUGAUUGGGUCAUUGUUGCUUGCUAACUCAUCCAAGAUGAAUAUCUCAUCUUCUUCUUGCUUGUCAUACAUCAAACCAAGCUUGAGAUAUUGAUUUUCUUCUUUGAGUAACUUGUUCUCAUAUGCAAGUUUCUUGUCUUGAUCAAGUGACUCAAUCACAAUGGUCUUGUGCUUGGCUUGGUCUUGCAACUCUUUCUUGAGCAUGACAAUUUCAUCCUUGAGCUUGAUAGUGUCCUCAUAACUCUCGGCCACUACCACUUUCUUGCCCUUGCAAUCAACACAUUUGCUUGUGCUCUCCACAAGUAAGUCAUCACAAGAUGUGGCUACAUCAAGCUUAGCAACAUUGUUAGUAGCAACAUGUGUUUCACUUGCAAGUUCAUAAGCAAUCUCAAGGUUGUCAUAGUUUGCUUUUAGAGUUGUUAGCUCCUCUUUCAUUGCUCUAUAUCUAGUGAUAAGCUCAUCAUGAACACUCUCAAGUUUAUCAUGUUUUUCUUUGAGCUCUUUUAGAGAGAGUUUGAGCUCCUUGAGCUUAGUGGUCAUGAUCUCAUUUUGGUCUCUAAGCUCAUCACUAGACUUAAGCUUUGCUAGAAGAGUGUCAUUUUCAAGUUCAAGCUUUUCAUUUUCACUUCUAGUUUUUCUUAUGACUUUUGUGUAUUUGUUAAGCAAUUUUACAAGUUCAUCAUAAGAAGGUGAUUCAUAUUCACUAUCACUUUCACUACUCUCAUCCUCACUUUGUACCUUCCGGUCACCCUUAGCCAUGAGGCAUAGGUGUGUAGAGGAUGUAGAUGGUGGUGAAGAUGAUGGUGAUGGAGCAUCGAUGGCAAUGGCGGCAACCUUCUCAUCAUCACUUUCAUUGCCGGAGGAUUCACCACUUGAGCUCUCAAUGUCGGUGAGCCAAUCACCAACAAUGUAAGCCUUGCCAUUCUUCUUCUUGUAGUGCUCCUUCUUCUUGCCACCUUUCUUCUUGUAUUGCUUCUUGUCAUUCUUCUCAUCAUCACUUGAGUCAUCUUGCUCUUUGUUUUUCUUCUUGUACUUGUCCUUCUUGGGCUUUGGACAUUGAUGAGCAAGAUGACCAAGCUCACCACAAUUGUAGCAAUCCAUCUCGGAGAUGGGCUUCCUCUUGCUACUUGUGAAGAACUUCUUCUUCUUGGAGUCAAAGUUGACUCCAUUCUUGUUGAGCUUCUUCAACAUCUUUGUGGUUCUUCUCACCAAGAGGGCAAUAGAUGCAUCAUCAUCACUUGAAGUUGAUGACUCGACUUCAAUCUUCUUGGCUUUACCCUUGUGAGAAGCUUUGAGAGCCAAGUCCUUCUUUUCUUUCUUGGCUGACGAGGAGCCAUCUUGAGGGUUCAUGUGCAUGUACAUCUCAUGAGCAUUGAUCUUCCCCAAUAUGGCGGUUGGUGUAGCGGUGGAAAGAUCGCCCUGAUGAAGCACCGUUACUAUGUGCCCAUAUUUCUCAAUGGGAAGCACACAUAGUAUCUUCCUUGCUACAUCCGCCGUACUCAUUUGAGUAAGCCCAAGUCCAUUAAGCUCCUCUACAAUGACAUUCAAGCAAGAAUACAUUUCAUUAGCAUUUUCUUUUGGAAGCAUCUCAAAUGUAUUAAGCUUUUUCAUCACUAGGUGAUAGCGUUCCUCGCGUUCACUCUUUGAUCCCUCAUGAAGCGCACAAAGUUCCUUCCAAAGUUCAUUGGCGGUUUUGUGGCUCCGAAUGCGGUUGAACACCUCUUUGCAAAGGCCUCUAAAGAUGUGGUUUUUGGCCUUCGCAUUCCAUUUCUCGUUUUCUUGCUCUUGUGGAGUAAGAGCGGUGGCUCUUUCCAGAGGGGCAAACCCUUCGGUCGCGGCUUUUAGGCACUUUACAUCGCAUGCCUCAAGGUAUGACUCCAUUCGUAUUUUCCAAUACGGGAAGUCAUCCCCAUCGAACAUGGGUGGUGGUCCAUCCCCGUUAGACAUCUUUCUCUAGGCGGUGAAGCCUAAAUAAUGAGCACUAGGCUCCGAUACCAAUUAAAAGGAUCAAGAUGCCCAAGAGGGGGGGUGAAUUGGGCUUCUCUAAAAAUUUAAGCAACCUAUAAGCUCCAAUUCAACCCCUUGUGCCUAGUGUGACUUAGAGAGCUACCGGAUAAAAAGUUUUGCAACCUAGUUCCAAUCCUAUUCUAGCUUGGCAAUUCUAAGAAUAUAAAAACACAAAGUAAAUGCUAGAAAGUAAAGGAGUAGUGGAAGAAAGUGCUCGGCGAUGUUUUGCCGAGGUAUCGGAGAGUCGCCACUCUCCACUAGUCCUCGUUGGAGCACCCGCGCAAGGGUCUUGCUCCCCCUUGGUCCGCGCAAGGACCAAGUGCUCUCUACGGGCUGAUUCUUUGACACUUCGUCGCGGUGAAUCGCCCAAAACCGCUCACAAGCUUGACACGAGCCACCCACAAGAACUCCGGGCGGUCUUCGUGCCUCCAAUCACCACCGAACCGUCUAGGUGAUGGCGAUCACCAAGAGUAACAAGCAACGAACUCUCACUUGACCCAAACAAGGCUCUAGAGAGUGGUGGAUGCACACUUGACUCUUGAAACUCACUAGAGAAGGAUUCUCUCAAGAAAUCACUCAAAACUCAAUCCUCUCUAGGCUCUUGCAACUCUCUUGCUCCACAACAAGGUUCUCUGAUGUUCAAAUGGGCAAGAGAACUCUCAUGGACGGGGUGGAGGAGUAUAAAUACUAUCCACGAAGUCUAAAGGUCGGUCAACCGUUUUCCACUGAAAACGGGGUCACCGGACGCACAUUAUGUUGCAUCGAACGCACUGCACCGAGCGUCCGGUGCUUCAUAACGGCUAACUGUCCUUCACUCUGACAGGUCACCGGACGCUAACUCUCAGCGUCCGGUGCACCGUCCGGUGCUCGGGGAAACUUUACAUGCUCCCUGCGCAUGGGACCGGACGCUACACGGAGCGUCCGGUGCUAGCGUCCGGUGCUCAAGGAAAGCUUGCAACCUCCCUGGGUAAGGGACCGGACGCUACCCGGUGCGUCCGGUGCUAGCGUCCGGUGCCUAACCCUAAGCACCACACUGUUCCAACGGCUAACGACCUCACCGGACGCAUUCACAGAGCGUCCGGUGCAGCAUCCGGUGCCCCUUUGGGCACCCAAACUACGCCGAAACGCGAUCGCUCCAAAACGAAAUUGGUUUCUCUCGAUCUAAGGACUGUCUCUGAGCUGCCUAGUGCUAGGUUUACCAAGUGUGCACCACACCUAAAUCUAAAGCCUUGCCUAAGUCAAGCUACUAGAUCAAAGCCCCUCUUAAUAGUACGGUCAAAGGAAAACAAAGUCCUAAACUACUCUAAGUGCCCUUCUUCUCCAUAUGGCACUUAGACCUAGUCCAGUCUUGACGAUGUCCAUCCGUCCUUUGAAAACCGAAACGAUUUCCACUAUUAAGUAGGCAUGUACGUCCCUGUCCGUCGAGUACCUAUUUACCAUGACCUUACCUAUGACUUUGCCUCUGCAAAACACACGUUAGUCAUAGUAAUCAAUAAUGUCAUUAAUCACCGAAAUCACUAGGGGCCUAGAUGCUCUUUCAAAAAGAAACAGAAACCAUAUCCUUUUGUGUUUGUACCUUCCACGGCUCAUAGGUGUAUGUAAGAAGGAUGAUAUGGAAACACUGUGGCUCCAUGCUCUAUGUGCAAAUAACAUAAAGGUUUUAUUCCAUUUUAUAAAGGGAUAUGUGUCGGAGCACGCGUGAGAGGCCGUCUUUCAAAAAGCGGGAAACCCAAAGAGAAAAAAGUCCUUAAGUAUUUUCAUGGUGCACAAAAUGUAUAUAACAAUAAUAUGAGGGCAAUGCAACUUUGUUCUCUAUGUGUAAGUAACAUAUAAAAGAGAGUUAUGUUUUGGUUCCACAUAUAUGCCUAGGUGUUAGAGAUCCACCUUUCUCGCAAAAAGGAAAACAAAAAGGAAAAAAUCAUACUCCUUUUGUAUUCUUAUGAUCCACAAAGUACAUAAGAAUGAUAAGAAGGCAUUGUAACAGUUGACACCGUUUUUGGGCACGUGUCCAUGUUUGGUAGAGUACAGGCCGGCAGGAUAGGACGACGGUGUUUUGUCUACAGGAUGAAUUGCCGAUGAAGGUGGUUGCCGAUGAAGGAGAGAUUGAACGUGACUAAGUCUGUAGAUGGUGAUGUGUCUGUGCCGAUGGCUACAACAAGGAAGUCUGCCGAUGAUUAUUACAAGGGAGUUUGUUGAUGAUACGGAGGGAGAGUCCGGGAGUUGCCGAUCGGUUUGUGGAGAUGUUCUAGCUUGUCACGGGGGAUAGCUUUAUGUUUUCCUUAGUUAUUUAAGUCGUUUUGUAUAUGGAUUCUAUGUAAUUUGGAAUUCGAAUUCUAGUUGUGUCUGGUUGUAGCUCUUUGAGCAGGGUAUAAAUAUAGACCCUAGGGCCUUGUAAUGAGAUAUCGAUCAAUCAAUCAAACACACGUUUUUACUCAUAUUCCAGCAUCUACUUUUUCGACGACUUCGUCAUACUUUUCCUUUUCAUUACGAGUUCUUAGGAAUUCGUCGACUUAAGCUCGGCGUGUUCUCAAGUUCCGCAUGAGUACCUCUUAGCUGUGACAUCCGGGCGCAUCGCUGUUGUCAGGACUAAAGUAUUCGAGUUACCACCUUUGCCGAUAGUAAGGUCAAAUCGGCUAGCACGCCUUAACGUUUGAAUCGGGUAUUAGCCCUUUGUGUUUGCAGAUCAAUUUUUGCACCAACACUUCUUUUGGCACGCCCAGUGGGACCAAUUCAAGAUCAAGACCAACAUGUCGAUUUCUGAGUUUGAUCAAGAGAACGUCAUCCCCGUGACAGAAGCCAAUCUCAAGGAUGAGCAGAAGCAAGCUAUUGCUAAAGCCAUGGAGGAUUACAAGCAGCAAUGCCUGAGGUCCUUCAGCGUGAAUAGGAGCGGUGAGGUGAUUCAGAAGGAUGCAUUGCCGGCACCUCGGCAAGUUACUUUUGAGUCCAAUCCUGGCAAACUUCAAGAGAUGGUUGACAGCGCUAUCAACCGUGCUUUGAUCAACCAAGCUGGUGUACUGUCUAAUACGGUUUUCAAUGCCGUGGCAAGAACUUUCAAGGAAGGACAAUUGCCACCAGAUUAUGUGGGCCCUACUUAUCACCAGCUAAAGUCACCAGUGGUCACAGCUCCAUCGGCUGCUACGGCCGCUGCGAGUAUGGAAGUUCCUGUUCCGCCAAGCACGUUGGGAGUCGCCAAUGGACAAUCUAUGCCGAUGAUGACUAAUCCACAGACUUCAGGAGAGCAGAUUAAACUUGCCACAGAUCUGUUAGCAUCGGCAAUGACAGGGUUAACUCCUCCUCCCAACUGGUGGGGUUAUGGCAUGCCUCCAGAGUUAACGCUGGGUACAUCGCAGACGACUGAUAUGAGAGGCAAGACUCCUAUGGCAUCGGCACCUCCCAAUAUGCCGAUGAACCAGAGUCCCCAGUAUACUACAACUACUAUUGCAAGACCUCACACUGGGAAUUCUCAAGCUCCAAUGUUCCAGAUGCCUAACGCAUCGGCAGACUCGAUGCUGAUGCAACAGAGGUCUAUGGCUCAAUCGGGGUAUGUCAAUUCAAUGAUGAUGCCCAAUUACCAGUCAUCGGCAGGGCCUAUGCCGAUGAACGCUAAUAAUGGAUGGCUUGGGCAGCAAGUCUUUCCGCAAACGCCCCAACAGAGUCACCAGGCUACAGGGUUCCAGCAAGGACAGAUCUAUCCCGGGUUCCAGAAUCAGGGGAUCCCUAACCAGCCAAUGAAUUACGGGCAGCAGGCCAGCGUGCAGCAGAUUGGCGGGCAACAGCUUGGUGGUCCACAGGUUGGAGGCCAGAUGAUCAACCCAAUGUUCCGUGCAGAUCGUGCACCAAACAGACACGUGGAGGCUUACCAGCAGGCGCCUGAUCCGCAACCGCCCCAUCGGCAAGAUGCCGAUGCAUACUGGGCCGAUAAGAUUGCUGAAGUAAUGAGAGAUCAAUUUGGAAUAAAACCCAAAGUCAACACUUACUCUUAUCGGACACCGUAUCCUCCCGCAUAUGAUUUGAUCCCGCUUCCGCAUCGGUACAAGGUGCCGGACUUUACUAAGUUUUCUGGACAGGAUGACACAUCGACCAUGGAGCACGUCAAUAGGUUCAUCAUUCAAUGCGAAGAAGCUGGUAAUAGGGACGAGUUAAGGGUUCGUCUAUUUUCAUCAUCAUUGUCUGGAUCGGCCUUUACCUGGUUCAUAUCACUACCUCCCAACUCAGUGAUUACUUGGGCCGAUCUGGAGAAACAAUUCCACAAAUACUUCUUUUCUGGAGUUCAUGAGAAGAAGAUCACUGAUUUGGUCAAAUUGAGGCAGCGUAAUGAUGAAUCGGUUGAAGGUUUUGUACAGAGGAUACGGGAAGUCAAGAACAAGUGCUAUAGUCUAGUUCUGGACGAUCGGCAGCUAGCCAAUUUGGCUUUCCAGGGUUUGUUGCCACACAUCAGGGACAAAUAUGCAUCUCAGGAGUUUGAAAGCCUAAGUCAUCUGGUGCAAAGAAUCUCUGAUCAAGACAUCAAGCCGUUUGAACCCAAGAGAGCAUGGAAAAAAAGUGUCGUUCGUUGAUGAAGCAACAAGUUCAGAUUCUGAUGAGGAACCAGUCAUCGGCUUGGCAGAGUGGGUGAAAAAUAAGAAGCCGAUGUCUUGCCCUUUUGGGCAGAAGGAACCAGAGAAGUUCGCUUUUGACACCGCUAAGGCCGAUAGAAUAUUUGACUUUCUACUUCAGGAAGGUCAGAUCAAGCUGUCUCCUAAUCACGUGAUCCCAUCGGCUGAGGAGUUAAAGAGGAUGAAAUAUUGCAAGUGGCAUAAUGCAACUUCUCAUGAUACCAAUGAGUGCAAGGUUUUCAGACAGCAACUGCAAUCGGCUAUAGAAUCUGGGAGAAUCAAAUUUGAUAGCUCUAAGACCCAGAAGCCGAUGAAGAUUGACCAACAUCCUUUCCCGACGAACAUGUUGGAUGCUAAGGGAAAAGCCAAAGGUCCUAACUUCAGAAGCAGCCGAAAGAAGUGCAUCGGUGGAUCCUCAGCAUCAAGUCACUACUGCCGACGCAAGAGGAAGAGGCUUGGUCUAGGAAGGAACCAGCUCAGGAAGACCUCCCCGAUCUGGGAUUGUAAUAACUCACAGAAGGCCUCGGGAAACUUGGCAGCAACGAGAAGAUCGGUAUCGGCGCCAGCAAGAAGAUUAUCGUCGGGAAGAAGAAAGACGCCGACAGGAGUGGAAUCGGCAUAGGGAUCACUGGAAUUGUCCGUUCUUCAUCCAUUGCUGGGAGGAGAAUGAAGCUUCCUACUGUCAGAGAUUGCCCUGAGUGCAACGGUUAUGAUCGGUACGAUAGGUCUGAUCGGAACUAUCGUGAUAGUGAUCGGCGUUUUGAUGGGCCGAUUAGAGGGAGAGUAUCCGUCCAUGAUCGGCUGGGGGGCAAACUCAGUGUGCACGACAGGCUUGGUGAUCGUGUCCAGUAUUUUCCCAAGAACCAGGAAGAACUUGAGGAGAUGGCUAAUGCACGAGUUCCCGACGAGUUCAUAUUUUGCAGGGAUACCAAUACGCAUCGGAUGGAGUCAAGGGAAAAUCAUCGCCCAGUAGCAAGGCAGAGGCCGCUUCCUCCAUGGUGUCCAGAGGGGUUGACCAAGACACAGAAAAGGAGGUUGCAGCGCGAAAGGUGAGAAGGGCUAAGCAAGGGUGAGAACUCUGGUCAGUCUGGAGAUCAGCUACAAUCAGAUCCCAAGGGGGAAGGUCCAUCGGUAGAUGUCAACAUGGUCUUUAUGUUGCCAAUGGAGUUUCUUGCGCCAUCCAGUGAUGAUGAGUUGGAAUUGUCCGAUCAAAUAGCUCAAUUGGCUCUGGAUCCGAUGACAGCUAUCUUCGAGAAACCCACCGAUGACGAAAGACAACAUCUCAAGGCUCUGUUUGUCAAAGGAAGGGUUGAUGGGCAGCCGAUGACCAAGAUUCUAGUUGAUGGUGGGGCUGCUAUUAACAUCAUGCCGUAUGCAGUAUAUCGGAAGCUUGGGAAAGGAGAUCAGGAUUUGACCAAGACCGAUAUGAUGCUUAAAGACUUUGAAGGGAACGUGUCUCCAGUCAAGGGGGCAAUAUGUGUAGAGUUGACCAUCGACAGCAAAACCUUGCCGACAACUUUCUUUGUGAUCAGUGGAAAGGGUGCUUACAACUUGCUAUUGGGGAGAGAUUGGAUUCACGCUAAUUGUUGCAUCCCGUCUACAAUGCACCAAUGCUUGGUUCAGUGGGUAGGAGACAAAAUUGAGAUUGUCCCGGGAGAUUCUUCUUAUGUCAUUGCAUCGGCAGAGGCGGACACCUAUGAGAGGACUAGGUGUAUUUCAGGAGAAGUUUGGGAAAAGGAUUUUCUCAAGGUUGCCGAUUACGAGAUUCCACCGAUCCAAGCAGUCGGUUCUGACGAAGGUUUUUAAUGGAUAGGUUCGCCGAUGAUGGAAAGUUAGGCAUUGGAUUCACAUCGGCCGAUGAUUUGGUAGAAGUAGAUAUAGGUAGUGGUGAUAAACCUAGACCCACUUUUAUUAGUGCUAAGUUAGAUUAUGAGUGUAAGCAACAGUUAACCAAUUUGUUAAAGGAAUAUAAAGAUUGCUUUGCUUGGGAUUAUACUGAGAUGCCUGGUUUGGACCGAUCAAUUGUUGAACAUCGGUUGCCUAUCAAGUCUGGAUUUCGGCCACAUCAACAGCCAGCUCGCCGAUGUAAUCCUAAUAUCCUCCCUGAUAUUAAGGCCGAAAUCACCAAACUUAUUGAAGCUAAGUUUAUUCGGCAGUGUCGGUAUGCCGAAUGGAUUUCCAACGUUGUUCCGGUCUACAAGAAGAACGGGAAGCUUCGGGUCUGCAUUGAUUUCAGGAAUCUCAAUAAAGCUACACCGAUGGAUGGAUACCCAAUGCCGGUUGCCGAUCUGUUGGUUGACGCCGCGGCUGGGCAUCAGAUCAUUAGCUUUAUGGAUGGCAAUGCAGGAUACAAUCAAAUAUUCAUGGCUGAAGAAGAUAUCCCGAAGACUGCGUUCAGGUGCCCUGGUCAUGUUAGAUUGUUUGAAUGGAUAGUCAUGACCUUUGGCCUAAAGAAUGCUGGUACUACAUAUCAAAGAGCCAUGAAUUUUAUUUUCCAUGAGUUCAUCGGUAAGCUGGUGGAGAUUUAUAUUGAUGAUGUGGUGGUUAAGUCUGGAGACUUCGCAAAACAUCUUGCCGAUUUGCGAAAGGUGUUAGAAUGCACAAGGAAGCAUGGUUUGAAAAUGAAUCCCAAUAAGUGUGCAUUUGGCGUAUCGGCGGGACAAUUUCUUGGUUUCAUGGUGCAUCAAAGGGGGAUUGAGAUAAGUCAAAGAUCUAUCGAUGCCAUCAAUAAGAUAGUGGCCCCUACCAACAAGACCGAGCUCCAGUCCUUGAUCGGCAAGGUAAAUUUUAUCAGAAGAUUUAUAUCUAAUUUAUCUGGUAAAAUACGUGCUUUCAGUCCUCUUCUUAAGUUAAAGGCCGAUCAAGGGUUUGUUUGGGGAAAAGAACAGCAGUUGGCUCUGGAUGAAAUCAAGAAUUAUUUAGUAAAUCCUCCAGUUCUAAUUCCACCUCAGCAAGGAAAGCCCUUCAGAUUGUAUUUGUCUACCGAUGGGAUGGUCAUCGGUUCGGCUUUGAUUCAGGAGUUUGAAGGGAAAGAGCGUGUAAUUUAUUAUUUAAGCAGGAGGUUGAUUGAUGCUGAGACCAGGUAUUCGGCCAUUGAAAAAUUGUGCUUGUGCUUAUAUUUCUCUUGCAUCAAGUUGAGGCAUUACUUGCUAUCGGCCGAAUGCACUGUUAUUUGCAAAGAUGAUGUGGUCCGGUACAUGCUGUCCAUGCCGAUCAUGAGUGGUAGGAUCGGUAAGUGGAUUUUAGCGCUGUCGGAGUUCGAUCUGCGUUAUGAAUCGGCUAAGGCAGUUAAGGGACAGAUUAUAGCUGAUUUUGUAACCCAGCAUUGCGGCACAGUGGAGGCUUUGGAAAUUGUGCCUUGGACGCUUUUCUUUGAUGGGUCUACAUGUGACCGGGGGGCAGGAAUCGGCGUAAUACUAGUUUCCCCUCGGGGAAGGAAGUAUCAGUUUUCCUUGCCGAUUGUUGCUACAUCAACAAAUAAUCAGGCUGAGUAUCAAGCUUUAAUAAAGGGAUUAGAGUUAUUAAGAGAGGUUCAUGCUGAUGCUGUUGAGGUCUUCGGGGAUUCUAUGCUAGUUAUAAAUCAAUUGGCUGGGAGCUAUGAAUGCCGAAGUGAAGUUCUCAUAACUUAUUACGAGAGGAGUAUGCAACUGUUAAAGGAAUUCAAGGAUUUCCGAUUAGAGUAUGUUCCUUGAUUGCAUAAUGAAGAGGCGAAUCGGUUGGCUCAGCAUGCUUCGGGAUAUCAGCCGAUAAUUAAUGCGAUAUCGGCAAUUGGUGCCGAUGAUUGGAGAAAAGAAAUCGUUGAUUACUUAAAAGAUCCGUCCAAGAAAGUUGAGAGACGGGUUCGGUUUCAAGCCACCAAGUAUGUGCUCCUCGAAGAUGAAUUGUACUACCGAACUAUUGAUAGAAUUCUUCUUCGAUGCUUGAGUGAUGAUGAAGCUAGAAGUUUGAUGGGGGAAAUCCAUGAAGGGGUAUGUGGAGCACACCAGUCGGCUUUCAAGAUGAAGUGGAUGAUUAGGAGGAAUGGAUAUUUUUGGCCGACCAUACUUGAGGAUUGCUUUAAGUAUUUCAAGGGAUGUCAAGGUUCUCAAAAGUUUGGUAACAUUCAAAGAGCACCGGCGUCGGCUAUGAAUCCUAUUAUCACGCCUUGGCCGUUCCGGGGAUGGGCUAUUGAUCUAAUCGGCCAGAUUUAUCCACCAUCUAGCAAGGGGCAUAAGUUUAUUCUGGUUGCCACCGAUUAUUUCACUAAAUGGGUUGAAGCUAUUCCUUUGAAGAAGGUCACAUCGACCAAUAUGAUUGAUUUUGUGAAGGAGCACAUUAUUUACCGAUUUGGGAUUCCUCAGACAAUUACUACCGAUCAAGGCACUAUGUUCACAUCGGGGGAGUUUGAUGAAUUCGCAAUCGGUAUGGGGAUUAAAGUGUUGAAUUCUUCUCCUUACUAUGCUCAGGCUAAUGGGCAGGCCGAGGCGUCUAACAAAGGAAUCAUUAAGCUUAUCAAGCGGAAGAUUGAAGAAAAUCCUAGAAGGUGGCACACAUUGUUGAAAGAGGCCUUGUGGUCCUAUCGUAUGGCCUGUCAUGGAUCAACUAAAGUUGCACCUUAUCAGUUGGUGUAUGGACAUGAUGCAGUAUUACCUUGGGAAGUUAAGACUGGGUCUAGGCGACUAUCUUUUCAAGAUCAAUUGGCUGCCGAUGAUUAUGCUACUUUAAUGACAGAUGAGUUGGAUGAUCUAGCAGGGCAUCGGCUGAGGGCUUUGAUGAGUAUAGAGGAGAAUAAGAAAAGGGUUGCCAGAUGGUACGAUAAAAGGGUAAAGGCUAAGGAAUUUGCCGAAGGGGACUUAGUAUGGAAAUUAAUCUUGCCGAUCGGAACUAAAAGUUCGAAGUUUGGGAAGUGGUCUCCUAAUUGGGAAGGUCCCUAUCGGAUAAGUCGAUCGGCUCCGGGUAACGCCUACAUUCUAGAAACUCUCGAAGGAGUUGAGUUUCCCAGAGCAUUAAAUGGCAAAUAUUUAAAGAAAUAUUACCCCAGCAUAUGGGUCGAUGCAUAAAGUUUAAAUGCCGAUAACACUCCCAUCGGCUGGGUUAGAAUGUUUGGGGCCGGACUUAGUGUAUCAAAAGUUGCCGAUAACAAUCCUAUCGGCUAGAUUAAAACGGCUAGAAAGCUAGAAGUGCAGAGAAGUAAAGACGUGUCGCUGAUGAGAGCUUCAUAUGUUCAGCAGCGCCUGGAUCGCCGAUAAGGCGCGCAGCCGAAUUUGGUUGGCUGUUUCUAUCUCUUUGAUGUCGUCAUCGGCAGAACCUUCUAUCGGCUUCAGCUUCUUCUUCAACUGCAAUGCCUUGCGACCGUGGAUGUUUCGUUCUUGCUCAAGGAGCCUGAUGGUCUCUGGCAGUUGGCUCUCUUCCUGUUGGGCUUGAGAUAAAGCGUCUUCCACUCGCUUGAGUUCUGCCAGCAGAGCUUCUCUUUUUGCCGAUAGGUCAGAAAUCUUCUGCUUCAGCGCGUCUCCUGAAGAUCUCAGGGUGCCGAUGCUCUUGUGCUUCUCAUCGGUCAGGAGUUUCUCUUUCAUCAUUUCUUCAGAAAGCUGAGUCUGAGCAGCUCUAUCGGCAAGACGUCGAGAAGCCCUCUGGUACUGCAGCUGACGGCUCUCCAGAUGUGCAGCUUGGAAGAGGAUUUCUUCGACAUCGGUUGGAAUCUGGCCUCUGAGAGUCCUGAACAGAACCUUGGCUGGGUCAGAGUCAUCGACCAAUUGUGCCGUGUCCUGAUGAAGGAGAGCCGAUAGUUCUUCCAGCUUGGCUCUGAUCUCUGCUGAUGCGAUCCCAACUGCCCGGGAGGAGCUCGCUUCCUCGCCUUCAUCAUCAGAGAUAUCAAUAGCAAAGGAGAAUAGGCUGUCAGGAGAGUCCUGCUCCUGAAAAGGAAAAAUAAAGUGAGUCAUUCUAUGAUCAAAAUGCCGGUAAAAAUAUUGAUAGGAGCUGGAUAACUUACUUGCUUCAAGGCAAUCUCUUGCCUUUGACUGGAAGAUGCCGAUGGAGCUACAGGCUGAUCGGUCAAAGAUGCCGAUGGAGCUACAGAUUGAUCGGCCAGGGUUGCUGAUGGAACGACGUCAGCUGAAGAUUAAUAAAAGUUAUUAUGAGAUGAAAAGAUGGGUUCAUUGGUAUUAACUUUGUAAAUAUGUUACCUUGAGGAAGGACGAUACUUGUCUGAACGGAGGAAACCACCGAUGCUAUAAUGGAACCUGCUGGAUCGGUGGUUGGUUCACGAACAUCAGUCGAUGUGUCUUCUGGCUGAGGUACUUCUUGUUGGGGUUCUUCCAGUUGAGUUUCUUCUACAUGUGGUGCUUCUUGCGUUGGAGGGGGAGAUAGUGCUUGCUGAGUCUCUGCGUCUGGAGGAGAAGGGGAAGAUUCCACUGGAAUGGGAGAUACCGGAGGAGGAGGAGUUGCCACUUUCUGGCGCUUUGUUUCUGCCCUGGUACUUUUGGCACCCUUUCUCUUCUGUUGGCUGGACUGGGGGGCAUCGGUACCUUGGCUCUUGGUUUUUGCCGAUGCACUGGUUUGCUGUAACAACAAAGAGGGAUUUGUGAAUACAAGUGUAGCCGAUGUAAAGGUAAAGAUCGGUAUAAACGAAGAGGUUUAGCGGUUACCAUAAAAGCCUGUGCUAGGGCGGAAGCAGCUACCGAUGGUGAAGUCUGGGUCUUCCUGGUGGUGACCUUCCUCAGGCGUAUACCUCGAUGCACGAUGGAAGCCAGGGUAGGGGCGUUGUGGCCGAUUGAAGAGAUUGGGCCUGAUGCAAAUAGAUCAAUCGGCUUGCCACUUUUGCUGAUCGAUGGAGGGGUAUCAUCAACUUGCAGAAAAGUUUAGAGGUAAAUUGCCAAUAGAAACAGAAUUGAAAGGAUUGAAAUAUCAGUUUGAAAACACUUACGGUAUCAUUAGGAACGUAUUCAGGGUCAAUCAUGCCGCGGUACGUGAGGGCCGAUUUGCAGAACAGAUGCUCCUUCCAUUCUGCCCACCAUUGCUUGUAUGCCUGUGUUAUGAAGGCGGCUGGAACCCACUCCGAUAAAUCUACGUCUGUAUCGGCACUCGAUGGCAGUUGGGCUACUCGGAUCCAUUCAAGGAGAUUGUUGAUGGUUUCCCUGGGCUUUAUCACAUCGGCGUAGCAGAGUGCGAUCGGCAGCUGGCCGAAAGCUAACUGACGGGCUAGUGCCGAUGGAUUGUAAAAUUCAUAUGUCUGAGGAGAGGUUUUUCCACUACCAAAGAAAUUCACUGGUAUAGCUCUGGGAGUUACCAUUGCCAUCAUCACUUCAUUAUCCCGGUCAAGAACUUCAUCAAAUGGGUUGAAAACCAGGGGAAGCAUACUGUCUGGGUCAUCAUAGGCCAACCAUGCUCGCUCAUCUCUGGCCAAGCCCUCAUACAGAGUUUGGAAGAAUCGGCUGAUCUGAUCUGGAUUACCCCCUGAACCAGGUAGAACUAUGACAGCUUCGCCGAAGUUUAAGGGAGCACGUGUUGCCGAUUCUUCUUCACCCAACACAUAAUUUUCAGUUAUGUCCCUUGGGAAACGCUAUGUGAAUAAGUUAAAAUUCAGGCGCUUGUGCAGAUGCAGAUUGAGCCACAUAUUGAUAAACCACCAGGGGCCUCCCAAGUUGCCGAUAGACUGGCCAAGCAAGAGCUUCUUAGUUACUUGGUGGAGGAGGUGAUAGGCUGCUCCAAGCAGGUAUCGGCCGAGAGGAAAUCGGCCACCAUUGGCCAGAUUUUCCGCUGCUGCUAGAUGAACGGAAGUUGGUCCUGCCGAUCGACCACAGAACACGAAUUUGUCUAGCCACAUGUUCAGAAAGCAGGUCUGCUCCUUUAUGUCAACAGGGCCUGUUUUGCGGUAUUUUUGGAUAUACCCUGACCAGCCGCCGAUGGAGCGGGUUUCUACCUUAGCACUGGGUUUGGUAUCAAAAAAGUGAGUGCUAUCGGUAGAAGAAAUGUCUAACCCGGUGAGCAUAGCCACAUCGGCAAGAGUGGGGGAAACAGGGCCAUGGCCAAAGACAAAGGCAUUGAGCGUGUCUGACCAGAAGUAUGACGCAGCUAUCAGCAAUGACUCGUUCCUAUGCAUAUCGGCAAUAGACAACCUAAUGCAUUGGGCUAGAUUUCUUUCACCCCAUUGGACUUCAUUUGAGUUGCUAACUCUCAGAAACCAAUCUGUCCACCCCACAGUAGGACUGGGCCAGGAGCGAAAAAUGUCCUUCCACAGAUCCAAAGAAAAGUUCUCUGCUCUGAAAGGGAUCCUAUUGGUUUCUGCGUUUAUGAGAUCGGUUGGAUCUGGAUCCCCUAACGGGCCAAGGCAUUGGAGAUGUGGUCGAUCAGUGGGGAUGACAAUUUUGUUAGCCGAUUCCUAAUGGUUUUGGAGGUAUACAAAAAAAACAAAAAAAAGGAGAAGGGGGAAAAAUAUUCAGUACGGCGGAUUGCAGAUAAACGAGGGUGCGAGAAAAGGUCAAUAGAUGGUGCGAAGGACUGACCUCAGGGAUGAUGAAGUUGACGGCCAUUUUGCCACGGAGGAGAAGCUUGAGAGUUUUGGAGUUGGUGAAGAAGGAGCCUCGUCGGAGAUCUUGGAGCUUUUGGAACAGCGCCGCCGCCGGAAAGGUGAGGUUGAAGUUGUAGAAUGAUGUGAUGGAGAAGGAGUACCCAAGAAGGAACUACUUAUAGGACAAAACGGGCAGGGGCAAAUCUGACUUAUCUCUUUGCCGCAUCCGAGAAAUCCGAGGGUGCUCAGGUAGAUAUGGUAACUGUUUGCACGGUAAUCAAGGGAUUGUGCAGGUGAUUUGAUAUGAAGCGGUCAUUAUUCAGAGAUAUUUCACUGUGCGAGAUCUCCUGGUCGGUCCAUCGGCGGUGACUUGUAACGGUCAUAUUGCCGAUGGGCAGAUAAAGUGGAGAUAGCCGUUUGGAAAAUAAGGUACGAGCAUCCUAGUCAGUCCAUCGGCAAAUCUUUGCAACAGUAAUAUUGCCGAUGUGCGACCGGAAAGGAAAUGUCCGUUUGGGAAGUUGAGGAUUUCAAGGGAUUUGCAAGAGAACAGGGUCAGAGUUGUUCAGAUUAAGGUUGUCGGUUACCAGGUUAGGAACAUUAAUUGCGGGAGAAGGCAUCAUUACUGCAGAGAAUUUCGGAGCACUAACGAUUCCAUACUCCGAAAUUGGGGGGCAUGUGUUGACACCGUUUUUGGGCACGUGUCCAUGUUUGGUAGAGUACAGGCCGGCAGGAUAGGACGACGGUGUUUUGUCUACAGGAUGAAUUGCCGAUGAAGGUGGUUGUCGAUGAAGGAGAGAUUGAACGUGACUAAGUCUGUAGAUGGUGAUGUGUCUGUGCCGAUGGCUACAACAAGGAAAUCUGCCGAUGAUUAUGACAAGGGAGUUUGUUGAUGAUACGGAGGGAGAGUCCGGGAGUUGCCGAUCGGUUUGUGGAGAUGUUCUAGCUUGUCACGGGGGAUAGCUUUAUGUUUUCCUUAGUUAUUUAAGUCGUUUUGUAUACGGAUUCUAUGUAAUUUGGAAUUCGAAUUCUAGUCGUGUCUGGUUGUAGCUCUUUGAGUAGGGUAUAAAUAUAGACCCUAGGGCCUUGUAAUGAGAUAUCGAUCAAUCAAUCAAACACACGUUUUUACUCAUAUUCCAGCAUCUACUUUUUCGACGACUUCGUCAUACUUUUCCUUUUCAUUACGAGUUCUUAGGAAUUCGUCGACUUAAGCUCGGCGUGUUCUCAAGUUCCGCGUGAGUACCUCUUAGCCGUGACAUCCGGGCGCAUCGCUGUUGUCAGGACUAAAGUAUUCGAGUUACCACCUUUGCCGAUAGUAAGGUCAAAUCGGCUGGCACGCCUUAACGUUUGAAUCGGGUAUUAGCCCUUUGUGUUUGCAGAUCAAUUUUUGCACCAACAGUAACUCAAUGCUUUGAGUGUAAGUAACUUAAAUGGUUUUCUGGUUUUACGGAGAGAUAUGUCCCUAAGCGUGAACUAUCUUUCCACCUAAAAAGAAAAGGGAAAAUAAAAUACUCUUAUAUUUCAUACCACACAAAGUGUAUUUCAAAAUGAUGUUAAGACACAACAACUUCAUGCUCUGUGUGCAAGCAACUUAAAAGUUUCCAUUUUGCUUAGGGAUAUGUCUCUGAGCAUGAGAGAUACCCGCCUUUCUUGCAAAAAUUAAAAGAAAAAAUAUACUCCUUUUGUAUUUUAAGUUGCACAAAAAUGUAUUAAAAAUGCUAUAAGGACAUUGUGUCGCCAUGUUCUAGGUCACUAGGUGCACGUAACUUAAAAGGGGGAGUUUUCUUGUUUUGCAAAGAGAUAUGUGCCCGAGCGAGAGAGAGAGAGAGACCCACCUUUCCCUCAAAAAAGAAGAUGGAAACAAACACCAUACUCCUUUUUAUUUUUACAAUGCAUCAUGUCUCUAGGUAAAUGGGAUUUCCAUAUUAAUGAUGAGUAUAGAGUCAAAUAUAUACGAAGUGCUACAUAUUAUGCGAGAUUUAUUAUUAGCUGGUUCUCAUCGUCAUAAUUCAUCUCCAUGACUUUUAUUUAUGGUUAUAAGUUGCACUUUGAGAUCAAGUUUUCUUUUCUUGCAAGGAAAUGAAUAUAUACAUGUAUUAGAGGGGGUAACACACAAUAAAAGGAUGUGCCUAUAUAUAAUUGGAAAAUAUGAAAACUUUGAGCACAGGUGUACGCACAUCGGCGUGGAUAAAUGUGUUUUUCAUUUGGCGGAAGACAAUACAAUGGCAAGUAUCCACACAUUUUAUGUGGCUUUGUUUGCACCCUGAAAAUCCUCUCACAAGAGUCGUGUGACCCUAGCACUGAUACCGGCAAAGUUACCAUGUUUUUUUAGAAUUAUACAGUACAACACAGACACUCACAAUGCACGCACACUCACCCCUGCGAAUGGAUUGAAGCAUAGUGUGAGAGAGACCUGCCUUUCUUGCAAAAUCGAAAAGGUAAAAAACCCCUUUUUGUAUUAUAAGGUGCACAAAAGCAUAUUAAAAAUACUAUAAAGAUACCAUGUCGCCAGGUUCUAAGUCACUAGGUGCAUGUUUACUUAAAAGGUUUUUUUCUUGUUUUACGAAGAGAUAGAGAGAGACCAACCUUUCCCUUAAAAAGGAAAAUGGACAGAAAACAUCAUACUUAUUUUGAUUUUCACAAUGCACCAUGUACAUGUAUGUAAAUGAUAUAUAUAUAUAUAUAUAUAUAUAUAUAUAUAUAUAUAUAUAUAUAUAUAUAUAUAUAUAUAUAUAUAUAUAUAUAUAUAUAUAUAUAUACACACACACACGGUAGCGGUAUUCUACACCCUACGUGUAGAAUAUUAUUCUACACCGCAAGUCAAAACUGAGUAGAAAAAAUACUGAGCGUACUGGAGAGUGUUCAGUAUCAACUUGCCCAACACUCAGGACCACGAAAUACUGAACAAUAUUGAAACACGAAUACUGAGUGAUACUGAAUUUUGCUCAGUAUAACAGUUUGAUGUAGAAUAGUAUUCUACACCUAGGGUGUAGAAUAGCACUUGUAUAUAUGAAGUGUUACACAUUAUGUGCCACUUAUUAUUGCUACUCCCCCUGUCUCUAAAUAAAUAGAUUUCUAGUUGUUUUAAGUCAAACUUUUUAAACUUUGACUGAAUUUAUAAAAAAAAAUAUCAAUAUCUAUAGUAUCAUUAGAUUAGAUUUAUCAUAGAAUAUAUUUUCAUAAGGUAUUCAUUUUAUUUCAUAUACAUUUUUAUUUUUUUUAUAUAAAGUUAGUUAAACUUAAAAGUUUGACUGAACGGAGUAUAAUAAGUUGCACUCUAGUGAAGAUCAAGUUUCCUUUUUCUUGCGAGGAAAACAAUACAGGUAUUUAAUUAGAGAGGUGGUAUAACGCUAUAAACGGAUGUGCCAUGUGCGUGUAUAUAAAAGGAAAACAUGAAAACUUUGAGCACAAAUACGCUUUCCAUUUGGAGGACAUUGUACAAGGGCAAGUAUUCACACAUUCUACGUGGCUUUGUUUUGCACCCUGAGAAUCCUCCCACAAAAGUUGUGUGACCUGGUCCCCGGUGCUCAUGGAUACCGUGCCAAGUAAGGUCUUGUUUAGUUGCGAAAAAAAUUUAGAUUUCGCUACUGUAGUACUUUCGUUUUUAUUUGACAAAUAUUGUCCAAUCAUGAACUAACUAGGAUCAAAAGAUUCGUCUCGCGAUUUACAGACAAACUGUGUAAUUAGUUUUUGUUUUUGUCUAUAUUUAAUACUUCAUGCAUGUGCCGCAAGAUUCGAUGUGAUUGAGAAUCUUGAAAACUUUUUAGAUUUCCGAUGAACUAAACAAGUCCUAAGUUACCAGGGCCUUGUUUAGUUCCGAAAAGAUUUCGGAUUUCGAUACUGUAGCACUUUCGUUUGUUUGUGACAAAUAUUAUUCAAUUAUGGACUAACUAAGAUCAAAAGAUUCGUCUCGCGAUUUCCAGUUAAACUGUGUAAUUAGUUUUUGCUUUCGUCUAUAUUUAAUGCUUCAUGCAUGUGCCGUAAGAUUCGAUGUGACGGGGAAUCUUGAAAACUUUUUGCUUUUUGGUGUGAACUAAACAAGGCCCAGGAUUGAAGCGAAACGUGGUCGUCAUGUUUACGUGAAUGAGUGAAGAUCAGAUCAACCGCACAGGUGGCCAUUAUUAAAACCCACGUCCAUGUGGGUAUUGCUAAGGUAAGGCAUGCAGGCAUCCCACUUUCCAUUUGGAAUCGAAAUCACUCUCUGAGGCUUUAUUUAGAUCAAAAAUCUUUUAGAUGUGGGUAUUGUAACAAUUUUGUUUGUAUUGGUAAUUGUUCUCUAAUUAUGGACUGACUAACUUAAAAAUUCGUCUUGUAAAUUAUAGGCAAACUGUACAAUCAGUUAUCGUUUUAACUAUAUUUAGUGUUUCAUGCAUGCGUCGUAAGAUUUAAUGCAACGAAAUUUUUUAAAAAAUUUUUGGUUUAUUUUCAACUAAAUAAGGCCUAAUUAUCCUACGAAUUAUAGUUAGGCCUUGUUUAGAUCCAAAAAUCUUUUGGAUUUUGACAUUGUAGCACUUUUGUUUUUAUUUGACAAACAUUAUUCAAUCAUAGAGUAACUAUACUUAAAAGAUUCGUGUCGUGAUUUACAGAUAAUCUGUGUAAUUAGUUAUCUUUUUUAUCUAUAUUUAAUAUUCUAUAUAAGUACCGUAAAAUUUGAUGUGAUGAGAAAUCUUAUAAAAUUUUAGAUUUUUGGAUGGAUCUAAACAAAACCUUACACAAGUGCUGGAUUGCAACGAUGCAGAUGCAGGCCAACAGGUCGGCAUGCCCUGGUGCUGCGUGCCGUGCGCGUCCCUGGGGCAGCGGUAGGCGGCGGCAGCCCAUGCCUAUGGCCCACGCCAUCAAAGCAGAGGGCCCCCCUAGCCGGCCGAGGCAGACAAACAGGUGGGGCGGGGUCCCGGCCUUCGGGGGUGAUGACUGAUGAGGGCGUGGCCGGACCGGACCGGACAGCUGGCGCUACAUAGGAGUUCCGCGCGGGACCCCACAUGAUCCGCCAUGCAUCUCGAGCAGGAGCAGGAGCUUUGAGGCCUCGUUUGCUGGUGAAAAAUUUUUAGAUAUCGCACUGCUUUCAUUUGUAUUUACAGUAUUCUCUAAAAUAUAAUAUUUAUCAACUCUUAAAUUAAUAUUCCUAUGAAAAGAAAAAAAGAAGUUAUUUUUAAGAGCUUUUUAUAUUUCUAUUUUAGAAGUUGUUUUCUCAGCACUUUUUCCUAUGACCAAGUCUUAUGUUUUUUACGUGUCUUAGUCCUUCCAGCAUAUCUUUCUCUCUUGUAUUUUCUCACAUAAAACCAUAUCUUUCUUCUUAUUUACUAGACGGGACGAGAAACUCUAGAUGCUCCUAGUCCACGCGCAUAAGGAUGGGAAAGCCGAAUGACAAUUUGUUAGAGAUGCUCUAACUAGAUAUAAAAGAUUCGUUUUAUAAAUUAUAGACAAACUAUAUAACUAGUUAUUUUUUAUCUAUAUUUAAUAUUCACCGUAAGAUUUGAUGUGAUAGAAAAUUUUGAAUUUUUUUUGAAUUUCGAGUGGAAGGAAGCAAGGGCCUUGAACGUGGUCUCGUUUCUUGCAACGACAACGACUCUUUCUUACCGUGAUGUCCUGCUGGUGGGCACCGUCCAAGAACAAGAAGAGAACCUUCUCCGCCCGCGCUUACACUCACGUUUCUUCCCCUCCCUCUGUACUCCUGCAUAAUAAGGGGAAAGACAGCCGUGCAGCACUGACCAGCGAUCCAGUGUAACCAACCCGACAUGGAAUGGAAUCCUCCUCUGUGUCUCUCUCUCUCUCCUACUACAAGGUAAGACCGUAAGAGUAGUUGGUGAAAAAUUUUAAGUUUUGCUAAUGUAACACUUUUAUUUUUAUUUGGUAAUUAUUAUCUAAUCAUGGACUAAUGAGACUGAAAAGGUUCGUCUCGUAAAUUAUAGGUAAACUAUACAAUUAGUUAUAUUUUUUAUUUAUAUUUAAUAUUUCAUGCAUGCGUUUAAAAUUUUGAUGUGACCGAGAAUUUAGAAAAUUUUUUUAGAACUGAACAUGCCAUACCGCUAUCUUCUCAUCUUUGUAGAAUGCACGGUUGCACACUCCACGCUAUUUGUGCUUGUAGCAAUCCUCCGCUAUUUGUGCUUGUAGCACUCCUCCGCGCGGCGGUCUCCCUGAUGUCAACAGCACACUCUUUGUGCCUGCCAUAUAUAGGUGCCGCUGUUAGAGCAUGUUUGGCACGGCCUUGUUUCCAGGUUUAGCUCUCACUUCUGUACAGGAGGCCCGCCAAAUGCUUUUAUGGAAAAAUCAUUUUUGAGUAAAAGCUGAAGACCUAGAGCCGUUUUGACGAAGCCACAAUUUGUAGCUUUACAAAAAUUGCUUGGGCUCCUCUAGAGAAAUCUCUCAGAGCAUCUCUAAGAGAUUAGCUAAAUCAUUUUCUAAAGCUAAAUUUAGCUAUUGUUGAAGGAAAAACGUUUCUAACAGACUAUGUAAAUAACUCUUCAAAUUUAGUAGCUCUUCAUCCCACCUUAUUCACUCUCUACUUUUGGAUAGCCUACCUCACUAGCCAUCCUUUACAAAGUCUGUUGGAGUACUCAAAUAUUUUUUUGUCAAAUCUAUUUUAGAGAGUAGCUAAAUCAGUAAAUUUGGCUAAUGCUUUUGGCUAAUCUCUUGGAGAUGCUCUCACGAGAAGUCCUGUUAAAUAGGUGCCGAACAACACACUCUUUUGGCCUAAUUAUCUUCCACACGACGGCUGGUGGAGACGCCGCAGGCCUACUUUAUUUUAAAUCCGGUGCCCUUGCAUGCAGAUGCAGCGGCGACCUCGAUCCAGCGCGUGGCGGUGGCGCCAUGGCCAAAACACCUAGACGACCGCGCGCUUGAUUUAUGUUUGUUCCCGGCCUCCUACGUUCAGCUUCGGUCACAGCUCUUGGAAGAAACAAGAAUGCAAUUGGAAGAAGCGCUUCGUCCCGUCCUGUUCCGUUCCGUUCUGUUCCCGUUCACGUGUUGGAGAGUGGAGACCAGCUCGAUGAAGUUCGGCAUGCAUGCCUGCCCGCACCGAACACCCAGCAAGAGCUGCGGGCGUCAAAGUCGUGAGAUGAGAAGCAUCCAGGCCUAGCGCCCAGCGCAGUUGUUGCAUUGGAUGCCGUACUCGCCUGCUCAGACUCGAAGUCGGACGUGGACCACGGAAGGCUGCGGCGAGAGAUCAGACUCUGUUUCCCUCUUCACUCCCGUCCGCCUGUUUUUGAAAGAAAGUGUUCGGUAAAAUAGCUUCACCAACUACUUUAUACAUAGUUGAGAGAGACAAAUAAAAGAGAAAGCUGCAAUAAGCUACUUUUUUUCAGCUUCAUCCCAACUCAUGUCUUUGUGAGAGGAGAGAAAAAAACAACUUUUAGAAAUAAGUGUUUGGCAAAAAAAUAGCUUACAACAGCUCAUGAAAUUAUUGUAAAGUGUACCAAACAUGCCUUUAGUUUCAAAAAUUUUCAAAAUUUUCCAUCAUAUCGAAUCUUAUGACAAAUGUAUGGACUAUUAAAUAUAAAUAAAAAAUAACUAAUUGCACAGUUGUAACACCCAAAAAUUUACAACUUUUGAAAUAGGUGAAAAAUGAUUUAAUUAUGAAUUUUUUUGCUCAUGGAAAUAUAGGAAAAAUCAUAUUUUUUUAGAAUAAAAUUUAUCAUAAGGUUUAGCAAUAAUUGUGUGUAAAUCAUGCUGGUGCAUUUUGUUUAUUGAGAUGAGUGACUUUGUUAAAAGUUCAAAAUAUUUUUUAGAAUGAUUUGAAAAUGGCUUGAAAGAAAAGAAUUAAAAAACAAAAGAAAAGAAAAGAAAAAAAAAGAGAGAUAGGCCUGGACAGCACAGGGCUGCUCCCCUCAUCGCGUGGCCACGGCCCAGGGCGCGGCCCAGCUGCUGCCCCACGCGCGCUGACCUCCCCUCUCCAUUGACCCACUGACAGCUGGACCUUGCCACCUCUCUCACUGACCGCCUGGACCCACGCGUUGGAUUCCUCCUCUUUCCUUCCUUCUUCCCUGGGCGUGCACGACCGGGACUCCAUCGAAGGAGACCGCGCCCUAAUCCCGAUUUCUCAGGGAUUCGAUCUCCCUGAGUCCUUUUUAAGCACUGUGGAGCCAACCGCGACUCCCUUUUCCAUCUAUUGCACCGGGGAGGCCCCUCUAACCCUUGCUUGGCGAGGUUUGGAUCCCGCCGAACCUGUCCCCAAGCCGCCGCCGUGGUUAACGCAUUGUGCUGUCGCUCCGGUGAAUUCGAAUCUUGGCCGAGCUUCACAACACUCCCACGACGUCUCCAAGCUCCCUCUUUCUUUCUCUCGUGCUCUGAUUCAAUUGCUUAUGGUCACCGAUGUGCUCAGGAGGUUCGCGUCCGCCAUAUCACGAAGCCGGUCGUCCUCGAACUCUCUCUGCCUCUAAAACGUCGUGAGUUCGCCUUGACCUAAGUUUUAUCCCAGUGGUUUUAUUUUUCAGUUUGGUGCACGAAAUCAUCGGGACGACGAACUCCGGCGAGGAGUUCUGCCCUCCGGCAAUGGCGCCACCGCGCUGGCCACUGUAGUGGGCCAGCCGCCGUUCUUCUCUUCCCCUGGAACUGUUUUCCACCGUUCGUUUCUGAUCUAAUGGCUCAGAUCGGCCGAUACCAGUUCGGCUGUGACUUUUGCUUAAGAGACCCCUGGAAGUUAGGAAUCCAACCCGCAGUCCCUCGGCACACUCUGAGAAAUACGUUUUUCAACUCCAAAAGCGUAUUCUUUGUCGGUUAUGUUGAAAUACGCUUUCUGAUAUUUACAAGAUUGCCACUGAUUUUGUUUAGCUCAUAAAAUCUUUGUUUUAAUUCCGUUUUGACCCAUUCAAAUUACGUUGCGUUCGUAUUUGAAAGAUCUACAUGUUAGUAAACUUAACUCACCAGUUUGAAACUUUUUAAUUUCGUAACCUUAAGUAAUUAAUUAUUUUUUAUAUAAAAUCUUAGAAAAUUCAUAUAUUCUCUGUUUCAACUCCGAUUUUCGUGAUCUUUACGUCUGUGAGAUCGUAGCGAUGCGUAGAAUCAUUUUAUAAACUCUUCAUACUGUUUUUAUAUGUUUGGUGUACUGUUCUAAUUGUAGCCUUGUUUGCUUCGUGUAUGUUGUCUUCGAUUGUUUGUGUAUUGAUAAUCGAUGAUCGAGUUUAGUCGGAGAGCAGUUUGCAGUGAUCAAGAUCAGAGCCUUGGACAACUAGUAAGACCAGCAGGAUCAACAAGAGCAUUUGGAUUAAGGCAAUUAUAGCAUUUGGAUUUUAUUUCUAUGACCAUGAUCCUGUGGAUAGAUUAAUGUUAAGUAAUAAAUGAUAAAAAUGACUUUUUAGCCACUUGAUGAUUUAUCUGUAAGUGAUAACCGGGACAACAGUGCAACUAUGAGGGCUAUAAUGGCUCUGACUUUAGUUAAGUAUGAGUAAUUUUUCUAGCUCGUUAGCGGUUACCGUGUGGCGCAAUUAGGGAAUAGCAGACCGUGGAUUCCUGCGGGUGGAUCACACGGAGUGACUAAUGAAACCAAGCGACCCUAACUUGUUAGACGAACCUUUCAAAGACUUCAUAGUGAUCCCUGUCGACCUUCCUUGGUAGUGGGUUAAGAGGCUGAUCACCUCAGGCGAAAGGGUAAAUCAUGACUCAUGGGUAAAGAUGUACAACCUCAACAGAGUGUUUAAAACCGGUAUACUAGCCGUGCUCACGGUCACGAGCGGCCUUGGGAAUUCUUGCAUUAAGGGCGAUGAUUCCUGUUUUGUUAAAAUACUCAUUAUUUAUUGUUUAGUGCUUUACAUUAUUUAUGUCACAUUGAUCAUGAGAUUGUGGGAUCUAUACAAUCUAGUUGCUAUACUUGUGGAGUUCGACAUGGACUCACUCUUGCUAUUUUCCCCAAACUUCAGGAGAUGUUAGGCUUGUGAUCAACUAGUCAGUUAGAUCCUGUAGAGAGAAGUUAAUACCCGAAGUUUGGAGUUGUUCAUCCGCUGUUUGCUAUCAAAGGUUAUCUCUUUUAUACUAAGUACGUUAUAUAAUUUAUGUAUUGUCUUCUGAUAUUACCCCUCAUUUGUAGCUAUAUGUGAGACUUGUCUUCUAAAACUCACAUGUGGUGCAUAUCUGGUUUUAUCCUUAAAAUUUGGUAUUACAAUAGUUCACCUAUAAUUUGCGAGACAAAUCUUUUAGUGUCAUGUUUAGAUGUGAAAAUUUUUUGGAUUUCGCUACUGUAGCACUUUCGUUUGUUUGUGGCAAAUAUUGUCCAAUCAUAGACUAACUAGGGUCAAAAAAUUUGUCUCGCGAUUUAUAGGCAAACUGUGUAAUUAGUUUUUGUUUUCGUCUAUAUUUAAUAGUUCAUGCAUGUGCCGCAAGAUUCGAUGUGACAGGGAAUCUUGAAAACUUUUGGGUUUUUUGGGUGAACUAAACAAAGCCUAAGUUUAGUUAGUGGAUAAUAAUUAUCAAAUACAAACGAAAGUGCUACAGUAGCUAAAAUCAAGAAAAAUGCCAACUAAAUAAGGCCUAAAUAUGAGCAUGCAGCCUGCCGCCAAGAGGCCUGGCACGAGGCAAGAAGAUUUUGCCCGACCUAAGCAUGGCACGGUCUGUACCUGAGCCGCACCCGUGCUGGCAUGAAGCAUACAACAUGUCAUGUUUGGGCUGACCCCUUGGCCCACCAGGCGACUGUUGAUAGUCGAUAACGUCAACUUUUAUUAGAACUUUAGACUCAAAGGAGAACAUGAAAACACACUAGUCUAGGGUUUAAACUGACAAUUUUCAUGAGUUUUACAUAUUCUGUAUUUUCUAGGGUCUAUUUCCAGAAAAGCUGAAAAGAGGGAUUCAAGUGCAUAUUUACCACAAAACUUAUCCGCCACGAAAAAGAUCACGAACGGGAUGGGAAGACUCUGGAAGAUACCAGAAGAAACUGGGGGCCAUGGCGCCUGCCGGCGCCCCCUGUUAGGGUUUCGGCUUCUCUUCUGGAAGCUUCCUCCACCGCCUCCGAGGAGUCAUCUUGGUCCUUGGUUAAGUCGGUUUGAUCCUGCGGCGCACGUCGAUCCCACCGGGCUAUAAAUAUAGGGGCAAACCCUCCUCCCAGGGGACAUCAAGUCAUUUGGAGAUCCAUUCAUCAAGAGCCUUCUCUAGUUCAUCAGAGCCUCUCUAGCUUAUAGUUUUAGCUUAGUUAGAUUAGAAGUAGAAGAGUUCUAGUUCUUCAGCAGGAUCCGAAGCCCCUGACGUCUGUCUGGAGAGCACAGUUCGGUAUAGCUCUUGUACAUUUCUCUUAUUGUAUUCAAUAUUAUGAUUCAGGAAAUAUUGUUCUUAAUCUCUUAUAUAUUCUUAAUUGCAUUAGUCAUUGUCUACUUUGAUUAUAUGUCUAGGAUAGUUGAUUUGAUCUUAUUUAAUCCAUGUAAUUGCUCGUAUAGCGUUUACCCAAUCGAUUGGUGGGUAGAUGGUAGACAAUAUGUAGACGGGGUGUCUAGAUAUCUUUGUUUAUCUGUGAGGGCACCCUAACGUGCCAGGUCAUGUGGUAGUCCACGCAAGUGAUAGUUGCGUUGGUUCCUCUAUUGUCCACCCCCCGUACGUAGGACAGCUUAGGCGCGGUCGCGAAGGAGGUAACGGUUGCGUCUUAAAACCCUCAUUAGUUGAUGUCUCUUUGCAUGUGAUUAUGAUAUAGGGUUGACCUAACAAUGAUUUGUAGAUGUAAUUGCACUAAUUAGAGUUAUUCAUUGAUGUAAUUAUAGAAUUACCUUAGUAUUUAUUCCUGAGUUUAUCCAUUGGCUAGCUAUUACUUUGACUAGAAGAGCUCUGAUAUUUAUCUAUUUAUGAUGACUGAUCAUUAUUUAUCUUAUAUCUUUUAUCAAGUGACUUAUCACUGUUAUGAGUAGGAUUCUAGUUAUGGUUUAUCGUUCACACCAAUAGUAUAAGUUAUAGUUAUAAGUCCUAUGUAUAGACCUUCCAAGUGGAUACAAUAUUCAAAACCCCCCGGGUAAAAUGUGACAUUGGUACGAUAUUUGUGCACUUGCAGAUAAUCUUACUUAAAUCUUAUUUAAAGGAGUGUAGUUAAUUUAUACCAACAGUGACACCGCACGUUACAGAAAUAAUGAGAAGGAUUAGUGCCCGCUCACUAUGAGCAGCCUACUUAAGUCUAAAGACCCAUCACGUCAUCACUCUCAAACCCUAAACCUCACUCCCACUCAACCCUUGGCCAUUCCUUCCCCACCACCCACACCGCACCCCCUGCAACCACGCCUCCUCCUUAGCCCUUACCUCUAGCAUCACCCGCUGGCCUCCUCCAUGCCACCAUCAUCACCGGUGAAGGAUCGAGAUAGCGGACUAGAGAGAGGGUGAAUAGUCCUUUCAAAAAUUUAUCACACCAACUAACUGAAAUAAAUGCAAAAUUAAAAUUAUCGGUCUAGCCAAGACUACACCCCUCUGUCUAAUUUCUUUAGCAACUUGUAAAAGAUCAUAAACAAGCAAACAAGGUGCUUUCUUAGCAAGAGCUCACCUAACCAAAUCUAGGAGCAAGGCCACAUAAACCUAUGCCACUAGUACUUUGCAAACCGGGGGAGCCCUACACAACUAGUAAGCAAAAGCACAAAGCUCCUAAGCUCAGUAGCAAGCUCAAUAACAAGGCAAUGCCAAAUUUGAGAGCAAAACUUACUUAGCUACACAAACUAAGCAUAGUGACUAACAAGAUUACACAAACCAAAUUAGCCACGCAACAAAACUACUUCUAGCUACACAAGCAAGAAGGUAACUAGCAAGCUACACAAGCUAACUAAUUACAAGAGCAACUACACAAGCACAAGUAUAUGAAUAUAAAUACAAGCUUAUGUUAGGGAUAUGCAAACUAACGGGAAUAACAAUGUUGACACAGUGAUUUUCUCUCGAGGUUCACUUGGUUGCCACCAAGCUAUGUCCCUAUUGAGACAAGCUCAAAGAUUGCCACCGGUCCUCUUGCUAGUGGUGACCUGCAAGUCACACUCUCCCACAUAGAGUGCUUACCACAAGCUCUAGCACUUGACCCGGUUGGACCACUUGUCGCCCUCCAUGUCUCGCUCUACUAGAGUUGCUCUUCGCGAUUCUCACGAGGUGAGCACCGUACCCCUCACAAUCUCUUCUUCAGAGCACCGCACAAUCUCCAUGCGUGCUUCCAUGGAGUCACAAGCCACCAAGCCAUCUGGAGGUGGAAACCUUCAAGAGUAACAAGCACCACCGGCUUGCAACACAAACACCUAGUGCCACUCGACGCAACCUCAUGAUGCAAUCACACUAGAAUUGCUCACUCACACAAUCAUGUACAUGUGUGUUAGCUUUUUUCAAAUAUUUUCCCAAAGGAGUUAGCCUCUCAAACUUGCCACACCACUCAAUCCUAACACAUAUGUAAAGUUAGAUCACUCAAGUGGCACUAGAUAACUGAUAUGCAAACAAGUUUUCCCCUCUUGAUAGUAUAGCCAUUUAUCCUAAAUCCGGUCAUAAACUUCUCUACACACCUAUGACCAGUGAAAUGGAAAUGCUCUAGGUUAUACUAUUGCCUUGCAUAUUCCAUUCCAACUCCUCCAAUGUUGAUGCAACACAUGCACUAAUCCAAUCACCAAAUGAUAUGAUCCACUUCAUAUCAUCACAUGACUGUAUUGGUUCAUUGAUCUUAACCUCACUUAGUUUUCACCAUUGCCUUGGUCCAUUGCUGCCAAGUCUUGCUCAAACUUAACCGUCACACAUGGUCCCUCACUCCAAAGCCUCCGACUUUCCCUUCACACUUGUAAUUGGUCCAUCGAGCCAAGCCUCAUCUUGAUCUUCUCCACCUUGGUCACAUGACUCCAUGUCAUGUCUCAUAUAUAAUGAGCUCCUCCAUCAUCACAUAUUAACCUGUGGACUAAUCUCCUAUGUAUCUGACAUAAACAUUAUUAGUCCACCUAAGUUGUCACUCAAUUAUCAAAACCAAACAAGGACCUUUCAGCUGGUGAUCUCGCCUCUGCACCACUGGUCGAUAGCCUGCAUCCAAGCGGCAAUGGCCUUCUCCAUGGCAUCACCAAUCUAGGCUCCUAGCCACUGCUCCUCCAUGACAUCAUGGAUCCAAGCGGUGGUGGUCCAUGACAGUGAGCGACCUCUCCUCCUUCCUAGGCAUCGGUCGGCCUAGUGCGCUACUAGGCCCGUGCUUAUCGGGCCAAGCCGGCAUGAAAAGUGGCCCGUAGACCGUGCCUAGGCUGUCGGCCAGGCACGAUGGACUGCUAUGGCACGGCCUGGUGGCCUAGCGGGCCUUUUCGUGCCAUGCCCUAUCAGGCCAUGCCUGGCACAGGCCUAUGCCAUGCCGGGUCAGGCUGUCCUGUUGCAUAUCUUUAGCUGCAUGCUAGUACGUGACUUCUGUCUAUUUUUUUAAACAAUUCUCAUGUGUGUCAUAAAAACUUGAUCCAUCUAUAUUACUAUUGAAGAGUUCAUUGUGAUUCUUAUACCAACUUUUUUCUCCCCUAAUAGGGCAGUUCCGUCAACUGGUGUUAGCUCUCUGUCUAGCACCACUGUUAGUAAUACUUGGUUGAAUAGGCGUGGGUCUCAGCAAACCAAGACCACCCUUUUCCUUUGGUCAAGUGAAUUUAUCCCAAGCAAAAUCUAAUGAGUUCACCUGGUCUCUAACAAAUUGUACACCAAUAUCGCCUGAUACAACACAUAAGGAUCUAACACAACACUACCUCUGUCCUCUUUUCAGAGUUGUUGUAGCUGUGCUUCUAGCUGUCUCCAUUGAGAGCAUCAUGCAUGUAUCUAGGUAAAAGAUUUAGUCCAAAUUCGUAGAAUCUUGCAUGCACUAAAGUGAAGGCUAAAACAACUAUUAAAUGGGGACAGAGGGAGUAAUACUAGAAGCUGGAAAACACUACUCAUACAUAUAGUGGAAUAGCCUGCAUUAUCGAUAUUAUUAGAACCACCCUUUGUGUCUUAAGACAGACAACGUUCAUGCCACCUACUAUCUCUCUGUCAGUCUGCCUUCCGGUGUAGAGUACCUCAAGUAUUUUGCCUCAAAGGCAACUACAUGCAUAAUAUUUUACCCAUGCUUUGUAUAGCUCUAAAUCUCAAAUACAAACCAAUAUGAUGAUUCGUAUAGAUGUCCGUACAUGCAAACACUCGUAAAAAGCCUGAGAACAGAUGCCCAAUGAAUGACGGCCAACAUUCUUGCAGGAGGAGUUGAGAAGCUUCUUCUUUCUAGUGUCUUUUUUCUUCUUUUUUGACACUAAAGAAUAAAUAAGACUCAUCUAAAACUUAUUCUCCCUAGGCUUUCGUUGUGCUUAGAUCUAACCAUAAUAAAAUAGAAAAGAGACGGGAGAAAAUUAUUCCAUAACGGCGACAUUAUCUCCACCUUAAUGGCGCCAUUUGGAAAAAGUUUCCAUGUCGUCAUACCGAAGAAGUCGUUGACAUCAUAGUUGUCACCCUCAUCUUCAACAUAGCGGUCAUAGAGAAAACAAAUCCAUCCUACCCCCCACCAUUGUCGGGAAGGAGGAGGAGAUAAAUCACCUAUGGAGAGAUCCUAACCCGAAAUGAUUCAAUCCACUAGAAAACUUAUUCAUGCGAUGGAUCGUCACUCCCCACCUACUAGCGAGAUGCCAGAGGAGGAAGGAAGGAGGGGGCAAUGAUGGUGAAGGCGGUGGUGGUAGCUGCGGUGCCGACAGCUGUUGCUCUCUCUAGGGCUAAGUGACAACUCUUCCUUGCCAAAGGUCUGAGUGGGUCGAAACCUAUCUAAAAAGUAGACUUGGCCAAACGAGCGGCCUGGCCCUGGUGAAAGAGCAUCUUGACCCCUAGUGAUUUCAGUGAUUAAUGACAUUGUUGAUUACUAUGACUAACAUGUGUUUUGCAGAGGCAAAGUCAUAGGUAAGGUCAUGGUAAAUAGGUACUCGAUGGACAGGGACGUAUAUGCCUACUUAAUAGUGGAAAUCGUUUCGGUUUUCAAAGGAUGGAUGGACAUCGUCAAGACUAGACUAGGUCUAAGUGCCAUAUGGUGAAGAAGGGCACUUAGAGUAGUUUAGGACUCUGUUUUCCUUUGACCGUACUAUUAAGAGGGGCUUUGAUCUAGUAGCUUGACUUAGGCAAGGCUUUAGGUUUAGGUGUGGUGCACACUUGGUAAACCUAGCUCUAGGCAGCUCAGAGAUAGUCCUUAUAUCGAGAGGAACAAACUUCGUUUUGGAGCGAUCGCAUUUCGACGAAGUUAGGGUGCCCAAGGGGGCACCGGACGCUGCACCGGACGCUCUGUGAGUGCGUCCGGUGAGGUCCUUAGCCGUUGGAUCAGUGCCGUGCUUAGGGUUAGGCACCGGACGCUGGCACCGGACUCACCGGGUAGUGUCUGGUCCCUUACCUAGGGAGGUUGCAAACCUGCCCUGAGCACCGGACGCUAGCACCGGACGCUCCGGGUAGUGUCCGGUCCCAUGCGCAGGGAGCAUGUAAGUUUCCCCGGAGCACCGGAUGGUGCACCGGACGCUGGAAGUUAGCGUCCGGUGACCUGUCAGAAGCAAGUACAGUUAGCCGUUAUGGAGCACCGGACGCUCGAUGCAGUGCGUCCGGUGCAACAUAAUGUGCGUCCGGUGACCUCGUUUUCAGUGGAAAACGGUUGGCUGACCUUUGGACUUUGUGGGUAGUAUUUAUACUCCUCCACCUCGUCCAUGAGAGCUCUCUUGCCCAUUUGAACAUCAAAGCAACUUGUUGUGGAGCAAGAGAGUAGCAAGAGCCUAGAGAGGAUUGAGAUUUGAGUGAUUUCUUGAGAGAAUCCUUCUCUAGUGAGUUCCAAGAGUCAAGUGUGCAUCCACCACUCAAUAGAGUCUUGUUUGGGUCAAGUGAGAGUUCUUUGCUUGUUACUCUUGGUGAUCGCCAUCACCUAGACGGUUCGGUGGUGAUUGGAGGCACGAAGACCGCCCGGAGUUCUUGUGGGUGGCUCGUGUCAAGCUUGUGAGCGGUUUUGGGCGAUUCACCGCGACGGAGUGUCGAAGAAUCAGCCCAUAGAGAGCACUUGGUCCUUGCGCGGACCAAGGGGGAGCAAGACCCUUGCGCGGGUGCUCCAACGAGGACUAGUGGAGAGUGGCGACUCUCCGAUACCUCGGCAAAACAUCACCGAGCACUUUCUUCCACUACUCCUUUACUUUCUAGCAUUUACUUUGUGCUUUUACAUUCUUAGAAUUACCAUGCUAGAAUAGGAUUGGAACUAGGGUGCAAAAUUUUUUAUCCGGUAGCUCUCUAGGUCACACUAGGCACAAGGGGUUGAAUUGGAGCUUAUAGGUUGCUUAAAUUUGUAGAGAAGCCCAAUUCACCCCCUCUUGGGCAUCUUGAUCCUUUCAAUUGGUAUCAAAGCCUAGUGCUCAUUAUUUAGGCUUCACCGCCUAGAGAAAAGAUGUCUAACGGGGAUGGACCGCCACCCAUGUUCGAUGGGGAUGACUUCCCGUAUUGGAAAAUACAGAUGGAAUCAUACCUUGAGGCAUGCGAUAUAAAGUGCCUAAAAGCCGCGACCGAAGGGUUUACCCCACCGGAAAGAGCCACCGCUCUUACUCCACAAGAGCAAGAAAACGAGAAGUGGAAUGCGAAGGCCAAAAACCACAUCUUUAGAGGCCUUUGCAAAGAGGUGUUCAACCGCGUUCGGAGCCACAAAACAGCCAAUGAACUUUGGAAGGAACUUUGUGCGCUCCAUGAGGGAUCAAAGAGUGAACGCGAGGAACGCUAUCACCUAGUGAUGAACAAGCUUAAUACAUUUGAGAUGCUUCCUAAAGAAAAUGGUAAUGAAAUGUAUUCUCGCUUGAAUGUCAUUGUAGAGGAGCUAAAUGGACUUGGGCUCACUCAAAUGAGUGCGGCGGAUGUAGCAAGGAAAAUACUAUGUGUGCUUCCCAUUGAGAAAUAUGGGCACAUAGUAACGGUGCUUCAUCAAGGCGAUCUCUCCACCGCUACACCAACCGCCAUAUUGGGGAAGAUCAAUGCUCAUGAGAUGUACAUGCACAUGAACCCCCAAGAUGGCUCCUCGUCGGCCAAGAAAGAAAAGAAGGACUUGGCUCUCAAAGCUUCCCACAUGGGCAAAGCCAAGAAGAUUGAAGUUGAGUCAUCAACUUCAAGUGAUGAUGCUGCAUCUAUUGCUCUCUUGGUGAGAAGAACCACAAAGAUGUUGAAGAAGCUCAAUAAGAAUGGAGUCAACUUUGACUCCAAGAAGAAGAAGUUCUUCACAAGUAGCAAGAGGAAGCCCAUCUCCGAGAUGGAUUGCUACAAUUGUGGUGAGCUUGGUCAUCUUGCUCAUCAAUGUCCAAAGCCCAAGAAGGACAAAUACAAGAAGAAGAACAAAGAGCAAGAUGAUUCAAGUGAUGAUGAGAAGAAUGACAAGAAGCAUUACAAGAAGAAAGGUGGCAAGAAGAAGGAGCACUACAAGAAGAAAAAUGGCAAGGCUUACAUUGUUGGUGAUUGGCUCACCGACAUUGAGAGCUCAAGUGGUGACUCCUCCGGCAAUGAAAGUGAUGAUGAGAAGGUUGCCGCCAUUGCCAUCGAUGCUCCAUCACCAUCAUCUUCACCACCAUCUACAUCCUCUACACACCUAUGCCUUAUGGCCAAAGGUGACCGGAAGGUACAAAGUGAGGAUGAGAGUAGUGAAAGUGAUAGUGAAUAUGAAUCACCUUCUUAUGAUGAACUUGUAAAAUUGCUAAAUAAGUACACAAAAGUCAUAAGAAAAUCUAGAAGUGAAAAUGAAAAGCUUGAACUUGAAAAUGAAACACUUCUAGCAAAGCUUAAGUCUAGUGAUGAGCUUAGAGACCAAAAUGAGAUCAUGACCACUAGGCUCAAGGAGCUCAAACUCUCUCUAAAAGAGCUCAAAGAAAAACAUGAUAAACUUGAGAGUGUUCAUGAUGAGCUUAUCACAGGAUAUAGAGCAAUGAAAGAAGAACUAACAACUCUAAAAGCAAACUAUGACAACCUUGAGAUUGCUUAUGAACUUGAAAUUGAUGAAACACAUGUUGCUACUAACAAUUUUGCUAAGCUUGAUGUAGCCACAUCUUGUGAUGACUUACUUGUGGAGAGCACAAGCAAAUGUGUUGAUUGCAAGGGCAAAAAAGUGGUAGUGGCCGAGAGCUAUGAGGACACCAUCAAGCUCAAGGAUGAAAUAGUCAUGCUCAAGAAAGAGUUGCAAGACCAAGCCAAGCACAAGACCAUUGUGAUUGAGUCACUUGAUCAAGACAAGAAGCUUGCAUAUGAGAACAAGUUACUCAAGGAAUAAAAUCAAUAUCUCAUGCUUGGUUUGAUGUAUGACAAGCAAGAAGAAGAUGAGACAUUCAUCUUGGAUGAGUUAGCUAGCAACAAUGACCCAAUCAUCAAGAAGCUAACUCAAGAGAACAACAAGCUCAAGAAAGAGAAGGAACACCUAACCAUGGGGUUAGCAAAGUUCACAAAAGGGAAGGACCUUCAAAGUGAGCUUUUCAUGAACACCGUCAUGAAGAUGGACAAGAGUGGAAUUGGCUACAAGGGUCAUCAAACAAAGCUCAUCAAGUCACUAGCCACUCAUGAUCAACCAAGCAAGCUAAAGCCAAAGAGAUGCUUUGAGUGUGGUCAAGAAGGACACUUUGCUCAUGAGUGUAAGGCACCACUACCACCACCCUUGCCCAAGCAUGCAAGACCAUUUGCCUUCAAUGCUCACUACAUUGUAAGGAAAGACAAGAGUGGCAAGGUCAAGGUUAGCUUCAUGGGGCCGCCCAACAAGCAAAGGCCAAAGAAGAUUUGGGUGCCAAAGCAACUAGUAGAGAAGGUCAAGGGCCCUAAGCAAAUAUGGGUCCCUAAAUCUCAAGCUUGAUCUCUUGUGUGUAGGUGAACUACAAGACCGGUGGAUCACAUUGGGUAAUUGAUAGUGGUUGCACUCAACAUAUGACCGGAGAUCCCCGGAUGUUCACCUCUCUUGAUGAAGAUGUUGAUAACCAAGAGAAGAUCACAUUUGGUGACAAUUCUAAAGGCAAGGUCAAGGGACUAGGAAAGGUUGCUAUAUCAAAUGACAACGCCAUCACCAAUGUGCUCUAUGUGCAAUCAUUGAGUUUCAACUUGCUCUCGGUUGGACAACUUUGUGAUCUUGGAUUUGAAUGCCUAUUCAAGAAGAAGGAAGUAAUAGUGACCAAGGAAGAUGACAAUGAAGUGAUAUUCAAAGGCUUCCGACACAACAACUUAUAUGUAGUUGAUUUCUCAUCCGAUGAAGUUGAUGUCAAGACUUGCUUAUUCACCAAGACUUCACUUGGGUGGUUGUGGCAUAGAAGGGUAGCACAUGUUGGAAUGGGCACACUCAUGAAGUUGAUGAAGAAAGAAUUGAUUAGAGGCUUGAAGGAUGUGACAUUUGAGAAAGACAAGCUUUGUAGUGCAUGUCAAGCCGGCAAGCAAGUUGCAAAUACUCAUCCAACCAAGGCCUAUCUCUCUACUUCAAGAGUGCUUGAGCUACUUCAUAUGGAUUUAUUUGGACCAACCACAUAUGCUAGUCUUGGAGACAACAAAUAUUGCUUGGUCAUAGUUGAUGAUUUCUCCCGAUACACUUGGACAUUCUUUUUGCAAGACAAGGCCGAAGUUGCAUCAAUAUUCAAGAAGUUUGCAAAGAAUGCCCAAAAUCAAUUUGAUGUCAAGGUCAAGAAUAUUAGAAGUGACAAUGGCAAAGAGUUUGACAACACCAACAUUGAAGAGUAUUGUGAUGAAGUGGGAAUCAAGCAUGAGUUCUCCUCAACAUACACACCACAACAAAAUGGGGUUGUAGAAAGAAAGAACCGGACAUUGAUCACCUUGGCAAGAACAAUGCUAGAUGAGUAUAAUACUUCGGAGAAAAUGUGGGCCGAGGCAAUCAACACCGCAUGCUAUGCUUCAAACCGGCUCUUUCCUCACAAGUUCCUAGAGAAGACACCAUAUGAGUUGCUCAAUGGGAAGAAGCCCGAUGUCUCAUUCUUUAGAGUGUUUGGAUGCAAAUGCUACAUCUACAAGAAGCGCCAACACUUGGGAAAGUUCCAAAGAAUAUGUGACAAUGGCUACUUGGUUGGCUAUUCAUCAAAGUCCAAGGCAUAUAGAGUCUUUAACCAUGCCACAAACAUGGUUGAAGAAACAUUUGAUGUUGAAUUUGAUGAAACUAAUGGCUCCCAAGGAGCAAGUGAUAAUCUUGAUGAUGUAGGUGGUGAACCAUUGAGGGAUGCCAUGAAGAACAUGCCCGUGGGAGACAUCAAGCCAAAAGAAGAUGAUGAUGAUGUGCAAGUCAUUGAGCCACCAUCCACCUCACAUGGUCCACAAGAUGAAGACAAGGAUGUGAGAGAUGCUCAUGAAGACACUCAAGUCACUGAUGAGCAAGCGGUGGCACAAGCACAAGAUGUUGAUGCUUCCCAACCAACCCCUCAAGUGGCACCAAGAAGAACAUCACAUCUCCUCCAAGAUCACUCUCAAGAUCUCAUCAUCGGGAGUCCAUCACGUGGUGUAACUACUCGUUCUAGACAUGCUUUAUUUAUUGAACAUCACGCUUUUGUGUCUCUUGAAGAUGAACCAAAGACCAUAGAGGAAGCUCUUCGUGAUGCGGAUUGGAUCAUGGCCAUGCAAGAGGAGUUGAACAACUUCUCUCGCAAUCAAGUAUGGACACUUGAAGAGCGACCCAAAGAUGCAAGAGUGAUUGGAACAAAGUGGGUCUUCCGGAACACGAAGGAUGAUCAAGGCAAAGUGGUGCGCAACAAGGCAAGGCUCGUGGCAAAAGGCUUUUCACAAGUGGAAGGUCUUGACUUCGGUGAAACCUUUGCACCGGUGGCAAGACUUGAAGCAAUCCGUAUCCUACUUGCAUAUGCAUCUAGUCAUAAUAUAAAGUUAUUUCAAAUGGAUGUGAAAAGUGCUUUUUUAAAUGGAUAUAUUAAUGAGCUUGUCUAUGUUGAGCAACCUCCCGGUUUUGAAGACCCUAGGUACCCCAAGCAUGUCUACCGGUUGUCCAAGGCUCUCUACGGUCUCAAGCAAGCUCCUAGAGCUUGGUAUGAGAGGCUUAGGGACUUCCUCAUUGAGAAGGGCUUCAAGAUUGGGAAAGUUGACACAACACUCUUCACCAAGAAAAUGAAUGGGGAAAUCUUCAUUUGCCAAGUUUAUGUUGAUGAUAUUAUUUUUGGCUCUACUAAUGAAGAUUUCUGCAAGGAAUUUGGUGAUUUGAUGUCCAAGGAGUUUGAGAUGUCCAUGAUUGGCGAGCUAUCCUUCUUCCUAGGAUUUCAAGUCAAGCAAAUGAAGGAAGGAGUUUUCAUCUCUCAAGAGAAGUACACUCAAGAUCUUCUCAAGAGAUUCAAGAUGAUGGAUUGCAAGCCAAUCAAGACUCCCAUGGCAUCAAAUGGGCAUCUCGACUUGGAUGAGGGAGGUAACCCAAUUGACAAGACUCUCUAUCGCUCCAUGAUAGGAAGUCUCCUCUACCUCACCGCAUCUAGGCCCGAUAUAAUGUUUAGUGUGUGUAUGUGUGCUAGAUAUCAAGCAAUGCCUAUAGAAUCUCAUUUGAUUGCGGUCAAGAGAAUUCUUAGGUAUCUAAAAUACACACCUUGCCUAGGUUUGUGGUAUCCCAAAGGUGCAAGAUUCUAACUUGUAGGCUAUUUCGAUUCGGAUUAUGUCGGGUGCCGGAUUGAUAGAAAAAGAACAUCCGGAGGGUGCCACUUCCUAGAUAGAUCACUUGUCUCUUGGAUGUCAAAGAAACAAAAUAGUGUUGCCUUGUCAACGGCCGAGGCGGAAUACAUUGCCGCCGGUGCUUGUUGUACACAAAUACUCUACAUGAAACAAACUUUGCUAGACUAUGAAGUAGUACUAGACAAAGUACCUUUGUUGUGUGACAACAAAAGUGCCGUAAAACUUGCAAACAACCCCGUUCAACACACCCGCACAAAACAUAUUGAAAUCCGCCACCACUUCCUUAGGGAUCAUGUUGCUAAAGGUGACAUAUCUCUAGAGAAUGUGGGAAUGGAAAAUCAAUUGGCGGAUAUCUUCACAAAACCCUUAGAUGAAGCUAGGUUUUGUAUGUUGAGAAAUGAACUUAAUGUGCUUGAUCUCUCUAACUUCACUAAAAAAUAAAAAGUUGUGUGUUGAAUCCUGUAAAUAACUUUUGCUUUGCAUAUCAUGCAUACUAAAACUAAAAUACAACUUGCAUGUAGGGCUUGUCUAACAUGGUUAAGAUAACCCCCUUGUGUGUGUGAAAAAGCUUAACCUUGGAUCAAACGUGACAAGCAUUAGCUUACUUUCAAGUAUUGCAUUACAACUCAUAUCAUAUGCAUGCUUGUUAAUUGACCGUUUCUUUUCGAUUAUUCUUUGAGCAUCUGCUGUGUUCGUCCAUAGAUAGGGGGAGCAUUCAAAGCUCAUUAUGAUUCAAUCCCCUAGCUUUAUGGCCAUAUGAUUCUCCUUGGCGAUUUCUCGAAUUAUUUUCAUAAAAACUACUAAGCCUAUGGCUAAAUAUUUGUGAAAAUUUGAGGGUUUGAGAGAAGUCACUCAUACCAGUUCCAUUUGGUGUUUAUUUGCGUGUCUUUGAAGAUGGAACUUGGUUGGGUCAAAGUCGGACAUAGUGCUAAGUUGAAAAAGUGCCCAGAGGAGCACCGAACGCUGCACCGGAUGCUGUCUAGGUGCGUCCGGUGCGCUGUGAGAGCCAGACUGCACUCACCGGACGCAGGAACAGUGUCCCUGCAGCGUCCGUGAGUUGCGUCCGGUGCUCACCUGGCGUGACCUGAAGCACCGGACGCUAAAGCCAGCGUCCGGUGGCCAUCGUCCGGUGCGAUGCAUUUUUGCAUACCUCUCUGCGCAUGAGUCCGGUGGUCACCGGACGCGUCCGGUGCCACAUUAAGAGCGUCCGGUGACCCCGCGGCGGGCUCAUAAAGCCCGCGCCCAGGGACUUCAUGCGGUCGGUUUUCACUUCUUUUUCCCGAUCUCCGCCCGCGCCCGAGCCCUAACUCGUCGUCGCCGUGCCCUAGCUCCGCCUCAGACGACAGGUCGUCGUUCCCCGACGCCUUCGGAGAUUUCCCGUGCCAGAUCCGCGGCCCCGGAUCUCUCCCUCUCCCUCUCCCUUCUCAGAUCCAAUCUCGCUGGGUUGUGUGGGCUUGGGUAAGUCUCCUAGUCUCUCACCCUCAAGGUGUUUGGUUUAUCAUGUGAAUGAAUUAGAUUGUUGUUUUCCACAGCGAUUUGAUUUGUUCCAUCUCUAUAGCACCUUGAGGAGUGGUUUGGUGGUCUCCGGCAUUCUUCGAUCAUGACAUCUCUUCCGGAAUGCGUCCUGUCGCCUGAUUGUAAGCCGUUCUCGAUCAUUCCUUAUCUAUUCUUGCGAUCCAUAGGGUUUUGUCACCUCUAGUCGUUAUGAUUUCUUAUGUAUACCCUAUCUUGUCUAUUCUCUGCAGCACGUUUGUCAGUUGGGCUUUGUCGGCAGUUCGUUCAGUUGCCUGCUCUCGCAGUGGCUCGUACCAAGAACGUUAGUGGUCCGGCAGCUGGCUCAGGAGGUUCCCCCGGGGGUGAUGGUGGAGGUGAUCCUCCCCAUCGCCUGUCAGCGGCAGAGAAGGGCAAGGGAAAGAAGUUGGCUACCAAGAAGCGCAAGGCCAGCGACAGAGAGGCAGAGGUGGCCGAGGCAGUUGCAGCAGCAGUAGAGGCAGCUGAGAGAGGUGGUCGUGCAGGUGCUUUGAGGAUAGGGGCAGAUCUCACGCCACGUCAGAGGCGUGCAGUACUUGAGGCCGAGGCUCGACAUGGAUCCCCUCCAGGCACCGUUAUGAUUGGAGGUCAGCGGGUCAGACUAGUGGUCAGAGAUCCAGCGUAGGAGGAUCCAGAUACAGAGGUAGAAGCCCGGGCAGAGGAUCCAGCACAGGAGCAGGAGCAGCCCCUCAGGAGGUCGACUCGUGCACGUACCCAGCCCACUCCUCGGACUGGUACGCCGAGCCAGUCUACCUCCACUGCUCGUGCCACACCAGCCAGAGGCACUCCAGCUUCAUGACAGAGGCCAGUCAGGAUCCACAGGGAUCUCACCCUAGUGUCAGCCCAGGAGAUCCAGCAGCUGCGGUUUGUUCCAUUUCCUACCUAGUUUCCAGCUGCCAGGGAUCCUAGAGCCGGUGCCAGGUUUUACACAGUAGUCCAGGAGGACAUCUACGAGGCACUGGUUCGCUCUCAGUCUCAGUUCAGGGAGCACCGAGUUAUUGACCUUGAGAUCCUCGGGAACGUGGUUGGGGCCGAUAUUCGUCAGUAUUUCACCUACCUCCACGGCCUCCCAGAGUUGUUAGCUCUCCCUGGUACAUACUGUGAGCAGUGGGUUCGAGAGUUCUACGCGUCAGUGUGGGUGUCUCCAGACCACAGCUAUAUUCACUACGCUCUGGCAGGCACAGAUUAUAGAGUGACAUCUCAGAGGGCCAGAGAGGUGCUUAGGCUGCGAGCUUCUCCCACCAGGAUUCCCCAGCUGUGCUACGGGAAUUUUGAGCCUCCCCGACGUCCUCACGGUGGUGAGAUACCACCAGUUGACUUCGUGGCUCCUUGUUUCCGUCCACCUUUUGGAGAGGGCUCCAGUCGGACAGUGGGAGACUUGACACGACCAGCUAGGAUCCUCGACUUUGUGUUGAGGAAGACUCUUCUCCCCAGGACAGGUUACAGAGAUGGAUUCACUCGUAUACAGCAGUGGCUAGUUGCUCACCUCAUCUCCCAGACGGAGUUCGACUUGUGGGAUUUGAUCGUCUUAGAGAUUGAGGACACUAUUUCAGAGAGCUUCAGGGGACGACGUCAGUUGCCAUAUGCACAUUGGAUCACUCUUCUUAUUCUCCGUGCCAGGCCACUACCCCUGCCAGCUCACUUGUAGAGGGAGUUGACAGAGUCAGACACCGUCUUCCCCCACUACAACCCCAGGCAGAUGCUGCGAGCACAUCACGACCUCCGAGCUACUCCACCUCCUCGUGCUCCACGUGGACCGGUGCCCCCUCCUUCUCCUAGGGGCACUCGCAGUACAGCAGCAGUUCUAGAGACUGAGGAGCAGCAGGACAUAGCCAUUGGGGCUUUCGCAGAUGCAGAGGCAGAGCGAGAGUUUGACUUAGCCUCAGACAACUCGGAUGAUGACUAUCAGCCGCCAGUGUCAGACCUCCCUUCUAGAGCACACGACCACGAGGCAGGGGGCUCUUCUAGUGCUUCAGACCCAGCUUUACUUGCUAUCCUAGAGGGUAUGAGGGCAGAUCAGUGCCGUGCAGCUGAGGAGCAGGCGAGGAGAGACAGGGACCAGGCUGCCAUCAAUGCAGCCGUGCAGGCUAGGCAGGAUGAGCUCCAGCGUCAGUUUCUCACCUUUCAGGAGCAGCAGCUUGCUUUCCAGGCCCAGCAGACAGCGAUGAUGGCCGCUAUCAUGGCCGCCUCAGGGAUUCAGAUUCCGCAGAUACAGCUUCCAGGCACCUCGACUGUCAGGCCACCCACUCCAGUGCCUCUGACUUAGAGUUAGUCUCAGCAGCCUCUCCAGCUACCAGCUUAGAGUCAGCCUUUCUUGACGCCGCAGCACCAGGUCUCCCAGGGUGCUAUUUCCUCUAGCUUUGAGUAGGUACCCCAGUUUACCCCGCUCCGCUCCGGUUUCACUCCUCAGUCAGCGUCAGCGUCACAGCUAGUGUUGGACUCAUCGACAGACCCGCACCUCAGCUUCACCUACAGUGCUCUGACUGGUGACCCUACGCCUCCUCCUCUGCAGGCUCCAGCUGCCUUUACAGCGCCAGUCACCACUACUGAGCGUCUGUCAUCGUCUGUAGCAUCAUCUGAGUAGCUUGCACAGUCUUCUAUCGUUCCAGAGACGACAGCUACAACGACCGAGUCCGUGCCAGCUUCGUUAGCAGGACUUGAGCAGCCAGCACAGCCUGUGACAGCUCCCGCACCUACAGAGCAGACCCGGACCGCUUCGCCAGCCCGUGCAGCUUCAGAAGGUCACUCCACUUCCUCCGCCUCGACGGCCGACAGUUGAGACGAUGCAGCUCGCUUUGAGGCCGUGCCGAGGGACUCCACUGCUUCGCCUUCUCCACCGACUUCUUAGGUUUUUGGCGCUUGAUGCCAAAGGGUGAGAGAGUGCGAGUAUGAGAGUUAGGAGUUAGGGGGAGCUAGAGAGCUAGAGAGGGCUUUUAUUCUUUUGAGAUACUCUUUUAUGUGUGCUACUCCAUCAUGCAUCAUGCAUCGUGUUUAUGUUUAUGCAUUGCACUUGUGUGAGAUACUAUGGUUGUGAGACAUGACGUGUGCUUAUUUGUGUUAUCUUAAUGUCAUGUGUUUUGGCUCAUAUUACCUUUGCUUCCGCAUUUUACUCCGAUGUACUUAUGAGCCUUGUGUUUAUUAUCCUGUUGUAUACAACUCACAUAUUUCGAUGCAGGGUAUUAGACUUGGUGGAUAUAAGCAUGACUAAUCCCUUUGCUCUUAUUGUAACAUGCUUAUUGAAACCAAGUCAUUUGAAAACCUCAACUCCUUUCAUACUCGAGGUUGUCAUCAAUCACCAAAAAGGGGGAGAUUGAAACAGCAUCUAGGCCCCUAGUGAUUUUGGUGAUUAAUGACAUUGUUGAUUACUAUGACUAACGUGUGUUUUGCAGAGGCAAAAUCAUAGGUAAGGUCAUGGUAAAUAGGUACUCGAUGGACAGGGACGUAUAUGCCUACUUAAUAGUGGAAAUCGUUUCGGUUUUCAAAGGAUGGAUGGACAUCGUCAAGACUAGACUAGGUCUAAGUGCCAUAUGGUGAAGAAGGGCACUUAGAGUAGUUUAGGACUCUGUUUUCCUUUGACCGUACUAUUAAGAGGGGCUUUGAUCUAGUAGCUUGACUUAGGCAAGGCUUUAGGUUUAGGUGUGGUGCACACUUGGUAAACCUAGCUCUAGGCAGCUCAGAGAUAGUCCUUAUAUCGAGAGGAACAAACUUCAUUUUGGAGCGAUCGCGUUUCAACGAAGUUAGGGUGCCCAAGGGGGCACCGGACGCUGCACCGGACGCUCUGUGAGUGCGUCCGGUGAGGUCCUUAGCCGUUGGAUCAGUGCCGUGCUUAGGGUUAGGCACCGGACGCUGGCACCGGACUCACCGGGCAGUGUCUGGCAAACCUGCCCUGAGCACCGGACGCUAGCACCGGACGCUCCGGGUAGCGUCCGGUCCCAUGCGCAGGGAGCAUGUAAGUUUCCCCGGACCACCGGACGGUGCACCGGACGCUGGAAGUUAGCGUCCGGUGACCUGUCAGAAGCAAGUACAGUUAGCCAUUAUGGAGCACCGGACGCUCGAUGCAGUGCGUCCGGUGCAACAUAAUGUGCGUCCGGUGACCCCGUUUUCAGUGGAAAACGGUUGGCUGACCUUUGCACUUUGUGGCUAGUAUUUAUACUCCUCCACCUCGUCCAUGAGAGCUCUCUUGCCCAUUUGAACAUCAGAGAAACUUGUUGUGGAGCAAGAGAGUAGCAAGAGCCUAGAGAGGAUUGAGAUUUGAGUGAUUUCUUGAGAGAAUCCUUCUCUAGUGAGUUCCAAGAGUCAAGUGUGCAUCCACCACUCGAUAGAGCCUUGUUUGGGGUCAAGUGAGAGUUCUUUGCUUGUUACUCUUGGUGAUCGCCAUCACCUAGACGGUUCGGUGGUGAUUGGAGGCACGAAGACCGCCCGGAGUUCUUGUGGGUGGCUCGUGUCAAGCUUGUGAGCGGUUUUGGGCGAUUCACCGCGACGGAGUGUCAAAGAAUCAGCCCGUAGAGAGCACUUGGUCCUUGCGCGGACCAAGGGGGAGCAAGACCCUUGCGCGGGUACUCCAACGAGGACUAGUGGAGAGUGGCGACUCUCCGAUACCUCGGCAAAACAUCGCCGAGCACUUUCUUCCACUACUCCUUUACUUUCUAGCAUUUACUUUGUGCUUUUACAUUCUUAGAAUUGCCAUGCUAGAAUAGGAUUGGAACUAGGGUGCAAAACUUUUUAUCCGGUAGCUUUCUAGGUCACACUAGGCACAAGGGGUUGAAUUGGAGCUUAUAGGUUGCUUAAAUUUGUAGAGAAGCCCAAUUCACCCCCCUCUUGGGCAUCUUGAUCCUUUCACCUGGUACUAUACGACACUAUGUUCUACCAUGCCGUGCCGCCUCGGGCCACUAUGCCAAACUCUUGGCCCAGGCAUGGCACUAUGGCUCUUUAGCCGUGUCGUGUCGUGCCGAUAGGCAUAGUGACCCACCAUGCCCGUGCUGGCUUGUGGCUUCGGGAGGAGCUGAGGAGCUCGCCAAAACCUGCCUCAAGAGAAGACCGGCGCCACCACUGUCGUAUAGCCAUGUGGGGGAGGGAGUGACCGCAGUAGCAACCGCGUCUUGCGCUAGGCUACCAUGCCACUGCGCCACCACCACAGUAGUUACGCCUUGCGCUAGGCUACCACGCCGUCGCAGCCACGUCUGGAGGACAGUACAAGAUGUAGGGAGCAUGAAAGGGAGUAGCCUAGGAUCUAUGCGACCACUAGCCAAGCGAGCAAGAGAGAGGUGUUCGGCUGCUCAAAAGUCGGAGAAUGAGCAAGGAUGCGUCUGCACCCCCAGCUGGGGAGUUAGGGUUUAGAAGGAUUAUGUGAUGUUUUUAUAUGUGGCUCAGAAUAUAUCCAACAGCUAUGAUCGGGCCGGCGUCGUGCCAGCCCAUUAGCCUUGCCGUGUCCAUGCUGAUACUGUGGGCCAAAGUGGUGGCCCAAGCAUGGCACUACCACCGGGCCGUGCCGUGCCUGGAUCGUGUUUUUAGUGUUAUGCUCGGAGCCACUAGUACAUGGGCACACUAUAGAGCCGGUUGGUAACAUAUUUCUACAGGCGUUUUCCAGCACCGCCUGCACUGGGGGCUAGUAGAAAUCGCCCAUUUCCACAGACGGUUGCUUGAGAGCCGCCAGUAGAAACAAUUUACACAGCCGGCUCUCUUAGGGAACCGCCUGUGUAAAUGUUCAUUUACACAGGCGGUUCCCUAAGAGAGCUGCUUGUGGAAACCUAUUAAAAUAUGUAUUAUUUAUUUAUUUUUUAAUUAAUUUAUUUAUUUGUUUAUUAUUUUAUUGUUAUUAUUUAAAUAUAUUGAUAUUGGUUGGUCUUCAAACAUAGCAACAUGCAAUUUAAAUACUUCAUCUCAUACAUACAUUUGUAUACAUCAAAGUUCGGUGCUCAAAAACAUAAAGUUAAUUACAAGAGUAUAUCCAUCAUCACACAUCAUAUGUAUAUACAUCAAAGUUUGUUUCUGUCCUCUAAUAACCCUCUUUAGUAAGUUUGAGCUUACUAAUCUCUGUUAGCACUCGGAACUGUGGCCUGGAUAAUUGGCUUUCGUCAUCAUGAUAUUUGCCUUCACAUGAAAUGACAUGCUUCAUGAUGAACGAGUAGAUGUCCUCAACUAUGUUGUCUAAAGCACGUUCGUCCAUGCGCUCCACCGUCCCUUGCUUAUAUACCUGCAAAGAAAGUUUAUAAACAUUAUAUAUUUUAUGACUUCCAACUUUAAUAGACUAUUACUUAUAUUACCUUGUCAGGGUUCCUUGCAUAUCGUCCGUUUUCUCUUAUGUUCUCACACACGUAGUAGCCACAGAGGACAGAUAAGGGUGGUUGCUUCAUGCACUGUAUAACAGGAGAAUGGUUAUUUAAUUAUAGUUGCAACUGUGGUCGUAUGUGUAUGAUUUGUAUUCAUAAUAGUAAAUUUUUAUACGUACCAGCCAGUUAUGUAUAACCUCCAAUGGUUGCCCUGGUCUCUUGGACUCGCACUUUCCAUGAUUUAUCUUAUAGAACCUGUAUGCCCUAUGAUCUCAAAUAGAAUCACCAUGUUAUUGUCAAAUUCUCACUAUGCUUAAGUAUGCAUGCAUAGCUUGACUUACACCUCUAGCAGUUUGAUGAAUGGAGCAUAGCUUUCUUUCGGGUAAUCUGCGGAGUCUUGUACCAACACCCUUCCCAACUUGGGAUAAAUGAUGAAGCAUAUCCAGUGCCUCCUGCUCGAAUUAAAUCCAUGAUGCAUUUAUGCAUUGGAAUAGUUUAGAUUGAUAUUUGUAAACUCACACUUGCCCAAAGUGGUACGGGGCCACCACCGCUUUCCUGUCAUGAAACUUUAUUAGUGAAUGUCCAAUGUAGAAGGCGUAUUUGGCUUCAAAAUCAAGUUUUAACUUUCGGAGUUUCUCAUCCCGUUCUGCACCUUCCAAACCCUGUACCUCUGUGCUGUCAUUCCCGAUCCGGAAUGUGUGCCGAUCUUCGGCUAUAUCUAUUGGGCAGAGAUAGGCAUUCCUUUCUUCGGCACAAUAAUUAAGGUCCGAACCAAAAUACAAAUCUUGUUGAUCAUAUAACAUUCUGCAAGACAGAAGCAUGUCAGAUAUUGAAAAUGGAUGCAACUACAAUGUGUGUAACUAUGUAACACUUACAAUGCAAAUACCGUUACGAUCUGUACAUCUAGCAUCUCGUGGUUCAUCAGUGCCCACAUGUCAUCAAAUGUAAGCAUGGAUUUGUCAGUACUCUGGCUGAGAAAUGCUAUUUGUGGUAUGCACAUGCUUAUGGUGUCGAUGCCAGCAGAAGAGGCUCUCAUGUACCAGUCAUGAAACCUUUUUAUACCACUUGGUUUCUUCAUAAGUUUGGUCCGACUGAGUAGAUGCUUUCCCCACACGUACUUUUUUGGGGAUAUUCUUGUAGUCUUAUGCAGUUGGCACCUUGAAAUUGAUAGGAGUUAUGACCUUAGGCGCCGGCACCUCUAACUUUGCUAGCUCAGAAAUCUCAUGCUCUUGUACUGUGCGUUUCAAAGCAAUGCAUGACAAAAAUCUCACUUGCCCAGCUGAUUUUUUCUUUAGCUCGUAUGAUGAAAUCAAGUUAGGUAUCAGAAAUACUUUCUUCUUUGGCACCUUUGGUGGCUCACUUCUUGGUUCUGGAUCUUUGAGUUGUGGGGAAGGAGUGGAAUUGAAUGGAGGUGGAGAUUGUGUUGACUAUGGGGUAGAAAAAUCAUGGAGAGGAGAUGGUUGAUGGACAGGGAAAACAUGGAGAGGUGAUUCUGGUGGGUCAAGAAGAGACUGGAGAGGUGAAGGCGGUGGGUUAGGAAGAGGAUCGACAUGAGCUGAUGACUCCUGGGUGAGUGGCGCCUCUUGAGAGUGUGGUGGUGGCUCCCUUAGUUGCACAUCCCUCCGAGGCCAAAGAAUGAAAUUGUUUAUCGUCUGUCCUAGUUUCACAAUGUCCUCGAGACCAAGGACGUCUAGAAUCUCGUCCUCAUAUCCUUGGACUACGGUUGAUACCUCUACUCUGCAGUAGUCUUUAGGAAUGUCAGCACCAUGGUAUUUAGGUCCUCCUGGGAUCACUUUGCCCGUGGCUACUUCCCUUGUACGAUGAUUGUUAAUCCCAUAUCUUAUGACAAGGGAGCAAGGUGUAGAAGUAACAAUGUCGUCAACUAGAUAGUGAUCCUUGUUUGCCGUAGAUGCGACACUGCUUGGAAUGAUUGUUUCACUCGAUGCCACCAACGGUUGUGACACCACUAGGACUAGCUGCAUUUGGGGAGCUUGAGUGCUCAUCUAUUGAUUUGAUAUGGCACUCGCUAGUUUCUGCAUCAACUCAUGAGGAGUAUUUUCUAGCAAAUUCCCCAUCAUCUCUUGAAAGUCUUUCUUAGCCUCUUCCUGAAAAUAAUUUGCCAUUUGUUCCUUGUACCGAUCACGUUUCUUAUACUCAUUUUUCCAUUGAGGGCCGAAUCCAUCCUUCCAUCCUUCUUUCGAUGAGAUGCCUCGAACACAGCCAGGAUGCUCGGGGUUACCGAGGCCAACACUAAGGAUGUCCCUCUCCCUUCGUGGCGUAAACUUGCCAUCCUACUGCAUGCCUGCCACUGCAAAGAUGCUCUUCAUUGCUUCAUCAAGCAUUGGGUCUUCAAAGGACACACCUGUCUCGGUUUCCUUUGGUUUCCGAGUAUGGAUCUAAUUGGCGGACCUUUCACCGACUUGCUCGAACAGCACUGGUAACCCUACUGCCUUCUUCGCAGCCUCUUCUUGCCUCCAUUUAGGAACUUGGUGCUGGUAACCACCUGUGCCUAGAUGGUGGUGGUACUUGUUCCUCUUUGCGAGCUGGGAGUUAGCUUCGCUCCGAGCUAAGAAGUUAGGGUCAUUCCUCUACUCUAGAAAAACAGCCCACUGCCCUUUAGUAAUCUUGUAUUUGGUUGUCGGAUCCAUCCCUGUCUUUGCAUACUUGACAUUCAUCUCCGACCUCCAAUUUCGGAAACUAAUCGCACACUGCUUCAUUGUAUAUGCCUUUACUAAAUCUUCUGGCAAAUUCCCAGGAAACUGGAACCUUGUCUUAAUCUUAUCCCAAAUUUUGAUCUUGUGAUUAUUCGACACACCGAUCCAGUUCUUAAAUGUGAUAUCAAGAAAGUCCCUCACACAGAAGCCAAUUGCGUUCCUGUAUUUGGGUAGGGCCUCCUCUGGAGCUAGAGGCUGUCCGGUAGGGCUCACAUCUAUGAUGGCAUAUGUGUCAUCUAGAAAUUGGUUCAACCCUCUCUCGCCUCGUUUCAAACCUAGCCGCUUCCUCUUCCUGGACUGACAUGGCCUCUCAGCGCUCGUCGUUGCGGUCAUCAGUUUCGGUGCGUCUUCGUGUGCCACUUCCUCCUGAGACAUCAUCUCUCUAAAAUGAGACAUUGCCUCCUGAGUAUAGACAUGUGAAUGAUGGACGUGUUUAUAUGUAGAAACUAUGAAUAGAAAUCAUUUAGUUAUAUGAAAUCGUAAAUGUCUCUAAUUUACCUCAUCGGCUUCUGGAUUGUAAUCGGGGUCACGUGCCAAUUCACGACGAGUCUUCCUCACUUCUAGAGGCUCCAUGUCAUCACUAGCUUCUUGUUCGUAGGACGAUCCUGAUGCUUCGCCCGUUUCUACUUGUUUCGUGACCUCAGGAUCUUGUUCCAUAGGGUGGGACGACCCUUCUACUUGCUUCGUGGGUUGGGACUACAGUGCUUUAUCUUUGUGCGGAGAACUCAUCGCAAAAAUCUAUGUAAUUUAUACAUAAAAUUAAAUUUAUGUAUCCUAGGUAUAUACACUAAUACAUAUAUAAAGAGAAAUAAUAACAAGUAUUUAUAAAAGAAUAGACACAAAUAAUACAUACAUAUAUUUCCUCAACAUAAUCACAUAUAAAAUAAUAAUUAUGAAUUCAUUACCUAUAUAAAGAGAAUAAUAACAAGUAUUUAUAAAAGGAAUAAUUAUGAAUGCCAUUACAUAUAUAAAUAUAGAGUAAUAAUAACAAGUAUUUAUAAAAGGAUAGACACAAAUAAUACAUACAUAUAUUUCCUCAACAUAAUCACAUAUGAAAUAAUAAUUAUGAAUUCUAUUAUAUAUAUAAAGAGAAAUAAUAACAAGUAUUUAUAAGAGGAUAGACACAAAUAAUACAUACAUAUAUUUCUAUACAACAUAAUCACAUAUUAAAUAAUAAUUAUAAAUAAAAUUACAUGUAAAUUACAUAAUAAUAUUCUCUAAAUUUUUUUGUUUUUUAUGGUUUUACUCAAUUUCACUAAACAAAUAAAUUACUAAAGUAAAAAAAGAGAAAAUCUCCCCUCCCUCCCCUUCUCGGCCCAGCCCGCGACUCCCUCUUCCCUCCUCCUCUCUCUCUCUAGCAGGUGAGCCCCACGUGUCGGGGUCACCCCUAACCUCUGCGUCUCCGUCGGCCGCACGCCGCCGCGCACCGCCUCUGUCGGCCGCACGCCGCCGCGCAGCCACCAACGCACCACCACUACCGCCGGCGCAGCCACCACCGCGCCCGCCCUUUCUCGGACCGGCCUCACCACUACCACUGCCGCUGCCGCCCUACCGCCACCGCCGCGUGCAGACGUGUAGAGAGAGAGAGAGAGAGCGCGAGGAGGAGAAGCUCACCACCGGACGGCUACGGCGUCGAGGGCGGAGGGGUCCGGCUUUAGCGUCGACGGUGGAGGGGUCCGGCUACGGCGGCGUGGAUUUUCGGUAGCCUGUCGGCGUAGUUUGAAUGAACAGGGCGCCAGGACUUAGGAAAAUUUCAGACACACGAGCUGCAAUAUAUACAGGGGACGUUUGUACAGGCGGUUGUCUUAGUCAACCGCCUGUAGAAAUUGUUUCUAUAGGCGGUUGACUAAGACAACCGCCAGUACUAAUGCAUUAGUACCGGCGGUUCGCGCAGAGGGCCGCCUGUAUAAAUGUAUUUUCAGUUUAUUUAAAGUUUUCCUUAUAUAUAUUUUUAGAAAUUAUUUAAAUAAUUCAAAAAAUCAUAUCUUCAAAACUAUUUGUCCUAAAUUAGUGAAAUUUUUUUUGUUGUGUUCCUCUUGAGCAGAUACACAUGUUAAAAAUAUGAAAUUUCAUGUUUGAGGUACUUUUGUAUGCAACUUUAUUUAAAAUGAUUUAAAUUGAAUAUGUGUCUCAUAUCUUGUUCAAUACAUAAAUAAUUCUAGGAAUACCAGAAAAAUGUAAAUCCAAUUUUGUUAGCUUUAUUGUAGUGUGUAAAUGCUAUGAAAAAUAUAUUCCUUUGUGCAAUUUAACGUUGAUAAUAUAAAUGUGAGGAACCCAUAUGUUUGAGCAUAGUUCGGUGGAAUGGCUCUUAUACGUUUGUGAAGCAUGUAUGUUAUGCCUAUCUCCAAAUGUCUUGAAUUUUUUUUGGCAAGCUUCUACACUCAAAUGAUAACCCCACACAAGAUCUUAGGAUUUUCUGGUCAUGCAAUCUAUUAUUACAUUUUUCUUUGUGCUAAAUGAGAUGAAAAAUGGUGGACUACACCUAUAUCCCACUAGGUUUUUUCACCAACCACAAGGAAGUUUUAUUUCCUAUGGUAUAUAAGACCUUGUGGAGAAGUUUGGCAUCAUUUGGAGUCAUUUCAGGGGUAGACUUAGUUCAAGCGCUAAUUAGUGGGUGACGUCACGCGAAAAUUCAAUUAAACCGGAUAAAGUAACAAACCACAUAAGAAAAAUCCCAAACUUGGUGGAUUGAACAUCAAUGGCACUAGUAACCCUUGGUAAAAGUUUGAGACCAAUACGAUAUCAAAGUGUUACGACAUGGUAAGUCUUAGAUGUAGAAAUAAGUAUAGGGUCUUACAUGUAGAAAUAAAGAAGGACACAUAGCAUAAGGUACACAUUUUAUCAUAAAUAGAUUACAUGGCAAAUGACAAAUAAAAUCUAGGCAGCUACUGUUCUUCCUUGUCCAUCGUGACGCACCCAGGGCAACGAGCUCUGUGGAAUGCUUCGCUCAACAUUCCUUAUCAUUACUGGAUGGUCGUCUACAAAGAGAGACAUGUCACUGAACUAGUUAAAUUCAUCCAAGUCAGAUACACCAUCAACUCCGAUGGCUUGUUGCUUUCCAGGGAAAGCUAUGUGCUUUGGAUGGUCCGUAAUUUUCUUCUUAUCAUUAGGAGAGAGGACCUGCUCAGCAUAAAGACCUGUGCAACACAGUUAGCCAUUAUCCAUGGAUCAUCUUUGUAGCCUACCUUGCUUAGAUCUAGAACUCUAAUCCCAUAGUUGUCUACUGUGACAUGUUUGUCUUCAACCCAUUGACACCGAAAUACAGGGAUCUGAAAUGUACCAUAGUCUAGUUCCCAUAUGUCCUCAACGAAGCCAAAGUAAGUUGUUUUCUCACCAGUUUCAGAGUCUAAGGUAUCGCAUCGAACACCACUAUUUUGUGCCAUGCUCUUUUGGUCCUUGGACUUGGUACAGAACGUGAAGCCACUAAUGUCAUAGGUUUGCCAAGUCAUGACCUGGCGUGAUGGCCCAGAUGCCAAGACCUUGAUGGUGCGAUCCUCGAGUGUCUCCCCAUCUGGAAUGUCCUGCUCCCUUAGCCAUGAGGUGAACUUAUUCUUAUGUUCCUUCAUUAUCCAUUCAUCUAUGUGCCCAUGAUUAUGUUUUUGAAGCUCUUCAAUGUGUAGAUUGAUCAAAGGCUCCAUUAUCAAGAGCUGAUGUAGGACGCUGUGAUGUGCUUCGAGGACUGAAUUGUAAUCUUUUGGGACGUAUGAUUUCUUUCCCAACCUACCUCUUCCAUUCAGCCUACCCUCGUGUCGUGUCGGAGACAAACCUAUUGCAACCUAGUCUUUUAGGACCCUAUUGCAGAAUGGACCUCCGGACUCAAUGGCCUCUUCGGUUAAGUACCCCUCUACUAUAGACGCCUCUGGACGAGCACGAGUUGAUACAUAGCCAUUUAGUAUUGACAUGAAACGUUCAUACAUCCACAUCUCAUGCAAAUACAUGGGACCCAAUGCCUCUAUUUGUGAAACCAAGUGCACCACAAGGUCAACCAUCACAUCGAAGAAUGCUAGGGGGAAACACAUCUCAAACUGUGAAGACUACUCAUCACGUUCAAUCACCUUCUGUGAGAUCCUGUUGAAGAAGUAGCACAACCGUGUAACUGCAACCUUUAUCCACACUGGGUUUAUAGCCCUAAUGGCAAUAGGGAGGAAAGUAGUUAAUAUGACAUGACAAUCAUGUGAGUUGUAGUUGGUGAGUGUAAGGUCUUUCAUUGACACAAUACUCCGUAUGCUAGAGCAGAAUCCAGAUGGGAAUUUCAAUUUCUUCAACCACACACACAUCACAUGUUUCUCUUCAUUGUUGAGGUUGUAGCUUGUUGCCGGGAGAUGGUACUUCCCAUUUUCUAGCCUAAUAGGGUGAAGUUCUUUUUUUAUGCCUAAUUGUACCAUGUCCAAGCGUGAAUUUAAUCCUUCCUUUGUCUUGCCCUUUGUUGACGGUCCUUAAGUACCAAAUAUAAUCAUCAAAUAAAUAAAGAAAAGGAUCCAAAUGCAACCAACACCCAGACUUAGGGUUUUAUCUGACAUAAUUCCACGAGUUUUGGUGUUUGUCUAUUUCUGCAAGGGGUUAUCAAGAAAUAUGGAGGAAAGGCCCACAUGUCGGGUUUACAUAGAGAUAUUAACGUGCCGCGUAAUUUUCUAUCAUCUAGAAGACUCCAGAAGCCACGAGAACGAACGGGGAGCCGAGCGGGCUCGGGGAUAGGGCGCCCGCCCUCCCCCCUUGGGCGCCCGCCCUGGUGUUUCGGCCAAUCACGUUCUACUUCGCGGAUCAUGCUCCACCGACCUAAAGGAUCAAGGAAAACCGUGCGAUUAAUGUCGGUUUGAUCGGACGGCCUAGAUUCACUUGAGGGGACUAUAUAAGAAGCCCCGUGGCCCCUGGAGGAGGCACCCCUUGAUCCCUAUUCAUUAUUCAUAGACAGAGCAAAAGCUAGGGUUUGGAGAUGAGAGCUCUCCUCUCAUCUCUGAACCAGAGUAGAUCUAGAUAGUAGCGAGAUGGAGAGCGAGGGAGGAUUGGAGGAGAGGCUGGCCCGUCGGUUCUUCCGCCGGUUGUACUUCGCCAUGAUCAAGCUCUAAUCAAGCUUGCUCAUGGGAUGACUCUGGUAAUCUAUUUCUAUUUCAUUAUUCAAUUACUAUCCAUGUAUGUUCUGGUUCACAACUCUUUUGAGUACUUUAAUCUAUAGGACACUAUAGGUGAGGGUUGUAGUAUAGGUGUAAGCGUGGUGCUUAGACCUAGAUUACUUGUGAAUAACCCGUGUCUAGCCGGAUCGUGUGGUAGGCUGCGUAGGUCACAGUUACGUUGGUCCCAUGUAGUCCACAUCCUGUUAGUAGGACUGGUAGGGUUUAUCGGCCUAUGGAUAAGCAUCCUUUGUGGUGUAUUCUUAUCACGUGGUUCAUCCCAGACAUAGACAUACCCCUUUGAAGUAGAGAAACCAUAGUUAUCCUCUCUAUUCUCCUACCAUCGCCCAUAUACUAGAUUGCUCUACUCUCUAUUCCCAUUUUAUCACCCAUUGUUAUCUUACCUUCAAUAUUGUUCUUAUUCAAUUCUACCAUCUUUCCUAUUUUACACCUAUCUAUCUAUCUAGGUUAAGUUAGAGCAUAGAUCAGUUCUCCCAUUUCCCUCUGGAUACUAUAAAACCUUUAACCGGGUAAAAGCUACAGCGGUAUCUGUGCGCUUGCGGAUUUAUCUGUGUGCGUAUAAAUACCAAAGUACACUCUUGUCGGUGUUUUCCCCCGGGGGGUCACACACUCACACCAACGAGUAAAUUUGUAUGCGUGCUCCCUUUCCCGGAUGGUGAUGCAAGAAGACACAGAGAUUUAUCCUGUUUCAGGCAAGAGAAGGCCCUACGUCUAGCGGGGGGGAGAGAGUUUGUAUUAUCUUGCACCUAAGUACUUGUACAGGGGCGAAUACAAGCGUGGUAUGAAGUGUGGAGCUCUACUACGUAUGAGCGUGGUCUUGUGUCGUGAUCUCUCUAUUCUAUUCCUGAGUCCCUCCUUUUAUAGUUCCAAGGAAGGACCUAGGGUACAUGUAUAGGUGUAGGAAUUGGAGUCGAUAGCAGCAUGGAGCGCUGACCUACUCGAGGUUUCUGUACCGGCAUGACCUCGAGCCGUCCCGUCUUAAUAGCCUGGUGAUGAUCACGCGUGCCCCUGCAUUCUGCUCUGCGCGCCGUCUUGGAUUGGUUCGGCGGAUGCACGCUUAUAUGGCUCGGCGGCAAAUCCGGCGGAGCGGUUACGGCGUGGUCAGUCGACGCCCGACUCGUCUCCAGGAAGGAGCCUAGUGAAGUCGAGGGUCGGACGCCGUACGAGGUGUCGAUAUCUGGAGCGCUGACCUUGGGUGUCUCGAGGGGGUCCCGAUUAGACGUUCCAUCCUUGUUUCCCGCGUCCUGACACGCCCUGGGUCGUUCGGUGGGAAGGCUGCAAAAAGAACGAUGGGACAGAAGCCUGUUCCCUAUCACGCCUCCCGUGACCCGUGUGUUAGGUGGGGAAGCGUCAGGUGCAUUAAAUGCCCUGGCUCUCGUGUGCGCGUCAGGCGGCGGACAGUGUCCUUGCGCUCGACGCCUCUCGGUUCGCUCGAGCCCGCUUCCGUAUUCGACGACAGUUGUCGCUCGAGCCCUGACCGAUUCGCUCGACGCUAUUUCCGUCUUCGAGGCUGCGGCCGUCGAUGGCCGCGCGUGUGUACGGAUGGUCUCGUUAUACGCAUUGGUGAGGGUACCCCUUGUUGAUACCCUCGACAGUAGCCCCCGAGUCUUCAUUCGAGCGCUGGCGCUCGAGUGGAGACUUUCGUUUUUACGGUCGAGCUUCCACGGGGGCACGCGAGCGACCCCGCGGGGGUAGCCCUCGAGGGAGUAUUUAACUCCUUCGAGGGUUAUUUUGCCAAAUUUGCAGAAACGCUGUCAACACCCGUGGUGGAAGGUUCUGUUCGGCUUUGCCUUGCGUGGAGGUUUCGACGUACUCUCGAUAGAGCGAGCGUCUUCCACCCCAGAUUGAGUUCCUAGCGGGUAGUCCAAGUGAGAACCUGUGCCCCUUUCGAGGGGGUCAGCUGUAGCCCGGAGGCGUCCUCAUAAAGCAGGGUCGACGUGGUCGGGGAUAUCGGUCUCAUUCGAUAGAGUCCAGCGGCUCGAUGCCUCCCUUCGGGGGGAUUCCUCUCGACUGUCUCGACCCUACCUUGGACAUCGCCAGCGAGUCCUCGAGGCGGGCCUCGAUUUUCGACCAAUCGCUGGGGAUCCCUGACUCUUGGUGCUCGAGAUCGGCCGUCGAACCCUUUCGACGGGCCAGCCAUCGACCUCUCGAGACUAUCGUGGGCGCAUACCUUGGCUUACGAAGUAAGGAAGCUGCCGUACCGGUUCGUCUUUCUGCCCGUUGGGCGCACCUUUUGAGGUAAGUGACGUUGCGACACUGCAUCGGCGGGGAAUUCGGAGCGUCCGGCCUGUGAGGAGAGAAAGGACCGUUAGACGGCGCAUUUAUGGGGGGAGUUACCUCAUUUAUAGGAUCUAUCCGUCGGUUGGCCGCUAUCUAUAAAUACGCCAUGGCGUUGCUCCAUUCUUUCUUUCCCCUUCCGUCCUCUUGCCUUCGUCUUCUCGCUGCCUUUGCUCUCUUGCUUCCUCCACGCGCGCGUGCACCCCCUCGAGCGGUAGUGAAUCCACCAUCCUUCCAACCAAGAUGCCUGUGAGGCUUGUUGCCGCCGUUGAUGACGGACCGCCGUCUGCUAGAGCUCGAGAACGAAGGGCUCUUGCGCCGCCGCACUUCGCAGUCUUCGCCGGAGUGGAUCGCGCCGCCGGCGAGUCACAGGGAGCCCCAGCCACCCGAGGGAUAUGUGGUGUCAUUCGCCAAGUUCCACCGCCAUGGCUUGGGUGCUCCCCCGAGUCGCUUUAUGUGGGCCCUCUGCUUCCACUAUGGAGUGGAGCUCCAGCAUUUUUCCCCGAACGCCAUCACCGUCGCGGCGGUCUUCGUCGCGGUGUGUGAGGGCUAUCUGGGGAUGAUGCCCCAUUGGGAUCUAUGGCUCCACCUCUACAGGGGCGAACUUUUCAACGCCCCCACCGGAACCACCGGCGUGAGGAAACCCGUGCGGGCCGGAUGCCUCAACCUGGUGUUGAAGACGAAGAAGACGGAGAGGCCGCGCGAGUACAUCCCGGUGGGGCUGUCGUCGAACCAUGCUGGGUGGGACUCCCAGUGGUUCUAUCUGAGAAACGACGACGGUCUCUUCCCCGUCUACACAGUCCGUCUGAUCUCGGAGCGCCCAGACAACUGGACGUACGGCGUCGUCCAGGAGCACCAGUCACGGCUCGACCCCCUCCUCGACGUUAUGAAGAGGCUGCGCUUGGAGGGCCUGUCUGCCGCUCUCGUCCUCUCGGCCGUCCAUCGUUGGAGGGUCCUUCCCCUGAUGUCUCGGCCGUUGAGGAUGGACGAAAUGGGGCCGGGCGUCUCGUCCCGGGAUCUCGAGGCUUGCCGGAUGUCCAACGUGGCUCUGGCGGACGAUGAGGUCGCCGCCCGGGUCAGGGCGGCCAUCGCCGGCGAUUUCAAGCCGUCGCACGUUAACGGCUUCCCUAUGAGGCCUGAUGAAGGCUCGGUCGAUUUGGUAUGUCUUCUUCCUCGUGGUAGCCUUGACUCUGGGUUCCCUUUCCACCCCUUUUUUCUGAUUCUAUUUUUACUAUGGCAGGGGCGGAUCGACGUUCGAUCCUCGAGGCCCCCGGUGAAGGAGGACGAAGUCAAUCGCGACGCGCGGCGUCGUUCCGCCGAGAAAUCGAAGUCCGUCAAGGACUCUAAGAAGAAAGGGGAGAAGAAGAAAAACCUUGACCGGCAAGCUUUAGAGGCGCGUCGGUCCAAAUCCAGGCAGAGGGGAGAGCCUGAAGAAGAGUCCCCCAGCGAGAAAGAUGAUGACGACGAUGAGGAUAGUGAGGACUCCGAGGGGAUGGCGUCUCGCCUUGACCGGAUCCUCGGGGGUCCAUCUCAAGGCGAGGCCGACGCUCCUCGGGUGGAAGCUUCGUCGGAGGGCCCAGGCGGAUCCCUCCGUCCUCGCGCCGAUACCCCUCCCGCGCCCAAGGUUGGUCAAGUUGCCCCGCGCCCUCCCCCGGCGCCCAGGGAGAGUGGUCAUGCUAGGCCCCAGGCGACGGGGCCACUGACCCGCGGUCGUGCCGCGGCCUCCGAGAAAGGAGAGGCCGGCCGCAGGAGCGCCAGUCCCGGCGCCCGCCACACGGGAACUGAUGCGCCUAGGCCCGCGCCUGCCCUCGAGGGGCCUAGAACCCUGACGCGGGGAGGCUCGAGGCCCGCCGGUCGGGGCGGCGGGAGGCGAGCUAUUCUUCCUGUAGGGUAAGCCCUUUCGAUGCUAUGGCCUUUGUCUUCCUACUCCUCUGCGUUUGCUCAUAUGCCGAUCUUUUCUCAGGCUAAAGCGGACCCUCGAGCGGGCCCAGCCGUCCAUGGCAAAGAGGCUCAAAAUGGGAACCGCCUCCAAGGAACCAGGUUUAUAGCUUGUUUAUGGGCCCUGUGAUGUUCUCGCGUCGGUUAUUACAGCGUCUAACCUUUAUCCCUUGUUUUGUAGGCUCCUCCGGCUCCCAACCUCCAGCCGGUGUCGAGAGGAGUCCGCCUCAUCCCGUGCCUACCUCGUCGCCGCCGACUUGUGGCGAGGCGUCCCAGACGCAAGCGUCAGAGGGAGCCCCCGAGCCCCCUCGAUUGGGGGUCGAGGGGGAACCUAUCAUCAUCAGCGACACGUCUAAUGGUGACAGAGCGUCUGGGGGUGCCCGCCCUAUGGAGGAGGAAACGUCGAGCCCUCGUGUCGUGGGGUCAACUCCCUGGCCCGCCGGCCUCCGUACCCUCGAGGAGCAGAAAAAGAAGAGGGAGGAGGAUGAACAGCGGGAGCGCGAGGCGGCGCGGCAGCCGCAGGAGCACGAGGCGCAGCAGCAGCAGCAGCAACCGCAGCAGCAACAGCAACAGCAGCAACAACCGCAGCAGCAACAGCAGCAGCAGCAGGGGGGCCAAGAGGAGGGACUGCUCGAGCCUCCGCCCCAAGGUCCGGCCCAGCCAGUACCAUCAGAGCCGCAAGAGCCCGGCGAGCAGGAGGAGAAUCUGCCGGCGUACGGCCCCCCAACUCCGGCGUGGCUCCUCCCGGGGGCGCCUGCCGCGAUCCGGGCGGAGCCGGGGCGAGCGGAUGGAGUGGUGGCGCUUGCGUGCCUGAAGCGCACCCCCCCGACCCCGAGUCCGAGAUCAAGAGAACAAUUUACGGCAUGGAUGGGAUCGCCCCAGGGUUCCUCCGGGAACGUCGGGCGUGGGAGGACCGCUUUCCUUCCGAAGAGGACGAAAUCGGGACAUCAGGGACCAAGGACAGGACCUGGAAGACGGUGGACGACGACGGGCGGUUCCCAUGCCUCGUCGACCUGUUCCUGCACCAUGGGGGCUCUCUCGAGACCGUCGAGGGCCUCAUCCGCGGCGUUAAGGCGCGGGCCGACCGGGAGAUGGAGUACUGGUGCCCCGACCGCAUCCGUAUCCGGGCCUCCCACGACCCGUCUGAGCCCGACAUCUUCCUCGACGAUCGGAAGGAGGCGGAGAAGUGGGAACACGUCGAGGAGCUCCGCCUUUGGAUGAAGCAUGUGGUGGGGCUCCUCUCGGACGUUAUCAACAACGGGCUCGGCUCGGCUUAUUUCGUAAGUGUUUCUCGAACUCCAAUCCUCAUGGUGCUUUCUGGUUUCUGUAUUCUAAUCCAUCCGACCCUUGAUUCGCAGGAUAUGAAAGAGACCUCCCGCAUCAAGUCCAGCUUCAUACACGCCACGAGGGGCGGUUGGGAGCAGCUCCCCCUCCUCAAGGAUCAACUCCUCGAGUCACAGGAAAAGCUCCUUAAAGCUUACAAAGAUCUCAUAGCACUCGAGGAGGAGAAGAAGGCGAGGGAGGCUGCCUUGGCUGAGGCCCGAGAGGCCUCGAAGAAGGCGGAGGAGGAGACGAUGCAGCUACGGGAGCGGGCUCUUACGGUCGAGGAGGCCGCGUCCAGAGCCCGGGAGGAGGCCCUGUUCUACAAGAGCGUUAUCGCGGAUCUGGACAAGGAGAAGGGCCUCCUUAAAUCUGACCUGGACUCUCUCUGAGAGUCCUUCCAAAAGAUGAAGGUGGAGCAUGUGAACGGCGAGGUCGCCAGGGGCGCCGCGGAGGAAGCCAAGAAGAAGGCCCUCGAAGAUCUCGAGGCGGAGCGGGCUCGAUCCCGCAGUCUCUCUAACGACGUCGAGCGUCUGAAGGGAGAAUUGCUGGAGAAGAGUGGGGCCAUUGCUCAGGCUGGCAAGGCGAUCGAGGAUCUCCGCGUUGCCAACACCGAGCUGGCACGCUCCAACAAAGAGAUCGAGGGGGCCAACACCAGGCUGGUCGGCGAGAACACGGCCCUCGAGGAGGCCGUACGCGGUAUGUUUCCUCUAUCAGAUUUCUUUUUCCGAGGUGUGCUUAGUUUUUCCUAAGGUCUCUUUGUAUUGGCUUUUACAGGGCUCAAGGACGAACUCCUGGCCGCCCAAGCCGAGGCUCGCAACACCAAGGCUCAGCUCGAGGCGGAGGUUGCUUUGAACCGUCGAGUGUGGACGGCGAUAAGUGAUCUCUCGACCUCUUGGGAGGUCGAGCCUAUGGAUGAGUCGAGGGAGGACGCUCGAGGCGACGCCCUGGUCGACCAGUUGUGCUACAUAGGUGCGACGCUGCGAGAUAGGGUGUGGGACGCCCUCCACAUCGGGGUGAAGCGGGCGAUGGCGGUUGUCUGCUCGGGCUUCUCCUACGACAUGGAGGUGGUGUCCCAUGGCUUCGUCACCGACAUCUCCAAGACCGACGCGGAGAACGAGGAGAGGCUCCAUGCCUUGAUCGACGACGCGGAGGCUCCUGGGGAAAGGUUGGCCAAGCUUUUCGAGCCUGAGGUGCUCCCUCCUGAGGCUAGCUCGUGCGGAGGCGAGGGCGGUGAGGAUCGUGCCGCGGACUGAGGCCUGCGAGCCUGCUCAGGGCGCCUGAGGCCCCUUGUACGAUACUUUGUUAAUUCUGUGGGUAACUGAUGUUGUAUCACUUUCGUAAUUGUUAAAUGCUUAUUUUGUCUUUCCGCUUGAUGCUUUCGUUUCUCUUUGCGCCUACGUUUGUAUCCCUUGCUCGAUUUUUCGUAAAAGACCACCUCGAUCACUUCAAUGGUGGGGAAGUGAGUAGAGUUUCCGUAGCCCGGGGGCGUAGGAGUUCUCCAGCUCGUUGUCCCUCGGCCUUUGAGGGGCUCGAGGCGCCUUAGCUACUUGAACCGUGCAAGGUUUACUACGUAAGAAAAGAAAACUUCUUGGUUUUUUCGAUACUCGGGGGGGGGUCGUCCCCCUGGUAGCCCCCGAGGGGGUGCUGACUAUGAUGGGUCAUAGUCGGCGCCCCCUUUUAACGUCGAGAUCGUGACUUAUUAAUCUUCUCGGCACAAAGAAAGAAGAAUUGUUUCGAGGGAAGGACUUUAUUUAUUCAUUCAUUCGUUUACAAAGUCUUGGUACAAAACGUAAGCAGGAACAUAAGUUUAGAACUUCUAGGGGUAGAAUCGACGUAGCUGUUCGAUGUUCCAUGCGUUGGUGAGAAUUGCCCCCUUUUCGUCCGCCAGCUUGUACGUUCCCGGCUUCAGGACCUCGGCCACCACGUACGGACCUUCCCAAGGCGGAGUCAGCUUGUGGCGUCCCUGAUUGCUUUGCCGGCGUCGUAGGACUAGGUCGCCCACGUUGAGGUCCCUCUUGCGCACAUGCUUGUCGUGGUAGCGUUGAAGCCUUUGCUGAUAUCUGGCAGAGUUGAGGAGGGCCAUGUCUCUAGCCUCCUCAAGUUGGUCGACCGCGUUUUCUUGAGUCUCUUUGUUCGAUUGCUCGUUGUAGGCCUUGAGUCGAGGUGACCCAUACUCGAGGUCUGUGGGGAGGAUAGCCUCAGAGCCGUAGAUCAUGAAGAACGGGGUGUAUUUUGUGGCCCUGCUUGGUGUUGUCCUAAGGCUCCAUAGGACUGAGGAAAGCUCCUCGACCCAUUUUUUGCCGAAUUUCUUCAAUCGAUUGUAGAUCCUUGGCUUGAGUCCUUGCAAAAUCAUGCCGUUGGCACGCUCGACUUGGCCGUUAGUUCGAGGAUGGGCUACUACAGACCAGUUCACACGGAUGUGAUGCCGAUCGCAGAAGUCCAAGAACUUUUUGCCGGUGAACUGGGUGCCGUUGUCGGUGAUGAUGACAUUGGGGAUCCCAAACCGAUGGAUGAUGUCGGUGAAGAAAAGGACGGCCUGCUUGGAGCGGAUGUUGGUGAUGGGUCGAGCCUCGAUCCAUUUGGAGAACUUGUCAAUGGCCACCAGCAAAUGGGUGAAUCCUCCUUUCGCCUUUUGUAGAGGUCCUACUAAAUCGAGCCCCCACACCGCAAACGCCCAGGUAAUGGGGAUCAUCUGAAGAGCGUGGGCAGGCAGAUGCGUCUGCUUGGCGUAGAACUGACACCCGUGACAUGAUCGUACGAGCUCGAUGGCGUCCGCCACGGCCGUUGGCCAGUAGAAGCCUUGUCGAAAAGCGUUCCCUACAAGGGUCCGUGGAGCGGCGUGGUGACCGCAAGCCCCCGAGUGCAGGUCAUCGAGGAGUUUUCGGCCUUCUUCCACGGUGAUGCAACGUUGUAAGACCCCCGUCGGGCUCCGUCGAUAUAGCUCGUUGUCUUCGCCAUAGAUCACAUAUGAUUUGGCCCGUCGAGCGAUACGACGAGCUUCUGACCUGUCUUCUGGGAACUCGCCGCGGAUAAGGCAGUCGAGGAACGGUGUGCGCCAAUCGAAUGGUCGACCUGGUCGUCGUUCUAUCUCCAUCAUCUCUUCCACCAUCAAGAGCGUAUCGACAGCAUUGGUUGGUUGGGCGGUGGUGGCGUCGACGCCAGCCCCCGUGCCUAGGUCGAUGGAUGGCUCGUGAAGAUCUUUUGAGAAUGCAUCAGGCGGCACCGUGCCUCUGGUCGAUGCGAUCUUGGCGAGUUCGUCGGCUGCCUCGUUGUAGCGUCGAGCGAUAUGGACAAGCUCGAGACCGUGGAACCUGUCCUCGAGUCGACGGACCUCCUUGCAGUACGCUUCCAUUUUUGGGUCGUGGCAGCUCGAGGUUUUCAUUACUUGGUCAAUGACGAGUUGGGAGUCACCUCGGACGUCGAGGCGUCGGACUCCUAACUCGAUAGCGAUCUUGAGACCGUUGACGAGGGCCUCAUAUUCUGCGACAUUGUUAGAUGCGGCAAAAUGAAUCCUGAUUACGUACCUCAUGUGGACGCCCAAGGGUGAGAUGAACAGCAGGCCGGCUCCGGCUCCAGUUUUCAUGAGUGACCCAUCGAAAUACAUCGUCCAUAGUUCCGCCUGGACCUGGGUCGGGGGAGCUGGGUGUCCGUCCAUUCUGCGAUGAAGUCUACCAGGGCCUGCGAUUUGAUGGCCUUGCGAGGCGCAUAAGUGAGAGUCUCACUCAUGAGCUCGACCGACCAUUUUGCUAUUCUUCCCGUGGCUUCUUUGCUCUGGAUUAUUUCGCCUAAAGGAAAAGACGAGACCACCGUGAUGGGGUGGCCAAGGAAGUAAUGCUGCAGCUUGCGACGGGCAAGGAUUACGGCAUAAAUCAGCUUCUAGAUUUGGGGAUAACGUGCUUUGGUCUCCGAAAGCACCUCGCUGACGAAAUAUACUGGCCUCUGAAUCGGUAACGCAUGUCCCUCCUCCUGCCUCUCGACCACCACCGCCGCGCUGACGACCUGGGUCGUCGACGCGACGUAGAGGAGCAGCGGCUCUGCAGGUUGAGGUGGAACCAGGACUGGUGCCGAGGUCAGCGUCUUCUUCAGCCUUUCGAGUGCUUCCUCAGCCUCAGGGGUCCAAGAAAAGCGCUCGACCUUCUUUAGGAGUCGAUAUAAUGGUAAUGCCUUUUCUCCUAGUCUCGAGAUGAAAUGGCUCAGAGCCGCCAGGCACCCCGUGACUCUCUGUACACCCUUGAUGUCUCGGAUCGGCCCCAUUUUCGUGAUGGCCGAGACUUUCUCGGGGUUGGCCUCGAUGCCGCGCUGCGAAACGAUGUAUCCUAGGAGCAUGCCUCGAGGCACACCGAAAACGCACUUCUCGGGAUUGAGCUUGAUCCGGCUGGUGCGUAGGCAGCUAAAGCCAAUCUCGAGGUCCUGGAUCAGGUCUCCUCGUCGCUUUGACUUGACGACAAUGUCGUCGACGUAGGCCUCGACCGUUGACCCUAUAUGUUCGCCAAAUACGUGGAGCAUGCAACGUUGAUACGUGGCUCCCGCGUUUCGAAGCCCAAAUGGCAAGGUCACGUAGCAAUACAUCCCAAAAGGCGUGAUGAAAGAGGUCGCGAGCUGGUCGGACUCCUUCAUUUUUAUUUGGUGGUAACCAGAAUAUGCAUCAAGGAAAGAAAGGGUUUCACAUCCCGCGGUAGAAUCGACAAUCUGAUCAAUGCCUGGCAAUGGAAAGGGAACUUUUGGACAUGCUUUAUUCAGACUAGUAUAAUCGACACACAUCCUCAUUUUCCCAUUCUUUUUCUUAACUAAUACAGGGUUUGCUAACCAGUCAGGAUGAUGAACCUCCUUGAUGAAUCCGGCCGUCAAAAGCUUGUGGACUUCCUCGCCAAUGAUCUUGCGCUUCUCCUCAUCGAAUCGGCGCAACCGCUGCUUCACUGGCUUGGAACCGGCUCGAAUCUCCAAGGAGUGCUCGGCGACUUCCCUCGGUAUGCCUGGCAUGUCCGAGGGACUCCAUGCAAAUAUAUCAGCAUUUGCACGGAGAAAGUCGACGAGCACGGCUUCCUAUUUGGGGUCGAGGUCGGCGCUGAUCGUCAGCACUUUGCCGUCGGAGUUGUUGGGGUCGAGCGGGAUCUUCUUGGUUCCUUCCGCCGCCUCGAAGCUGCCCGCAUGAUGCUUAGGCUCUGGAGCCUCAGCGGCCAUGGACUCGAGCUUUGCAACGAGCUCGGUGGAGCUCUCGGCCGCCUCCCCGUACUCGACGCACUCGACGUCGCACUCGUACGCGUGCUCGAAGGAGGAACUGACAGUGAUGCCUCCUUUGGGACCAGGCAUCUUCACCUUCAAGUAGGUGUAGUUGGGUAUAGCCAUGAACUUGGCGUAGCCCGGGCGCCCGAUGAUGGCGUGGUACGUGCCUCGGAACCCAACCACCUCAAAGGUGAGGGUCUCCUUCCUGAAGUUGGCCGCUGUGCCGAAGCAGACCGGUAGGUCAAUUCGACCUACUGGCAGUGCCUUUUUCCCUGGCACGACGCCAUGGAAACCGCCGGCGCUUGGCUGGAGGCGUCCUCUAUAGAUGCCGAGGAGGUCGAGGGUCUCGAGGUAGAUGAUGUUGAGGCUGCUGCCACCAUCCAUCAGCACUUUCGAGAGUCGGGUGUUGACGAUGAUGGGGUCGACGACGAGCGGGUAGACGCCUGGGGCGACUACCUUGUCGGGGUGGUCCUCUCGGUCGAAAGUGAUAGGAGUGCUUGACCAGCUAAGGUACUGGGGCACCGCCAUUCUUGCCGCAAAGACUUCGCGACGCUCCCUUUUGCGCUGCCUCAUGGUUAAUUGAGUCGAGGGCCCGCCAUAGAUCAUGUAGCAGUCGUGGACGGCGGGGAAGCCGUCGUCAUCUUUGUUGUCCUCCUUGCUGCCAGCCUUCUCUUUCUUGGAGUCAUCACGCGUAUCUUUUUUGAACCCCAGACCGUCGAAAUGCUUUCUGAGCAUACGACAGUCCUUGAGCUUGUGGUUGGCGCCUCCCUUAUGGUAAGGGCACGGCUCCUCCAACAUCUUGUCAAAGAUGCCUCCAUCCGGAGGGCCUCGAGGCUUCUUUCGAUCCAUGGCGGCGACAAGGUUGUCAUCGGAAUCUUCCCGGUGGAACUGCCGCACUUUCUGCUUCUUUUUAUUUUUCUUGAGGCCUCGACUGGGGGUCCCAUCUUCGUCGACGGGCUGCUUGCCUUUUCUUCCUUCUGAGCUGAAGAAGGCGCCGACUGCCUCCUCCCCUGCCGCGUAGUUGGCUACUACGUCCAUCAGCUCGUCGACGGUCUGAGGUCGAUUGCGACCUAAUUCCCGCACCAAGUCUCGACUGGUGGUGCCCGAGACAAACGCCAAGAUGACGUCGUGGUCAGGGAUGUGCGGCAGCUCAGUGCGCUGCUUCGAGAAGCGUCGAGCAUACUCCCGAAGAGUUUCUCCCGACUUCUGCUUGCACUUGCUGAGGUCCCACGAGUUCCCUGGCCGUAUGUAGGUCCCUUUGAAGUUACCCUCGAAGACUCUGACCAGAUCAACCCAGUUGUGGAUCUGAUUGGCAGGGAGUUCCUCGAGCCAUCGACGGGCGGUGUCGGAGAGGAAAAGGGGUAGCUGUCUGAUGAUGGCUCGAUCAUCACCUCGAGCGCCACCUAGCUGACAGGCCAGCCUGAAGUCGGCCAGCCACAACUCUGGUUUGGUCUCUCCAUUGUACUUCACGAUGCUGGUCGGGGGUCGAAAUGGAUUGGGCAGGGGCGUGCUGCGGAUCGCCCUGCUGAACACCCGUGGGCCUGGUGGCUCGGGGGCCACCCGGUCCUCGUCGCUGUCGUAUCUCCCACCGCGAUGCGCGCUAUAACCGCGCUCUUCCGCGUCUCCGUGCCGGCGGCGUCGAUUUUCUUUGAUGUCGUGCCGCGCGUCGUGUCGACGUUGAUUGUCGACGGGGAGGAUGAGAGCGAUCUUUCUAUCUCGAGGGGGAGGUUGUUGAUGGACUGACACCUCCUCUUCGUUUAGAGGCUGUUCGUCACGCUUCUCUGUGGCAGCUCCUCGUCGUCGAGACGCCGAACUUUCGGCUUGUUGAACCGCCGCCACCUGGAGCAAUGUCUGUACCUCAUCUCGAAUGCGUCGGGCCUGGGAAUUCGACGGCUCUGGCAUGUUACGUAGUAGCAUCGUCGCUGCCACUACAUUCUGGCCUGCUCGAGGGAAACGGCUGACAGGUUGCUCUGGCUCUGCGUCGCCGACGAUCUGUCGAUGUACCUCUCGAGCGCGUCUGCGGACACUUCCGCCCGGCGGGUAGGGCAGGUCUUGCUCGAGGAUUUGCUCGAGCAGGACGAGGCGCUCGCGGUCUUCGUCGAGCUUCAUCUUGAGCUCCCGCAGCUGCGCGAGCUGCGCGGUUCUGUCUUCCUGAGGAGGGGGGUCGACCUGUCCGUCGUUCCCAGGCGUCCUGGGGUCUUCUCGCGCCGCGGGGGCUCGACCACCCGCAGCAGCAUCCCGUGUCUCGUCAGUAGUUUCUACCGCCCCGUCGAUGUGAUAGCAUUCCCUCGUAGGGUCAUAGCUAUCUAUCUCGGAGUCGGAGUCCGGUUCGGCGGCGUAGAAACACCCACGUCCUUCCUCCAGCAAUCGUUGCCUGAGGGGGGUGAUCGAGUAUCGUCCGGGGCCUAGACGACGGAGGCCUUGUACUCGGGAAAGGUCCGGCAGCUCGGACGCCGGCCGCCGCGCUUCAGAGCUACGUGGGAGGACCAUUGGUCUUUCUACGUACGUCUGGGCGUUUGGGCAUAUCGCCCUGGCGAGCGACGCCACGACGUUGUCCAAUCCGAACGGCAGUGCCGCUCUUGGAGAGAACAACCCGUGUGGAAGUAGCCUAGCUGCGGUGGGGGAGAGCAUGCGAGACGCGUCCCCUCCCGUCGUCGCGCGGUGCUGAGUCGUCGCACUUGUUGCUCCGUCACACGGUGCUGCCGACUUGUGGCCUACGUCCUGCCUCGCACGAGUUGUUGGUCGUGCUGAAGCAGAGGGGCCGCGGUGGUGCUGUCCGCGCCUCUUCUUAGGCGGGGAGGCGUGGUGGUGAGGGCGUCUCGGGGCCUUCAACCGUGCUGGCGUAACGCGGGCUCCUCCUGGUCCUUUGACUGAGAGCAAGAUCAUGUCGUAGCCGGAGCCCGUAGACAUGAACUCGAGACUCCCAAACCAAAUCACCGUGGAGCACGGAAACGGCGAGGCAAGAGUAGCCAUCCGGAAAGGAGUGGGAAAUCGAUGAAAAACACGCAGGACCCCUACCUGGCGCGCCAACUGUCGGUGUUUUCCCCCGGGGGGUCACACCAACGAGUAAAUUUGUAUGCGUGCUCCCUUUCCCGGAUGGUGAUGCAAGAAGACACAGAGAUUUAUCCUGGUUCGGGCAAGAGAAGGCCCUACGUCCAGCGGGGGGGAGAGAGUUUGUAUUAUCUUGCACCUAAGUACUUGUACAGGGUCGAAUACAAGCGUGGUAUGAAGUGUGGAGCUCUACUACGUAUGAGCGUGGUCUUGUGUCGUGAUCUCUCUAUUCUAUUCCUGUGUCCCUCCUUUUAUAGUUCCAAGGAAGGACCUAGGGUACAUGUAUAGGUGUAGGAAUUGGAGUCGAUAGCAGCAUGGAGCGCUGACCUACUCGAGGUUUCCGUACCGGCAUGACCUCGAGCCGUCCCGUCUUAAUAGCCUGGUGAUGAUCACGCGUGCCCCUGCAUUCUGCUCUGCGCGCCGUCUUGGAUUGGUUCGGCGGAUGCACGCUUAUAUGGCUCGGCGGCAAAUCCGGCGGAGCGGUUACGGCGUGGUCAGUCGACGCCCGACUCGUCUCCAGGAAGGAGCCUGGUGAAGUCGAGGGUCGGACGCCGUACGAGGUGUCGAUAUCUGGAGCGCUGACCUUGGGUGUCUCGAGGGGGUCCCGAUUAGACGUUCCAUCCUUGUUUCCCGCGUCCUGACACGCCCUGGGUCGUUCGGUGGGAAGGCUACAAAAAGAACGAUGGGACAGAAGCCUGUUCCCUAUCACGCCUCCCGUGACCCGUGUGUUAGGUGGGGAAGCGUCAGGUGCAUUAAAUGCCCUGGCUCUCGUGCGCGCGUCAGGCGGCGGACAGUGUCCUUGCGCUCGACGCCUCUCGGUUCGCUCGAGCCCGCUUCCGUAUUCGACGGCAGUUGUCGCUCGAGCCCUGACCGAUUCGCUCGACGCUAUUUCUGUCUUCGAGGCUGCGGCCGUCGAUGGCCGCGCGUGUGUACGGAUGGUCUCGUUAUACGCAUUGGUGAGGGUACCCCUUGUUGAUACCCGCAACAACUCUAGUGCCAUGCUAGGGAUGACAACAUAGUAUUCAAGUGGUGUUAGCAAGUGUCAACAAGCAUUUUUGGCGCCGUUGCCGGGGAAACGGUUGCUGAGUUGACUACGAACUAGCUUAAUCAUUUUCUAAAAAAAAUAAUAUAUAUAUAUAUAAAUAUACUUUUCCUUUUAUCUUUUGCCUUAUCUCUACUAUUCUUUCUUCUUAUCUAAUCCUUGAUCUCUGGUCUAUCACAAAUUCAAACAUGUCUAUCUAUGAAUUUAAUAGACUUACGGGCACACAUCUCGAACCACCAAAAUCCUCAAAGCCUAUCAUGACAUCUAGUUUUGAGAUAAGCCCGGAAUACAUGGAAUUUCUUCAAAAACAACCUUUCACAGGAGAAGGUGAGGAAAACCCAUACACACACACCUAAGAGAGUUUUAUCGAGUCUGUGACCUCCUUCGCAUAGAAGGCAUUGUUGACACUUGCUAACACCACUUGAAUACUAGGUUGUCAUCCCCAGCAUGGCACUAAAGUGUACUAUGGUAUUUAUACGCACACAGAUAAUCCGCAAGCGCACGGAUACCGCUAUAGCUUUUACCCGGUUAAAGGUUUUAUCGUAUCCACAGGGAAACGGGAGAACUGAUCUAUGCUCUAACUUAACCAAGAUAAGUAAAUAGGUGUAAAUAGGAAAGAUGGUAGAAUCGAAUAAGAACAAUAUUAAAGGUAAGAUAACAUUGAGUGAUAAUAUGGGAAUAGAGAAUAGAGCAAUCUAGUAUAUGGGCGAUGGUAGCAGAAUAGAGAGGAUAACUAUGGUUUCUCUACUUCAAAGGGGUAUGUCUAUGUCUGGGAUGAACCACGUGAUAAGAGUACACCACAAAGGAUGCUUAUCCUUAGGCCGAUAAACCCUACCCAUCUUGCUAAUGAGAGGUGGACUACAAAGGACCAACGUAGCUGUCACCUACGCGGCCUACCACACGAUCCAGCUAGAUAGGGGAUAUCCACAAGUAAUCUAGGUCUAAGCACCACGCUUACACCUAUACUACAACUCUCAGCUAUAGCGUCCUAUAGAUUAAAGUACUCAAAAGAGUUGUGAACCAAAACAUACAUAAUUAGUAAUUGCAUAAUGAAUUAGAAGUAGAUUACCAGAGUAAUCCCAUGAGCGAGCUUGAUUACAGCUUGAUCAUGACGAAGUACAACCGGAGGAAGAACCGACAGGCCGGCCUCUCCUCUAAUCCUCCUUCGCUCUCCAUCUUGCUACUAUCUAGAUCUACUCUAGUUUAGAGAAGAGAGGAGAGCUCUCAUCUCUAAACCCUAGCUUUUGCUCUGUCUAUGAAUAAUGAAUAAUGAUCAAGGGGUGCCUCCUCCAGGGGCCAGGGGGUCUGGUUAUAUAGUCCCCUCAGGUGAACCUGGGCCGUCCGAUCAAACCGACAUUGAUUGAACGGUUAUUCUUGAUCCUUUAGGUCGGUGGAGAUCUCCUGAGAGAAAGAGUCCUGAUUGGGCUCCAAGUCAGGGUGGGCGCCCAGGGCAGGAGGGCGGGCGCCCUGCCUCUGGCCCCGUUCGGCCUCCGCUUCCUUCCCGUGGCUUCUGGAGUCUUCUAGAUGUAAGAUAAUUGCGCGGCACAUUAAUAUCUCUAUGUAAUCCUAACGUGUGGGCCUUUCUUCCGUAUUUCCUGAUAACCCCCUAUAGAAAUAGACAAACACCAAAACUCGUGGAAUUCUGUCAGAUAAAACCCUAAGUCUAGAUGUUGAUUUCAUUUAGAUCAUUUUCUUUGUUUAUUUGCUAAUUAAAUUUGAUACUUAAGGACCGUCAACAAACUCCCCCAAGCUUACCUCUUGCUCGUCCCUGAGCAAGGAUAGACUCAUCAAUGGAUCAGAAGUUGUUGCAAUAUCUUAAAAAUUUGACGGUACACAUGCUUUUAAAUAAGAUCUCAUCUCUGAGUUAGAGUAAACUGUCAAGAACUAAAACUUACUUACUUUACCUUUCACCAUGGGACUUGUAAUCGUCACUUCUGUCUUGAGUAGUUAAAAGAUAGAACAGUCUAGCCAAGUGCCAUGUCUCUUAUUCUUGAUCAGCUGUAGCUUUGGAGUUUUUGCAGAUUUCCAAAUAAAACUCAGAGAUUCCUUGUAUGACUCUCUAAAUCUCUCUUUUGUGGUAUUUCUGGAUCCUUACCAAGGCUGUGAUGGUAUAUGCCUUCUCUCAAGAUAUAUGGUAUUUGUGGUAUAAGGCAUAGCGACAUUGCCUUCUCUCUCACCCUACUCUAAUAAGGCUUUAAUAUCUGGAGCUCAUAGGUGGGAGAUAAAGUAUACAUACUUACAAGACAUUUAUUGUAUAGUCAAACCAUGGAUCCAAAGAAACAAAUCAAUAAGCCAAAUCAAGAUGUGCAUGUGUGGCGAAUGAAUGGUGUAUGGUGAUGAUGGUGAUAACAAUGGUGAAAGUCUAAUUCUACUUUUGCUCUUUUGAGGGGAUACAUACCUUCCUUGCUUUUUGAAACUUUAUGAGGAGAAUGAGAUGCUCUUCUUUUUCUUUCCUCUCAGGUGGGUAUCUUGUACCCCUAAUUCUACUGUCGGACACUUGUCCAUUUUUACCUCUCGUCUCACUUUUUCUUUCUUUCGAGGUUCCGGACACUUGCCCCUUUUUAUUUCCUCGUUUAUUAUUAUUUUUUUCUUUUCUUUUCUUCUCUUUUCUUUUUUUUCUUUUCAGAGCACUCAUCUCUUGAGAUAAUAUAGCAAGUGGUAGUAGCAAGAUAACUUGAGCAUUUAUUUCACAAGGAAAAACAGAAAUAUUUUUGGUUAUUCUCUCCCGGAUUAGGAGUAGAAUAUUUUUGGGUGGUUCUGGAGAUGGAAAUGAGUGGAUAUAUAUGGAUGGUACUUCCGGAGUAGAAGUAGCAUAUAUGAGUGAAUGUGCAAGUGAAAUCUUGAUUUAACCACAUGACAAGCUCCUAAGGGUCUACACAGCUUGACCACACUCAAUGCUCAUAAGCAGUAAAUAGUAAAUGUGUGGCUCAAAGUCUAGCAAGCAUGUAUAUAUAGCUGUGGUAGGAAUUUAAACUUUCAUCAUACAGGAACUCAUCAUGCAAUAUUUUAAAGAUUUUUCAAAGAUAAAAUUCUCCAGAAUUCUAGCAUCUCUAGGAACAGAUAAACAGCAGCUCAACCUUCCCAUAUCAUAUCCGUUAACAACUUAGAUUUCAGAUCAAGUUUUUAUCCCACAAGUUUAGAUCUAGAGCAAGCUUUAAAUUAUAACAGUUAUGUCUAAACUUGAGAGAGAACUUCAAAUGUGCAAAUUAGGCAGAGCAACUAUUCAUCAUAUCCAUGCUAGAGUUUUAUUAUUAAGAUUCAGAUUAGCAUAGCCACUUUUUUUAUUUAUUAAACACACUAAGCAAAAGAUAUAUAUAAGCACAAAAUCUUUAUUUGGUUUUUCAAAGUUUAUGUAUUUUAAUAUUCUAAUAUAAUAUAAGUAUAAAGAGAUGUAGUUAUACUUAGCGAGAUAAAUGGGGGUGCUCUCCCCCAAGCUGAAUUUUGACGUAAUUUUUAUUGAUGUAGCUAGCAGGUGGCAGAGGUGUAUUUGAAAGUCAGCAGCAUUCUGACAGCGAUUAGAAUGUCCUCCGUCUGCUAGUAUUCUUGAUUCUUAAAUUCUGUGGAGCUCAAAUAGAUAACAAAGCUUGUGGAACUAAUUAAGUGUUAGCAUAAAUAUCUAGCCUUCAUCAUGUUGAGCUUCCUCAAUAAAUAUUACUCCCUGUUUUUAUAUUUUUAUUUUAUAAAGCAGAAAAGAAAUAUUUAUUUUAUUUUUAUGCCACCACAGUGAAGGUACUUAUGGGUUUUAUGCCACUCGUAUUCACACAUAGGGCUUAGUAUUUUUUAACAUUUUUAUUUUCUUUUCAAGAUAGCAUGAUUAACUAAUAAUCUAUUUAAGGAAAGUAAAUAAUUAAAGGGAAAAGGAAAUGCAGAAAGGAUAAAUAUGGAUAACUACCGAUCUUACCUUUCGACGAGGGUUCAAUAUUUUAAGUCUUCUUAACAAGACUUCUCACCGUGUUCAUUCUUCAGGUGCGUCAUUUGAUUCAGGUGCGGACCUUGACGUCUGCACCUCUUGAUACGGUGUCACCCAUGUUCUUCAUUUGCCCAGCAGUUCGAAGUGCGGCGUUGGCAGUAACCUGCUCAGAGAGACAAGGCAGAAAUCAAGUGCAUGGGUCCUGUUGGUGGAAAACACCAACAGAACCUAAAGUGUAUUUGUUCUUCUCUAACACUAAGCAUAGUGAGCAAGACAAAGUUGAUGGAUGAAAAGUUCAUGAGUGUAGCACUUAUAACAUUUGUCAGAUCAGAUCGCUCAACCUUAUGAAAAGAUAAUCUAUCUAUGUAUAUGUCUUUUUCUUUAUAUCUCUCAAUGAUUGAAUGUGUAACAUUAUAGCUCAUAUGAUUAGGAGUGUGGGAUCAUGGAGGUAGUAUUAAGAACAAGGAUUAAAGGACUAAACAUGUUGAAUCAGCUGGGUUGGUUAAUCUAGAGUUGUAAAUCAUACAUCUUUGUCUCUUUUAUUUAUAUGAACGCUAGAACCAAGGAGAAGCUUAUAGAAGUGAUAGUCAAGUACCUUAAGGUGUUACCUUACUUGAAGAGUGAUGGUACCAUCUCACCUUGUGGAAGCUUCCCAUUCGUAGUGGUUGUGUAUCUUGUUUAUGUACUUUGUCUUCUUCCAUGGAUCAUCUCUCUAUGAUGAAUGAGCUAUGUCCUUGUGCAAAUUGUUAAACUUCAUGUGUCACUCUCUUUGUCUCUAAUGUGAGUUUAUCUCAGGACUUCCCAAAACGAUAUUGAAAGUUUUUCUACAGGGGUUAGUCCGACAAAAAUAUACCAAUGUCUACACAAGCAGUUUUUAGUUCAAUAACCGAACUAGACUCCAUGUCUAAUCAGAUUAAGGAAGGCUGUUUAACCUAAGCACCAUGCUUAAUUUAGAAGCCAAUAGAAGUAUGUGCAGUACUUCCAAACUAACACUUACUAGUAAAUAGACAAAGGUAACAUGACAGCAUUUAUAGAGAUCUACUCAAGUGGAGAUGAAGUAGUGUGAUUAGUAUUUAACAAAUUGAGCAUGUCUUAAAGGUAGGGACAACCAACAUAGCAACAUGGAAAAGGAUGUUUUUAUGUAAAGUACUCCCCCAAGUUUGAAUUUUGCAGAAUUCAAGUUUGGAUGAAUUUAAUUCAGUGUUGCAUGAUGAUUGGUUGGACAUGCCUUGUACUUGCUUGUCAUUCAUCUGAUCUUCUUGUUCCAAUCCUGGAAAGGUUAGUGACAAGAAUACCCGAAAGAAUAUUUUCACAAUUAUCCUUAUAUGCUCAAUACACAAGGUAAUGUUGUAAAUAAUUAAAACCUCAUGUUACGAUCUGAUCAGUGCUUAUUUUAAGACACUAAGCUUGUCCUUGGGAAACCAUCAAUUUAUGUCGGCGAAGUGGUUUCCCUUCCAACGCUGACCUAUAUCAAGAUCAACUCAAUGAGAUCCACAAUAUUUAUUAUAGACAUAUGCAUCGACAACCGCCCUUUUAAAGUUUUUAUAAAUAGAAAGGAAGAGGGGGUUGGAGAUCUCAAAUGUGGUGAUGUUGGAGAGACCAAUAGAUUGGGAAGAUGUUGCAUAUAAGCAUGGAGUAAACAAAGUGGCUAUGAAAUAAAUUACAUGCUCAUUAAUAUUAUUGCAAGGAUUUGAAUUAUCCCUGCUUGAAGGUCUCUUAUGGAACCAAAAGUCUAAACCAUCAGCAUCUGAAAGAUUUAAGGUCAGAAUUCCUUCCUCCCUUGGAGAAUUUUGGGGUAUUGAUGGUUUAGGAUCGAUAGCUAAAGUUUGGGAUUGAAGUGGUUGUGAUCUAGCUAUCGAAACUUCUUCUUCUUGUCUAGGAACUGGUUCUGUCUCUUUCUCAGGGAUAUAAAAGCUAGGAGACUUUCCGCUCAUUAAAUCAAUCAAAUUCCAAGCUUCACUAGCAGGUAGGUGAUAGAAGGAUCCUCUAGAGGCUGUAUUCAAGGUUUGCUUAUUUUCCCCACUAAGGCCCUCAAAAAAGUGAGUUAGAAGAACUUCUUCUGGAAUAGAAAGCUUUGGGUCAGUGAGAGUAAGGUUAAUAAAGCGGUCCCAUGAUUUGCCAAGAGAUUCUUCUUCCAGUUGUCUAAAAGAAAUAAUCUCACGCCGAAGUUCCGCCACUUUAGAGAUUGGAAAAUAUUUUAAAAGAAAACUAUUAUGUAACUCCUUCCAAUCUCCAUGAACACUCUCUACUUUGAGUUUAUACCAAUGUCUAGCUUUUCCUGUUAAAGAGAACGGAAAGAGCUUCCAUUUAAGGGUCUAAUCAGACAUGCCUUCAAUGCGAAGGAGGUCACAGACUUGAUAAAACUCUCUUAGGUGUGUGUUUGGGUUUUCCUCACCUUCUCCUGAGAAAGGUUGUUUUUGAACAAAUUCUAUGUAUUCGGGGUCUAUCUCAAAACUAGAUGCUAUGAUAGGCUUUGAAGAUUUUGGUGGUUCGAGAUGUGUGCCCGUAGGUCUAUGAAAUUCAUAGAUAGACAUGUUUGAAUUCAUAAUAGACCAGAGAUCAAGGAUUAGAUAAGAAGAAAGAGUAGCAGAGAUAAGGCAAAGGAUAAAAGGAAAAAUAUUUUUUUUUAUUUUUCUUAGAAAAUGAUUAAGCUAGUUCGUAGUCAACUCAGCAACCGUUUCCCAGGCAACGGCGCCAAAAAUGCUUGUUGACACUUGCUAACACCACUUGAAUACUAGGUUGUCAUCCCCAGCAUGGCACUAGAGUUUACUAUGGUAUUUAUACGCACACAGAUAAUCCACAAGUGCACGGAUACCGUUAUAACUUUUACCCGGUUAAAGGUUUUAUCGUAUCCACAGGGAAACGGGAGAACUGAUCUACGCUCUAACUUAACCAAGAUAAGUAAAUAGGUGUAAAUAGGAAAGAUGGUAGAAUCGAAUAAGAACAAUAUUAAAGGUAAGAUAACUGUGAGUGAUAAUAUGGGAAUAGAGAAUAGAGAAAUCUAGUAUAUGGGCGAUGGUAGCAGAAUAGAGAGGAUAACUAUGGUUUCUCUACUUCAAAGGGGUAUGUCUAUGUCUGGGACGAACCACGUGAUAAGAGUACACCACAAAGGAUGCUUAUCCUUAGGCCGAUAAACCCUACCCGUCCUGCUAACGAGAGGUGGACUACAAGGGACCAACGUAACUGUCACCUACGCGGCCUACCACACGAUCCAGCUAGAUAGGGGAUAUCCACAAGUAAUCUAGGUCUAAGCACCACGCUUGCACCUAUAUUACAACUCUCACCUAUAGCGUCCUAUAGAUUAAAGUACUCAAAAGAGUUGUGAACCAGAACAUACAUAAUUAGUAAUUGCAUAAUGAAUUAGAAGUAGAUUACCAGAGUCAUCCCAUGAGCAAGCUUGAUUAGAGCUUGAUCAUGACGAAGUACAACCGGAGGAAGAACCGACAGGCCGGCCUCUCCUCUAAUCCUCCUUCGCUCUCCAUCUUGCUACUAUCUAGAUCUACUCUAGUUUAGAGAAGAGAGGAGAGCUCUCAUCUCUAAACCCUAGCUUUUGCUCUGUCUAUGAAUAAUGAAUAAUGAUCAAGGGGUGCCUCCUCUAGGGGCCAGGGGGUCUGGUUAUAUAGUCCCCUCAGGUGAACCUGGGCCGUCGGAUCAAACCGACAUUGAUUGAACGGUUAUUCUUGAUCCUUUAGGUCGGUGGAGAUCUCCCGAGAGAAAGUGUCCUGAUUGGGCUCCAAGUCAGGGCGGGCGCCCAGGGCAGGAGGGCGGGCGCCCUGCCUCUGGCCCCGUUCGGCCUCCGCUUCCUUCCCGUGGCUUCUGGAGUCUUCUAGAUGUAAGAUAUUUGCGCGGCACGUUAAUAUCUCUAUGUAAUCCUGACGUGUGGGCCUUUCUUCCGUAUUUCCUGAUAACCCCCUACAGAAAUAGACAAACACCAAAACUCAUGGAAUUCUAUCAGAUAAAACCCUAAGUCUAGAUGUUGAUUUCAUUUAGAUCCUUUUCUUUGUUUAUUUGAUAAUUAAAUUUGAUACUUAAGGACCGUCAACAGGCAUGUCUGAUGAGACCCUUAAAUGGAAGCUCUUUCCAUUCUCUUUAACAGGAAAAGCUAGACAUUGGUACAAACUCAAAGUAGGUAGUGUUCAUGGAGAUUGGAAGGAGUUAUAUAAUAGUUUUCUUUUUAAAUAUUUUCCAAUCUCCAAAGUGGCGGAACUUCGGCGUGAGAUUCUUUCUUUUAGGAAACUAGAAGAAGAAUCUCUUGGCAAAUCAUGGGACCGCUUUAUUAACCUUACUCUCACUGGCCCAAAGCUUUCUAUUCUAGAAGAAGUUCUUCUAAUUCACUUUUUUGAGGGCCUUAGUAGGGAAAAUAAGCAAACCUUGAAUAUAGCCUCUAGAGGAUCCUUCUAUCACCUACCUACUAGUGAAGCUAGGGAUUUAAUUGAUUCAUUGAGUGAAAACUUUCCUAGCAUUUAUAUCCCUGAGAAAGAGAAAGAACCAGUUCCUAGACUAGAAGAAGAAGUUUCGAUAGCCAGAUCACAACUACUUCAAUCCCAAACUUUAGCUAUCGAUCCUAAACCAUUAAUACCCCAAAAUUCUCCAAGGAAGGAAGGAAUUCUGACAUUAAAUCUUUCAGAUGCUGAUGGUUUAGACUUUUGGUUCCAUAAGAGACCUUCAAGCAGGGAUAAUUCAAAUCCUUGCAAUAAUGGUAAUCUUAGAGAAUGUCCUGGUUCCUAUUAUGAAGAAGUCGAGGAUGACAUAUCAAGUGAAGGAGAGCUAAGACAUAUAGAAAAUUCUAUCUGCUCCCCUUCCAUGUUCACAAGUUCUAAAUCCAUCCUUAACCUUAGAGACCCCUCUUAUCCCUCUCCUUUUAAGUCUCAUGAUGAUCCUAACAAUCCAUCAAGAUGAUCAAACCAUAGGAGUCAUAAAGACCAUGAGGAUGACAUGUCAAGUAAUGUCAUAGAAGGAGAGCUAAGACAUAUAGAAAAUUCUAACACCUCCCCUUUCCUGAUCACAAGUUCUAAAUGGCUAGAAUGUGUAGAAUGGAUGGAUAAGGAAGAAGCCUUGAUGGAUUCUGACUUUGGCUCAAUUUCAAAUGGUGAGUUCUUGACUCCCUUUGAAGAUGAGAUUCAUCCAACUACAGCAGAGGACAUAGGUGAGACCAAUCCAGGAGAAACUCCGAACAUUCAGAUUGGAGACGAAGAUAACAUUAAUGAGCAUGGAAUUUAUUUCAUAGCCACUUCGUUUACUCCAUGUUCAUAUGCAACAUCUUCCCAAUCUAUUGGUCUCUCUAACAUCACCACAUUUGAGAUCUCCAACCCCCUCUUCCUUUAUAUUUAUAAAAACUUUAAAAGGGCGGUUGUCGAUGCAUAUGUCUAUAAUAAGUAUUGCAGAUCUCGUUGAGUUGAUCUUGAUAUAGGUCAGCGUUGGAAGGGAAACCACUUCGCCGACAUAAAUUGAUGGUUUCCCAAGGACAAGCUUAGUGUCCUCAAAUAAGCACUGAUCAGAUCGCAACAUGAGCUUUUAAUUAUUUGCCAUAUUGCCUUGUGUAUUGAGCGUAUAAAGAAUAAUUGUAAAAAUAUUCCUUCGGGUAUUCUUGUCACUAACCUUUCCAGGAUUGGAGCAAGAAGAUUGGAUGAAUGACAAGCACAAGGUAUGUCCAACCAAUCAUCAUACAACAUUGAAUUAAAUCCAAACUUAAAUUUUGCAAAAUUCAAACUUGGAGGAGUACUUUACAUAAAAACAUCAUUUGCCAUGUUGCUAUAUUGGUUGUCCCUACCUUUGAGACAUGCUCAAUUUAUUAAAUACUAAUCACACUACUUCAUCUCCACUUGAGUAGAUCUCUAUAAAUGCUCUCAUGCUACCUUUAUUUGCUUUAGUAUAUGUCUAGGUUUGGAGUAGUUUCAUUUAUCUCUUAAAUAAGCAUGGUGCUUAGUUUAGGAAUGAUGAUCUUACUUCCAAGGGAUUUUAAAUUAAGCAUGGUGCUUAGGUUAAAAUGUCCACCUAAAUCAAAUUAGACAUGGUGUCUAGGUUGAUUUUUGAGCCGAUAGUAUGCUAUAGUAGAUAUUGGAUAUUUUGUUGGACUAACCCCUGCAGGAAAACUUUCAACAUCGACCUGGGAAGUCCAGAGACAAACUCACAUUGGAGACAAAGAGAGAGACACAUGAAGUUUAACAAUUUACAUAAGGAAGACAUAGCUCAUAAGAGAUGACCCAUGGAGGGUGCCACAAACACGAUGCACACCCGCUAAGAAAGAAAAGCUUCCACAAGGUGAUACUGUACCAUCACUCUUCAAGUAAGGUAACAUCUUAAGGUAUGUGACAAUCACUUUUAUAAGCUUCUCCUUGGUUUUGGCGUUCACAUAAAUAUGACAAACAUGUAUGAUUUAUAACUCCAAAUCAACCAACCCAACUGGUUCAGCAUGUUUAGUCCUUUAAUCUUUGUUCCUAGUACUACCUCCAUGAUCCCACACUCCUAAUCAUAUGAGAUAAAAUGUUGCACAUUCAAUCUUUGGGAAGAUAUAACGAAAAAGACAUAUACAUAGAUAGAUUAUCUUUCCAUAAGGUUGAGCGAUCUGAUCUGACAAAUGUUUUAAAUGCUACACUCAUGAUCUUAUUAUUCAUCAACUUUGUCUUGCUCACUAUGCUUAAGGUCAGAGAAGAAUAAAUAUACUUUUGGUUCUGUUGGUAUUUUCCACCAACAGGGCCCAUGCACUUGAUCUCUGCCUUGUCUUUAUGAGUAGGUACACUUCGAGCAAAACAUGGAGGAGUUUUACAACUCCCGGACUCCACCAAGUGAAGGAUCUGGAUCUACGAGCACAAACACACUGAGCAGGAUGAUGCCAAUGCCGCACUUCGAACUACUGGGCAAACGAAGAACAUGGGUGACACUGUAUCAAGAGGUACAGAUGUCAAGGUCCACACCUGAAUCAAAUGACGCACCUAAAGAAUGAACACGGUGAAAAGUCUUGUUCAGAAGACUUAAAACAUUGAACCCUCGCCGAAAGGUAAAAAUCGGUAAUUAUCCAUAUUUAUCCUUUCUACAUUUCCUUUUCUCUUUAAUUAUUUACUUUCAUUAAAUGGCUUGUUAGUUAAUCAUGCUAUCUUGAAAAGAAAAUAAAAAUGUUUAAAACAUUAAGCCCCAUGUGAGUAUGCUCGUGGCAUAAAACCCAUAAGUACAUUCACUGUGGUGGCGUAAAAAUAAAAUAAAUAUAUUCCUGUCCUAUAGAAAUAAAAAUAUAAAAAUAAAUUUAUGAUCCUACCAAAGAGAGUAAUAUUUAUUAGAGGAAGCUCAACAUGAUAAAGGCAAAGAUAUUUUUAUGCUAACACUUAACCAGUUCCACAAAGCUUUGUUGUCUAUUUGAGCUCCACAGAAUUUAAGGAUCAAAGAAGACUAGCAGACGGAGGACAUCCUAAUCGCUGUCAGGGUAGUGCCGACAUUCAAAUACACCUCCGCCACCUGCUAGCUACAUCAGAAGAAAUUACGUCAAAAUCCAGCUUGGGGAAGAGCACCCCCAUUUAUCGAGCUAAGUGUUUCUACUCGCAUUUAUACUUUACUCAAAUAAUAAAAAGAUGCAUAAUCAUAAAAACCCAAAUAAAGAUUUUAUGCUUAUAUAUAUAUAUUCUUAGUUUGCUAAAUAAAUAAAUAAAUAAAGUUUGCUAUGAACCCUCAUGAUAAGCUCUCACAUGGAAAUGAUGAAUAGUUGCUCUGCCAUGAUUAGUUCUCAAAAUUGAAUUCUCUCUCAAGUUUAGGCAUGACUGUUAUGAAUUAAGAUUUGCUCUAAACCUGAACUUGUGGGAAGAGUACUUGAUCUAAAGUCUAAGUCGUUAACGCAUAUGAUAUGAGAAGGUUGAGCUACUGUUUAUCUGUUCCUAGAGAUGCUAGAAUUCUAGAGAAUUUUAUCUUUAGAAAUCUUUAAAAUGUUGCAUGAUGAGUUCCUGUAUGAUGAGAGUUUAAAAUCCUACCGCAGCCACAUAUACAUGCUUAUUAGACUAUAAACCAUACAUUUACUUUUUACUACUUAUGAGCAUUGAGUGUGGUCAAGCUGUGUAGACCCUUAGGAGUUUGUCAUGCGGUUAAAGUCAAGAUUCACUUGCACGUUCACUCAUACAUGCUGCUUCUACUCCAGAAGUACGCAUCUACAUACAUCCAUUCAUUUCCAUCUCCAGAGUCACCCAAAAUUAUUCUACUCCUAUCCAGGAGAGAAUAGCCAAAAACAUUAUCCUAUCCCUGUUAUUCGCCGUGAAAUAAAUACUCGAGAUAUUUUGGUUACUACCAAUUGCUACAUUAAUCCAAGAGGGUGAGUGCUCUGAAAAAAGUGAAUACGAGGAAAUAAAAAGGGGCAAGUGCCCAGAACCUCGAUGAAAAGAAAAAGUGAGACGAGAGGUAAAAAUGGACAAGUGUCCGACAGUAGAAUUAGGGAUACAAGAUACCCACCUGAGAGAAAAGAAAAAGAAAAUAUAGAGCAUCUCAUUCUCCUCAAAAAGCUUCAAAGUGCAAGAAAGGUAUGUAUCCCCUCAAAAGAGCAAAAGUAGAAUUAGACUUUCACCAUCAUCACCAUACACCAUUCAUUCGCCACAC
rnacentral:lncRNA from 1 species